rnacentral:lncRNA from 1 species
CUCCUGCUCCGGCUCUGGCCAUUGAUCCUCGGUUGCCAGCGCUCUUCGCUGAGUCCAAGGGUCUCGUGGGCAUCGAGGGCCCCAGGAGUACACUAGUCAGCUGGCUGAUGGAUGGGGAAGGUCAGCUCAAGGUUAUCUCCAUUGUUGGGUUCGGAGGGUUGGGGAAGACGACCCUCGCCAAGGAGGUCAACCAUGCUGUGGGAGCACACUUCCAGCUCAAGGCUUUUGUGUCAGUCUCCCGUAAUCUUAACCCCAAGAAGCUAAUCUGCGAUGUGCUCUCUCAGAUCAUGGACCAAAAAGAUUAUGGCAAGAAAGAUUAUGGCAAGUUGGAGGUGGAGCAAUUGAUUCCAAUUCUGAGGGAACACCUGGCAGAUAAGAGGUACUUUAUUUUAUUUUUGGUUUCCAAAUUAAACCAUAUUUGGCUAUAGCAAUGUUCCAAUCGAUCAUUGCAUUAAGAUUUGGAUUUGCUAUUCAACAUUCAAUAGAAAUUUUGAGGGAGGAUCUGUCAAAAUUUUCAGCCUUAAUUGGCAUGGGCUUCAAACUCGUGGCCUAGCUCCCGCGUGCGUCACCCCCACUGAGCUACCACAACUUCUUUUUAUCACUUACAUCUUUCUUACAUGUCUAAUUACAUAUAGUUAAAUUGAUUGAAGCAUUUCUAAGGAAAUUUUUCGUGGAAUUAAUGUUAGUUAGAUAGUCCCAUUAAAAUUUGUUUGAACCUAAUCUGCAACUUUUAACUUGGGAAAUUUUUACGGCCGGCACUCUCUGCUGUCAGUAGAAAUGAUUUACACUCUGUCUUGUUUAAUCCAAGUGACAUAUCAAAGUUCAAACGAGGUGCAUACUUAACUUAGAUUGAUUCAUGAAGACAUGAUUUCCAUCAUUGGCUCAUUGGGAUUCUUUCUUUCACACAUCUUGGGUCUAUAUAUAUACUCCACUUUUUGCGUGAUUGCUGUAAGUACCAUAAUGAUUGCCGGUUUCUCUACAGAACCAAAACAAUACUACAUGCCAGUUAAUGGCCUUAAUGUUUAUUCCUGUUAAGGCUAGUUACUGCAAAAUGUUACCACUAAUUCCUUAUACGAAAUUACAUGCAUGUAGGUACCUCAUAAUUAUUGAUGAUAUUUGGAGAAUACAAGCAUGGGAUCUAGUGAAGUCAGCCUUGCAUGACAACAGCUGCCAAAGUAGAAUAAUCACAACGACACGCAUUAGUACGGUUGCCGAGUCAUGUUGCUCGACCUUGAAAGAUCGUAUCUACUACAUUGAGCCUCUAAAUGAAGUCGAGUCCCGAGAGCUAUUCUUCAAGAGGAUAUUCGCCACAGAGCACGGUUGUCCUCCUCACCUAGAAGAAGUUUCCAACGAAAUUCUGAAGAAAUGUGGGGGCCUGCCAUUGGCUAUACUUAGUAUAGCAAGUUCACUGGCAAACAAGCCUGACAUAAAGGAACAAUGGGAAAUGGUGAAGAAAUCCAUUGGUUUUGCUCUUGAGGGAACGCCUACUUUAGAAGGAAUGAAUAAGAUAUUACUUUUUAGUUAUUACGAUCUUCCUACUCAUCUCAAGGCUUGUUUGCUAUACCUCAGUAUAUUUCCGGAGGACCAAGUGAUUGAGAGUGACAAACUAGUAUGGAGAUGGAUGUCUGAAGGACUAAUUGUUGGAGAAAUGGGUAAAAAUUUGGAGCAAGCAGGACAGAUUUAUUUCAAUGAGCUCAUCAACAGAAGCAUGAUUGAAUCAGUGGGUGUUCGGUAUGAUGGCAAGGUACUAGCUUGUAGGGUGCAUGAUAUGGUGCUUGACAUGAUCAUAUCUUUGUCCGCUCAAGAGAAUUUCGUUACCAUAUUACAUGGGCAUGAGGAUAAAUUUGCAGGAGAAAAGAUUCGCCGGUUGUCCCUUCGAUGCAAUCGCCCAGAUGUUGAAGUAACGCAGGUGACAAGCAAAAAAUUUGCCCAGGCUCGUUCUAUCAGCCUCUUUGGUUACAAGGAGAUGCUUGAUCUACAGGGCUUCCAAGCUUUGCGGGUGCUGGAUUUAGGAAAAAAUGUUUUGUUCAAGCAAGUGAAAAAUAUAGGCAAGUGUUACCAAUUGAAGUAUCUGGAUCUCUCCGAUACAGAUAUAGUGGAGCUUCCUGAAGAGAUUGGAAAUGUACAAUCCCUAGAAACUCUGGACUUAAGAAAUUGCAGACGACUAACAUUGCCAUCAACAAUAUCUGGGCUCAGAAAACUAGUGCGUCUCCUUGUGGAUUAUACUGCGGCAUUGCCAGAGGAGAUUUCUGGUCUUGUAGCUCUACAAGUGCUAUCUUGUGCCUCCUAUAACUCCGUGAAGUUCAUGCAAGCGCUGGGCCAGCUGACAGAGCUGCGAUCACUUGCAUUCAAGUGCUGGAAUCCUGACUGGUAUUUUGACGCGGGAAUGUACAAGGAGGUAUCUGUCGCAUCUCUCCGUGAGCUGGGGAAACACAAGCUUCAGUAUCUAGAUAUCUGUGACGAUGAUGCUAUCCCAGAUGCACUAAUGUGUUCGUCGUCAGAGUCAGACUGCCCGUUUCCGCACCUGCAGAAGCUUGUUCUGUCCAACCACAACAUCCAAAGGAUUCCAAGGUGGAUUGGCUCGCUUGUCAACCUCUGUCACCUGGAAAUUGUUGUCAAGACCACACGGCAAAACGAUCUCGGCACACUAGGGAACCUGCCAUGUCUGCUCUACCUCAAGAUCUGCAGGUUGUAUGAGCCCGUCGAAAGCCAGCAGCUCAUUGUACCGAACCGAGGAUUCCGUUGCCUCAAGGAGCUGUGCUUCCAGUGUUGGUGCCCGUUGGGGCUGGAGUUUGCCCCGGGAGCUAUGCCGUGGGUGCAAACCUUCCGCCUGUGGUUCAUGCCAUGCUGGAAGAGCUGCGAUCAUGGUGUCAGCGUCGGCUUAGGCAUCGAGCAUCUGCUAGAACUCAAGCUUGUGGAUGUUAAGACGGGCUAUGGAUGUGGUAAGAGGGAGGUGAAGUCAUUUGAGGCAGCAAUCACAGCUGUGGUCGCCAACCAUCCCAGACGCCCUGCGCUCGUAUUGCGUAGAUCAGGUGAGAGAAGUGCAGUCAGGAAGGAGAAUUGGACAGCAGUGGAGACAAACAUGAACAAGUCCCUGUUUGAUUCAUCAACAGUCAGACAAAGAUUGCAGAAGCAGUCCAGAUUUCAAACUUGAAAUUAAAGCUGCGAUGUUCCUCGCUCCUAAGUCGUAAUACACCAACGGACAGUUUGUAGGUUGUUUUUCCGGGUAGUUCCUUGCAGUGCUCAACAUUUUUAGGUUUGUGCUCUGCUCUUCUAUAAAUGUGAAAUCAAAGUGUGUUUUGAUUAUUAUUUCACGAUGAACAAUUGGUAUUUGAGAUAAUUGUUUUAAUUUUCCGAGGGAACAAAUAAUUGGUUUUAAUAUUUGGACAUAAUUGGCGAAGUGGGUUGCUGACUCUGUGACCCAUCAGACCGGUGUAUGUUGUGCGGUCUGACCAGCCGGCUCUUUGUCGGUUUCGGUUUCGGGUUGUUCAUUUGAAUACUUGUGAUUAAUUCAUGUUUAUAACUUAUAGAUGGAUACUAUGCGUAUGUAAUAUUGUUGUGUGCUUAUAUUGAGUCAAGUUGGAGAGAACUUAUGCUCGGAUAUAUUUUCUUGGUUGAUUCACGUGUCGGUGAGUCAUGAUACCUUGGAAGAGUGUUGCCGAUAAUGGAUCGGGAGUCAAUUUGGGAGAAGAUGAUGUCCGGACGAUCAAGAUAUCAUACGAGAUGUUUAGGCUAAAGAUCAAUGCAUUAAAAUUUUCAUAUGGUAUAUGAUGGAGAUAUUGUGUGCGUAUGGGAUGCGAAGUUGAAUUUGUAAGGAGUCCAAAUUUGGUGUGAUUGGAGUUUGUAAAGUUUGUUUCUUGCACGGGAAGGUUUCCUAAGGGAUUAGAACUUCUUGUACAAAUUGGAUUCGUGGCUUUCGGCUACCUAUCUCGGGUAAAAAUAGAGAAGAGGGGUUGAGGCCUCCCGGUAUCGAUUUUGUGAGAGUUGAGUUUAGAGAAAAGUUAUGGUUUCAAGUUUAGUCGAGAUUUUUGUGAGGAGUACUGAUGUUGUACUUUGUAAACACGAAUAGAAGUAAUAAAGUUUCAAUCUACUAUGAGAAGAUCUUCGAUUUGUGUUUGCUCAAGUUCGGCGGUUACACCGACAGGAUACCAGCGGUCAGACUGGUGGCAACGCACCGGACAGACUGGCGACGGCUUCAGACGACUGUAGCGAUAAGGACGGUCAGAUCAGCCGAUCUACACCAGUCAGACCGGUGGCAUAUGCACGGUCAAACCGUCGUAAGACUUGCGGUCAGACCGUGUUCUAUCAAAUUCGAUGUAACUUUUAAUUCUACUAAAGGUUUGGUUUUUUUGGUGCUACAACCAUUCACCCUCUCUGGUUAUCUUACUUCUUAUUGUGUGAUCCUAUACUAAAUUCUAAGGUGACUCAAACUUACCAAUGGUUUGCAGCAAUGGUGGCACAAAAGUUUCGAGAGAUUGGUUAGAUAUGUACGUGAAUGUAUGAUUCUACUUACCAUCAUUCAAAUUGUAACCUAGAAAUAUUAUAUCUACGUGGCUGCUUUCAAAUUGGAAUGUAGUGAUAUCACCAAUUUACAUUUGGCGCCCAAACUACCCAUGUUAGGAUCCAACUCUUAAAUUUAGCUCCAAGAGUUGGGUCUAGAGUUGUGGGGCAGCCUAAACCUAGCUCUAACUCUCUAAUUCAUUUUGUAAGAGAGCUUCACUCCCAAUUUAGGUAGAGUUGAAAAUGUUUGACUGAGCUUUGGAGAGAUGUGUCAAACAGACCCUAUGUUAAGUAGGUACUCCGUCAUAUCAUCGUUCUGGUAAUAGAAAUUAAAUAAUCUGAAUUGUAGAUCUAGUUUUAUCGAAGGGUUUAGAUUUUUUUCUACUAUCACCUCACUCAUCACUUCACGGUAUUAGAAAUGUUUGGGGGGUAUAAUUGUCAAAAAAAAUAUUGUCGUGGAGGGGUAAAAUCAUCAUUUAUAGUUGACUAAACCUCAAUCGGCCGCCGCAUCCGUCGCCUAGUAUCUCCUCCCCACUAGAAUGGUUUCGCUAGAAUGCUAUCGCUUCAAAGUGAUUCACCAAAAUACCAUUUUCGGUUAUUUUUUUUAAAUAGAAAUGUUUUGCUCAAUUUUAUAUUUUUUUCCCGGACCAAAAUACCCCUGAUGUAGGCCCCACCUGUCAUACUCUCUUCCCUCCCUCUUUCCCCUUUCCACUCUCUCGAGGAUGCCAUCGGCUGGCAGGCAUGGCGAGCUGUGGGCAGUGGCCGGUGGAUCUCGCGGCCGACGUAGUCCUCAUCACCGUGGAGGUAGUCCACGGCAUCACCGUCCGCAUCUCCGAGGUCCUGCUCGACAUCGGCCUCGCCGUAGACCUCCUCGCUGGGCACGCGCUCGACGUGGGUCUCCUCGCCGCGGAACACCGUGCAGCUCCUUGUGGACGAGCUCGUCGUCCCGGCGCCCGCCGCCCUCGGGGUAACCCACGGUCCCGGAAGCCCCCCGCCGCGCGGUGGCGCUCCGCUUGGCCUCGGCCAGCAACAGCAGCUCAUCUUCCCCAACUCGCUGGCUGCCCCUACUCCUCCCCAAGAUGCGGUGACCAGCAGCAGCAACAACUCACCAAGACCGGAGCAGAGCACCGCCACCGCAGAUUUCGAGGGAGGCCGGGGAGCUGCUCGAUCGCGUCCGGGCGCGCGGACGUGAACUACGCCGGGGUGGUGUGGCUCAAGGCGCGGCGGGUGGCGGAGGCCGCGCUCGUCCGGGCGCUGCUCGUGAGUGCCCUUCCCCCCGCUCUCUCCCCUGUUUCCUGCUCUGUUCUACAACUUCGCGCGCAUUAUUAUGGUUUUGCUAAUGAAAGGGUGCUACCGACUCACCCUCCUGCACGCUGCAGCCAUCCUCCACAUCCUCGGACCGCUUCCUCCACUACACCAUUAGCAGGGCCGUCGUGGAGAGAGAGAGAGAGCGAGAGGGGAAGUGAUGAAGGAAGAAGUGAGGUAGUCAGUUACAUUGCGAGUAAAAACUGCCACCAAUAGUCAUAACUGUCAAGAGAGUUAUUCUGCUCGGUUUAAAUAGUUAAAGGGGUCGACAUUACCAGCUUUUGCGAUUGAGGAUAUAAAUCGGACGUGACUUGUUUAAGAAUUUUUAGCCCACGAUGGCCCAGGCCCAGGCCCAGGCUAACUAGUUGCCCAGUUAGCUUGCCCAGCUAGCCCAUUACUAACCUAUAAUAAGCAAAGGUAAAAGUCCCAAGCCGCCUCUGCCACUCCGGCGGCAGCAGCAGCGCCGCCGCGCAGGUCGCCGCCGCCCCCAACCUGGCCAUGUCGCCACGGCGCAUCCUCCCAGCUCCCCCACCUCGCAUCCUCUUUGCUUACUGGGUUCUUCCUCUCCGUCGUCGCCGCGUGGUGCCGGGGUGCCGCCUGCCGGCUUGGUGACACUCAGCGGCCCAACCUCCAGGUUCAGAAAUUUUUUCUUGUCGAGUCCAUGUCAAUUAGUGUAAUACAAGCAGACGAGUUGUGUGAUGCGGCAUUCAAUUUAAUGUAUUAGCCAUUUACGACUAGUUUUUUUAAUCGAUUUCAUUCCUUUUGAACUAUAAAAAGUAAUAGGUUGCAAGUUGAAGAGGAAGAGAACAGGACAUAUUUUUGGGUUUUAUUAGAAAAGGAAAAAAAAAAUGGUGCGCUAGCUUUGAGUAUGUUCUUAUGUUUGUUGCAUCCUAGGAACAAAGUAUCAGGCUAAACUGCUAAACUAAUGAUCAUCCACAUUGCUUUUAAAAGAAGACCUAAAAAGUUAUUGAUAUAAGGAAGAAUGGUUGGGAUGAGCGCUAGCCUCAAACACAGUUAAUAUGAACUUCAAAUAUCAUUUCAAUCAUGCAUGUGUUCUGUACUUCUGUUAUAUCAUGGUGUGCCGCCUACACAUGGAGGUGGGGCAUGAUCCAUGAGUAGUGCAGUCAGGAGGAGGAAGAUGAGGGGUGAUUUUAUUAGUGUUUUUGCAUGAAUCUUGGAGCAAUUUCAACCAUUUAAAUGUGACUGAAAUUUUCUUCUUAUAUUUUAUUGCCUGACGGCUUGAUGUCCCUUAUUGAGGAUACAAUUUGUCUUCUCCUUUUUGCAGAAGUUUGUGUUGUAGACUUGGUGCUUCAUUAUUUGCAUUCCUGGAUGCUUGAUGUAUGAUACACACGCAGACUGGCAUUGAUUCCAAAUGAUGGCAAUAAGAUUGGAAGAACACGUAUCUCUGAUUUCCAAAACUCUUCCUUUCAUUCAACACAAGGCUAUGUCCUCAUAUUCAACUGGUCAUGGCCACAGGCCCAAGAAGAAGCUUUAUCACCGUGAACCUGGCCUUGACAAGGCCAUGGACCUCCAAAAGAAGCCUGCUCUCCUCCUUCGUCUUCGGGAGCUCAUCUUGUCCCAAAAGACAAAUUCCAUCCUUAUACGUUAUCUUGAAAAGGAGGUUGGCUUUGUCCAAAAAUGGAACUUCCUUUCACUUAUCAAGCGGCAUCCAAACAUCUUCUUCGUCUCUGGUGGUAGUGCCUCCCGUGAGCCAAUUUCAGUUACGCUCACUGAGAAGGCCAAAAAGAUAUCCAGUGAGGAGACCCUAGCACGAGAACUAAUGGAGCCAAUCUUGGUGAAAAAUCUAAGGAAGCUACUAAUGAUGUCUUUGGACUGCCAGAUUCCUAUAGAGAAGAUUGAACUCAUCCAAUCUGAAUUGGGUUUACCCAAGAACUUCAAGAGCAACUUGAUUCCGAGAUACCCUGAACUAUUUUCAGUUCGCGAGGUGAAGGGAUUGGACCAUUUGUGUUUGGAGAGUUGGGAUUCUUCACUGGCUGUCACAGCCCGAGAAGAAAAAUUGAAUUUUGAUGGAUUCCAUAUGGACUGUAGAGGGAUUCCUAAAGAUGGAAAUGUCUUUGGUCCUUUUGCUUUCAAGUUGAAGUAUCCAGCAGGAUUUAGGCCAAAUCGGAAGUAUCUUGAGGAGGUUGUCAGGUGGCAGAAGUUGGCAUUUCCAUCACCUUAUCUGAAUGCUAGGCGUGUGGAGCCUGCAACACCACAGGCUCGGAAGCGAGCGGUUGCUGUUAUGCAUGAGAUUUUGAGCUUGACAAUGGAGAGACGAUUGACAUCUGAUUAGCUAGAAGUCUUCCAUAAUGAGUACAGGCUGCCAUGUAAGCUACUUCUGUGUUUAAUAAAAAAUCAUGGGAUAUUCUAUAUCACUAAUAAGGGAGCAAGGAGCACUGUCUUCCUCAAGGAAGCCUAUGAUGAUAGUAAACUUAUUGAGAAGUGUCCUCUAUUGAAAUUCCAUGAUCAAUUUGCCUCUCUGAUCGGCCAAACAUGCUCCGAUUCAAAUGAUGUAUUGCCAGCAUAAUGGGAGCAAUAAUUUACAAGCGAGAGAGACAAAUCACAAUGUGGCAUGUGGCUGGCUGAUUCACCCUUUAGUUUCUACUCAGGCCAGUGCAAACAUGACUCAUUUGCAUGCGACCAACCAUGCAAGUCCUCUGUGUGAUGGAUGCUUUAUUCAGCUUCAAGUUUUGCAUGAAAUUUGGGACCCCAGAAAUCAAGUGGCAGCUCAGAUCUCAGCAGACAAGGCAUUGGUUGUUGUACUGAAGGACAUAUGUUCAAUUCCUACAAUUGGGGCAUUCAACUGUUGAAGAUAUUACGGUUAGUUUUCAGGGGUUUUCUUGCGAGUAUUACCUUCAGCCUACACUUGAGAGAAAAAGAGAGGAUGCAUUAGCCUCAGUUUAUACCUUAAAACUGAAUUUGCUUCUCUUAAUUGGAUAACUGGGUGCCAUUUCUUUCUUUUCUAAUAAAAUAAUGAUAUAGUCAGAUACUAAUUGACCUUAAAAUGUAUUGUACUAUCACGUGAUUCUGCUUCCAGAAAGGUUCUUGAUGUUGUUUGUCAUCAUAGAAUGUGUCAAACCACUAUACUGUUUUCGCUAGAUUAUGCUUGUAAUUUGUUACAGUCAACAUUUUGCUUAUGGGUCAAUUGAACUAUUGGCAAUAGUAGUAGUACUAAUCCAUUCUGCUAUUGUUCUCGGUUUUUUUUUUCCCUUCAUCCAUACACAGGCAGAAAGUGCCUGUAAAAUGCUCCACGUGUUUGUAUCAAAGUUUCCUUCCAUCAAUUGGUUCUUGUUCUUUAUUAUUACUUGAAACCAACUUCAGCCAUGGAAAUCUCUAUUGCUCUCUAGAGUUCUCCAUCAGAAUUCAGAAAUUUGAAAUACUGUAUUUAGUUCACAUGCUGAUUAUGAUUUGAAGCAACUGUGAAUCAUCUUAAAUCCUAGCUGCAACCUGACUACAUAGAUUAGUUUCUAUUUUCUACUUUCUUGCAUUACCACAUUCAUGAUUCAUCAUGUGCCCUAUGACAGAUUGAUGAGAAAUAUCAGUACUAUAUGUUUUCCUGAUGCUGUGCAUUAGUGGUCUUAUAGUAUUCAACUUGGUUCAUAAGUGCAUUAACCCUACCAGUAUAGACCAACAUUCGUCCAGUACAGUGACCUGUUUCAUGCUAUGUGAGCCUGAAUUAUGAUUGCAUCUAGUGGUAGACAUGUCUGUACUCUAGCGGUCCAUAUUUUCUUGUGUUCAGUCUAGGUUUUAUUUCUGUAUUGAGUAUUCUGUAUGGAACAAGGCACAAACAAACAUGCUAAACCCAUGUAAAUUGAUUGUUAGAACUUAAUUUGCAGUACCGUGAUGCAUAAUAUAGAUGAUAGUUGUGGAUGUGCUUUCAUGUAUCUUUCUCUGCAAAAGGCCUGGGUGUGUUUUUUCCAUGUUAACUCAAAAUUAUGCCAUGUAGCUUGUGCAUUCUUAACAAUGGCCGAAUUCGUUCUGCAGAUCACCUUAUUUCUGUUAACAAGAAAGAUUUGUGUUCUUGUGCAGUUGUGCUCAUGCGAUUGUAGUUGACGUCUCCAUAAUCUACAGAGACAAAUGUUGAGUGGAGGAAACACCAAGUAUUGUUAACUACCAGAGAAAAAUGGCCUUUCAAUUACCGUAUAAUCUUUGUCCAGCAGGAACAGGUAUGACUUAAGCCAAUAUGAACCUUUUUCUUAAUGUCUAGUAUAAAUACAGCAACCAAAUCUUUGCAAGUGAAAUAUCACCAAGCUGACGGUACUUACAAAAUAAAUGGUAGUUUGGUAGUUAGCUAUUUGCCAGUUUAGAACAGUCAUGUAACAUGUAUUACAUAUUGUCAGAUUAUUCUGUGGCCAGUUUGUCGUGCCAAUGUUGUUUUUGUGUAAUUUGUAAUUACUGUUCUGUGUCAGAAUUUAGACACUGAUUCAGUUGUCAAGUAAUUUUUUUUAAUGGAAUACUUUGACAGAUUGGUAAAAUGGGUUUUAAUGACUGUCUGAAAGCUUUUAGAUUAACUAGUUGCUUGGUAAUGAAUAAUAAUAAGAGAUGAAAUUGGUGGACACUCAUUGCUGUUGAUCUGGGACCAUAUCCUAAACAUGGGAAGCUUUAUUAAUGGCCAUGGCAAUUCCUGCAACAGGCUAAUAACAGUCACAAGUUUGCAUCCCUUUCACACCUCCACGCUAUCUUGAGUAUGUUCUGAUAUUUGCACAUCAAAGUGCUUGUCCACAUAGAAUUAUUGGUGGGAGAUGCAUUAAGGAUGUUUACCAAUAGUUGCUUGCAACACAAAAUCAACCUGUAUGUAGGUGGGAUCCAUUGAGAUAACCAGAUGAACAUAUGCUAAGUAAAGAUGGACCGACAAAAUUAUGGGUGGCCUGGACACAUUGAAGUGAAAUGAGGCCAACUGGCUGCUCCUCAAUUAUAACCCAUGAAAGUGAGGAGCAUACCCAGGAGCAGUGAUUGGGACCAGAUUCUGCAGACACUAAGAGAGCACCUAUAAAUGAUAGUAGUGGUCAUGAUCCUGGUCAGAUGCACUAAAAGCUAGAUUUGGAUGGGUGUUAGUGGCUGUUAGUUUAGGCAGGUCUAUCCUCAAGUCAUACAAAUACAGUGGAUGGAGACUAGAGGCCGGCCCUUUUCUGAUCCUGUUUAUUUUUUCUGGUAAGCAUUUAUGCCUUCCUCUGCAGUAGCCUUUCCAUCUGAUGUUACUUCCAUUUAACUUAUUGUGUGAACAUUUAUUUGGCGUCUCUUAAAAUUUUUUUUGGCUCUAUUAUUGGCCACCAAGAGCACAUGCUUUUCUUUGCCCUCCAGUCACCUUCAGCUCCUAGUGACCCGGCUGGAUUUCCAAUUGAUGUGUCUUUCUUGUACACCAGUCUUUGCCUCCCUGUCCCUGUCCUUGAGUAGCAUUACCUGUUCCAUAAACAACUUUUGUGUGUGGCUGGGCCCUGCCUUUUUGAGUUGGCAACUUCCACAAAAUCACAAGAGUUAUCACUGCUUCAGAACCGCUUCGUUUUGCUGUCCCUUUCUCCGGACCCUGCCUUGACUUUAGGAAGCUGCCAUUAUCUUUACUUGUCUUUCACUUUGAUUUUCAUACUUACCACUAGAUUUACACCAAAAUAUAAUUCUAUUAUUCUAAUUAGGUACAUUUUUGGUUUCUUGCGUCUUAUCUUAUUAUUGAUCAAUGCAGCAUUAAUCUCUUCAUUUGUGAUGACUGUCUUCUCUCCAUUGAUUCUUAGCUUUUAAAAAAGUUAUUAAAAUAGGUGCCUUUUACCUUUCUACUCUCGGUGUUUUUCAAACUCUAGAGAGGGCCGUCCCGUGAGCUGCAUUGUUCAACGCCUCUUUGAUGGUUGAACGUCGCAAUUAGGGUGGCAGGUCCAGACCACCUCCUGUUUCUGUCAUCAUCUGCCUGAUGUCUAUCCAUUAGGAGAAGAAAGCACCUCAUUUGUGUUAUGUAACAAUUUCUCUUUUUCCUUGCUUGAAUGAACAGACUGGCGCCUAGCAAGCAAAGAAUCCUGAUUCGAACAUCACAGCCUGCUUGGCCAUCGCCAUCCCUGGUUCUGGACAAAAUGUUUGGACUAUGUAUCAGCGUCAUGUUUGAGUCUCAUUUCUUCCUACUCCUGCCUAGCCUCUAGUAGCAAGUCAUUUUUAUACUUGUCUCAUCUGAAGAAAGUAAUGUGUGCAUUUGAUAUAUCCAGUGCAGGGGGGUCCAUCUUGGCGUAGCCGUGGGUGGUGUGGUUGGUUCAGAUUUCACAAUCUUGGCAUGUAAAGAAGGAUGCCCUGUCCCUCUGCAUCCAGUUCCUUGUUCUUGUAGUGUUUCCGAAUUUUUCCUGAUCUUUCUUUAUCUCUGUGACAUGUUGCCAAGUGAAGACAUAUCAAAGGCAGACUAUUCUACGCUUCAGGAAUAAAGGGGAGGAGAUAAUCCCAGCUGAUUACUCAAGAAACGAUUUUAUUCCAAGUCAAUCAGAGUGAGCAUCUCAAGGAGCUGAAUCAUUCUAGCUUUUACCCCACCACCAAACCCACAAAACCGGUCAUCAAUUUAGGUAAGCAUUUGACAUAAGUUCUUGGUUGGAAUAAUAUCCUCUUUUUUCUUUUUGCAUUCAUCAGGAACUGUGAAAAAUUCUUUGCCUGAUUCUUUCUACCAUAUAAUACUCAAGAAGCAUCAUACUUUUAUUAGACAAUCAUCUAGUGAACAUUUUGAGCGAUGGGGCCCUCUGAGAUAGAGCGAUAUAUUUAUUCAAACAUAAUGUUUCGUAAAAGCAGCAAACUGCACCUAAUAAUUUAUAAUAAUUGAAUGCGAUAAUCCUGGUGGAGGUGUAAUAACAUGUCCAGGCUGAAAGCACAGAUCAGGUUACUGUACACAGUAAUGAUGAGCCUCUGUUAAAGCUAAACUCCCCUUGUCAGUUAUCGUGCUGUUGAACAAGAUGAUGAUUAUGACGACCAUGAUGGCCGCCCUAAUUGCCAUUUGCCAACCUAUCUACUGCUAAUCUAAUCUAAUCUACGCCUUUUGUACUACUAGUAGCUGUUAGUAGUGGUACUAGUAAUUCUGAAGAAAGAAAUGUGGCUUGUGCAGGCAGGGAGGCAGGCAGGGCUGCAUCGUGGGAAUGAUAGCGUGGGGGGAGUACUGCAGGUCUUUGUACUCCUUGUCUGCUGUGCUGCCGGUUGAUGGAUUGGAAGCCACACCUGCUGCUGCUAUUGCUAACGCUUAGCUGCAUCUUUCAGUCUUUCGGCCAACAAUUUUUUUUGCUUUGUUGCCAUCCGUUUUUGGUCCCUGUUUCUUUUGCUCCCUUCAGCAUCAAUCCACCUCACACGUUCACCGCCCCUCGCUACCUCUUCUACUACCAUUCGACGCACACCUCAGAAAACAAAUCGUCAUUUUUCUUUUUUUUUUUUUGCCUUUUGUUAAAGAAAUUGACUGCUAAUGCUAGGUUGCUAUCCUCUGAGCCAUAAUUCAUUCUGAAGAAAGUAUAUGUAAAUUAUUGGAUCCACAAAUCAUAUAUAAUAUUUAGAAAGAACAUAUACAAUUCGCUCUUCUUAAUUUCGCUAUUUUUUUUAUGGAGCCACCUAUUAGGUGUCGUUGACAUAUAGGUCCUUCUUGACAAUCGCACUUCAUUCCACUGGGCUUCAUGUGGUAGUGACAACUGGUGCCACAUACUCCCUCCAUUUCAGGUUAUAAAACGUUUUGAUGUCAAACUAUUUUAAGUUUGACUAAGUUUAUAGACAAAUAUAGUAAUAUGUAUAAUAUUAUAUUAGUUUCAUCAAAUUAAUAAUUGAAUAUAUUUUAAUAAUAGAUUUGUCUUGGCUUGAAAAUAUUACUACUUUUUUCUAUAAAUUUGGUUAAACUUGAAGCAGUUUGACUUUUUUACCAAAGUCAAAACGUCUUAUAUCCUGAAACGGAUGGAGUACUCUAAUAGCUAUUGUUGGUUUUGUAACAAGGAACGUUUGUGUGCGUAAACGUUGUACACCGAAAACUUGUGUGCACAGGCGUAAACAUCGUACACCGAAAACUUAUGUGCACAGGACACGUCCCCGUGUAGCGGUGGGGGGUUGGCCGGGUUAGAUGGAAGAAAACCCCUCUUCGUCUCACACAAACGGCGUGCACGCGUGGGGGCAGUGCGGUGUGGCGUGCACACUCGUGCGUGGGUGGCCAACGAAAUGGGUGAGCUAUUUCCUCCGCAGUAUGGUUCAAGCAGCAAAGCUCAUGUGGCUGCUGAGACUUGUCAUCAUCUUCCUUUCUUUUUUUUUCUUUUUUUUCCAACACCCUAUAUACAUGUAAUUUGUGGAUUGUGAGCUCAACAAUCCAUACCUAACCGGGCACCGGCAACCUCCUUUUCAAGAAAGUGAGAAACGGUUAAGAGGAAAUUAUCUUUUGAGUGCUCGAUUUCGUAUGUGUGGAGACUACUGUCUCUGUUCUCUUCUACUUUGCCGUUAGGUGCACUUGUUUGAUCAUUACUUUUUCUAAUCGUGUAUUUAUAAAGACAAAUUGUAAGAAUAUAACCAUGUGAAAGUGUUCUUCACGGAAAAAAAAAACUAUUAAUGUCAUUUUAUACGCCAAAUCUUAGUACUACCUCCAUCCUUUAAUUUUUAUAAAUGUUGGUUAAUUAAGUUUAAUGUCAAACAAAAAAAACCCAGAGUACUCUUUUAUAUACCGAUUAUUAUUUAAAAAUUUGAGGUUUCUAGGUGUAUAUGUCCCAAAACGUCAUAUACUUCCCCGUUUUAAAAUCCAAGGAUUUUUAGGUGGUUUAGAAAAACUUCUUUUAGCAACUUUAGUCAAUUUUAAAAUUUUGAAUUGGUUAGAUUCCCUUUACAAGUAUGUGAUUGACUUUGGGGUUAUUGAAGUGAGGACUUAUGGAAAUCAGCGCAUAAAUUAAUUCUUGUAUUGUGAAAUUUGAGUGCUAAAUAUCCUUCCUAUAUUUUAGUACUAGAACAGAUGGAGUAUACUUUCUUCGUCACUCCUAUCUAAAGAUUAAGUUAUUUUGAGACGGAGAAAAUAUUUGAUAACGAAUGAUUGCUAUAUAUGACAUGUACUAUAUAGGAGCUCCUACAUAAUAAUCCUCGAGGAAUCUGUUCGUUCGGUCUUAUCAAGGAUGGGUCAUCUGAUUGGAAUCAAAUGGUCUAAACGAGGGUAGCUAGGCGUGAAGCUUGGAGCAAUCUUACGCCAUGUUUAAAAAUUUAAAUAAAUCAAAACACAUGAAUUCCACACGAAAUCAACUUCAUUUUUCACGGAACCAAAACAAACAAAGAUUACCAUUAAUUCCUGAAAACGAGCACCGGGUGGCAAGUAUAAAUAAAUAUACACGGGGAAAUCACCACACAACUACCUCCCCACACGGCGUGGGGUGCACUUGAGUCUGUUGCUUCGAGUUAAGCCCUAGAGAGCUAGCUACAAAGCGAGAAACAUAUGCAUUGCAUCGGAAACUUGACCUAUCUACAAUUCUACAUGUAUUUCCUGAUCUCCUCUCGUCUGUUAGCUAGAUAGGUCGUCCUUAGCACAGUGCAGCUAGCUACACGUAGCACCGGGGUUCACUAUUUUGGAAUGCACAAACAUUUCUCGGAGACCGAAAUCUCACAAAAUAAUUUGAUAUUUGAACAAAUCUUCGCUUAGUUCAGAAACAAUUGCAGAGUAUUUUGACAUCCUACCAGGCCAGAACCCACCAGUAAAAAAGAAAUUUUCGGAAAAAGAUCAGGUCAAAAAUCCUGAACUUUGGGGAAAGCACUGAUCGUGUGAUGGUGGAGAUGUGCAACGGGGUUUAAAUUUUGGUGGCCACGAAUAUUAUGCACACGCAAGUGGAUUUCUGAUGGAAAUAUAGUGACAUCAGGGAUGUUCGUUGGUUUUUAUCUCUUUGAGCAUGUGCACGAGGGUGUAUUCGUGAGUGUGAGUGGUGUAGCGUGUGUGGUGGUGUGUGUCUGCCAUGUAAUCGUAAAAAAAAAUUCAUAACUCUGUAUCCCAAAUUAGCUAGAAAAUCGUGCAAUAUACUAUUAUAUAUAGCGAUGUACUAUCUUUACCGUAAAGUACAACGAUUUAGACAAACCCUAGCAUGUGUUUGAUUUAGUGGAUGGGAUGGAUCGGAUUAAUUGGGUCGAACUUAUUUUUCAGAGUGUUUACGUUUAGAAUAAAUGGGAUGGUUGAUCCUAUAAGGAGAAUGCUCAGCAAGAUCCGGGUCAACUUCACACCUUAAAAACUGAUCGAUCCAACUCACUUCAUUUCUCUCUCACUAAUAUACAGGUCACACCUUCCCGUCCCUCGUAAAAACAGAACCACUCUAUCUCUCAUACCAACCAGAUAGUGUGAUCAUCCUGCCAAGAGAAAAUAUAUCCUAUCAAGAGAAAAUAUAUGGAUGAGUCUAAUUCACAUCUAACCUCAAUCACAAACCAAACGCUACUAAUUAACUUAGAUUUUUAUUAGGACGCGGAGGUUGUAUCAUGCUGGGCUUGUGAAUGCGUGGACCAACCGACGGAUCGAGACACAUACACAGGCGGGCGAGGUCACGGUCGCGAUCAACGAUCGUGGCGCGAGGCAAGGCAAACAGGUACAGGUGCACGUACGACCUCCACACAGUGAUUCGAUUAGAUAUGCCAUUCAGUUUCUGUUGCAGGCCAUGGAGGUCAGGUGAGCUCAACUCAGAAUAUGAAUAUGGCCUGGUUUAGUUCCCAACUUUUUCUUCAAACUUUCAACUUUUUCAUCACAUCAAAACUUUCCUAUACACACAAACUUUCAACUUUUCCGUCACAUCGUUCCAAUUUUAGCGUGAACUAAACACACCCUAUAUAUGGUACUCCAUCCGUCGCAUUAUAAGUUUUCAUGUCCAACGUAUUUAACCGUCCGUUUUAUUUAAAAAUUUUAUGAAAAAAUUUUAAAAGUUAAGUUACGCAUAAAGUACUAUUCAUAUUUUAUCAUCUAAUAACAAUAAAAAUACUAAUAAUAAAAAUAUUUUAAAUAAAACGGAUGGUCAAAGUUAGAUAUUGAUACCCACAUUAUGGGACGGAGGGAGUACUGCUAGUCCACAAUAUGCAACCUUAGCUUUGACAACAAAUCAUGUGCCCCCCUAGUACAAGGGAUCAGGGCCCCAACUUGCACAUGCAUUGCUUUUCUCUUUCUUUUUUUUUCCUGUUUUUAUUUAUUUAUUUUGAAGAGGAGGGGUAGCUAGGCAUCUGAUCUGGAGUAGCAAGGAAAAGGGGAGAAAAUGAUGGGGAAAAUAAAGAUGGUGGGCAGGGGAGGGUGAGGAUGGGUUGAGUUAGAUUCUCACCAAGAUAGUAGUCAUCAUUUGUGUCAAAAGGGAUCAUCCAACUUGUGAGUUGGAUGGGAAUUCCUUCUUUUGUUUUGGUUUUGGGAGUGACGAUCAGAACAAGAAUAUUUGUAAGUUCGAUGCCAAUUUGCCGAUGGUUGGGGGAAGCACAUGAGCAUAAAUAAUGUUAUGCUAUUUUCGGUUCUUUCAAUUUACUAAGGUGCGAGAAUCGGACACGUCUCAUCGUUUCGCUAUAAUUAUGCUCAUCUAUAGUAGCACUUCAAAAAUGAUUUAUGGAUAAAACUUCCAUAAAUAUGUUUCUAGUAAUGCAAAAGUAAAUAUUUUAAAAAAGACUGUAAUAAAAAAAAUCAUAAAAUCAACUUUAAAAUUAAGUUUUAAAAUUUAGAUUUUGACUUAUAAACAAAAGCAUAAGUGAAACGAUAGGAUUGUUCGUAACCACUUUACAAACGUGUCAGAUUUGCCCAAAUAGGUGUGGUGGGGCUACUCUAUGGGCUUCUUUAGCUUAUAACCUCUCUUUUUUCCCCAAACAUUUCCUAGUCUUAUUUAACUUUCUUGCAUCCUCCAUUAGGCUACCGUGAUGAGGUAUUUUAAGUAGAUAACCAAAGUGUAUGCGUUGUUGGGGUUGAUGGGAUCAAUAAUAGAGUCAUAGAAUUGUGCAAAUUUUAGAGGGAAUGGAACCCUAUCACCACCAUGUCUAUAUAUAUAGACAUUCUGGCAUAGUUAGGCAUUUCCUUUUAUUUCUACUACACCACUUUUUAUCCCUUUCACCUCUCAUCAUCCCAAUUCCCUGUCCCAUUGAAUAGCUAGGCUGAAAGCAGAAGCGAUUCCAUUGGCACCAAUUAAUGGAAGCAAUUUUCUUAACUUGCAUCUUUCUGUAGGUCCCACCUAUACAUUAGAUGUUAUCGUGUGACCGUACGGUCUUUGCAUACACAUGACUAGUUGAUGGUAUCUUAAAGCACAAGGAUUUAAUUAAACAUUUUUUUCAGGUUCCUUCAGAGUCACAAGGCAUUAAGAAGGGUGGAGAGAUCAGCAGAUUAGCUAGUGUGGGGAGCAAUGUUGGUUACUACUAGCAGGCCACCAAUCUCUGCAACCAUGCAUGAAAAGGUGGAUAGGAUAAGUGGUGUUGUCCAUGAUUUUGCCCACAAAGAAUGCUAUGCCUCUACAUUUGGCACACAUUGCUUGGUAUAAAAUCAUGGGAUAAUCUUUUGGCUUCAAUUAGUAGGCCCCAAUAAUAUAAUGCAUGCAUGCUUGGUAGAUCCAAAAGGCUAAUAAUAGCAUAUGGACAUGAGAACAAAUAUGUGCCAUCCUUGUUGGGUGUUGUUUCUGUUCUGGCUUCCAAGGAGGAAUAAUUUAAGUCCCAUGUGUAAUGAUGUAGAAGCUAGUACUAAAGGAUCAAGUGGUGGCAUGAACUGUAGUACUACUAUGUGUAGGAACAAAAAGAUAUUUCUUUCUUUUCUUUUGUGGAUGAAAAUUCCCUCCAUCAAACCUUUUCUUUUGUCAAAACGAUGUUCCAUCUCUUUCCUUUCACCCAUAUUCACGUUUUUUUUAGAACAACCCAUAUUCACCUUUGAGAUAGCUAAUAUAGAAACUGUCACUUCUAGUUGCAUUAGGUUUUAGAUGUGACACCCUUAUUAGAAAAACCAUUGUUGUCAUUAACAUUAGGUGAAUUUGAAUUUGCUUUGUGAAAGCUACCCACCUACAAAUGCCAUGCAUGAAUAAUUCCAAUGGUUGAAUAAUAACUAUUGGCUUUUUCAUGCUUGCAUUUUUCCUAACGCAUUUUUGUGCUUCGAAAAAGUUUAUUUCGACAUGAAAAAGCAGUCUAUAAGCCAUCAUACGACGAAUCAAAAGGAGACUAAAAUUUGGGUUCCUAGCAGCAGUGCCGUGAAAUUGCAUGCAUGAUCUUAGUACAUCCAAAAAAUAGAUUAUAAGAUAUCAAAAUCCAUAUUAUAAAUUUAAUACACACAGAAUAUAUAUAUAUAUAGAGAGAGAGAUACAGUAUAUAAUAAGAGUACAAUUCAAUGCCUUAAAAAAUUGCCACUGCUUGGGGUAUACAUCUGAUCCUUCCUUUUUCUUUAUUCUAUUUUUGAAGCUAUCGAGUAUCAAAUAUUCUACAUAUAUAUUGCGCAUUGGCAUAUAUAAUGGCCGAAUCUCCCUUGUCCCAAUCGAUCACACGUGAACCAGUGAAUUUUUUUUAGGAACAAAUUAAGAUUUUUAUUAGCACUGAUGAUGUGGUGGCUAACUCGAUAGUUCACCUUUUUGCCUUCUUUUGCUUUGACAAUUAAUAUUGUUAGAUAAAUGGAGGAAUCACCUUUUUACUCCUUUAAUUAGUUGACUAAAGUGAAGGGGACACAAGAGAGACAUUUUAUUGUAUGCAAUGUGUGAGCAUGACUACCCUGAAAUGAAUAGUACUAUAUAUCUUUCUUCUUACACAUGGGUGAUGUAUGACAGUUAACCACAUCCCAAUAAUCUAUUCUAGCUCAAUUAAUUAGAAGUAGUAAUCAAUCAAUUGAAGGAGUUUACUAGUAAAUCACAAGGCUCCAUGCUAAUCAGGACAAAUGUACUUGGACUCAAGGACACUGGACAAUGACUGGAUGGAACCUAGAUGAGCCUCCAUGAAGGUGACAGAGAGAAAAGGACGGCGUCCUAUCCACGUACUGUGCCCUGUGUGGCUGUAGCACAUCUAUCGUAUCAAUUCUACCGGUGUCGAAUCGAUCUUUAAUUUUUAUAGAGGUAUUACUACUGAUUUAUUCAUGAUAUGGAUUGAUAUUACGUUUAGUCAAAAACAUUUUCAAUUCUGCAAAAUGAAGCAUAACAAAAACACUUGUACUUUUGUGUGUGUGUGUGUGUUUGCUUGAGAGAAAAUGAAAGACAACCGAUAUGACAUCUGGUGUGCUAACCACUCUGGUGGACACACGACAUGAAAGAAUCAGAGGGGAAAUGAGAGGACAGUAUAGUGCUGGCAUUCACUCUCACCCUGACAAAAAACCUUGUAUCAGCUCAGUGAAUCCAAUCAAACUAUAUUGAUAUAUUUUCAAAAAAAUGUUGUUGAGACAUGAGAUAUUGAAUUUGAUAUAUAAAGCUGCCAUGUUAUUUUUUUUAUAAAAAAAAAGUGUGCCGCCAAGCUGAUUGUGAAGCCAUCGCCCAACCAUUAUCUUUAUUGCACUUUGUAUGCCUCAACAAGCUUACGAGUUUCUUACGCAUCUAUGCACAAUAAAUACAAUAAAAUUCAUUAAUUUGUUAUUUGAAGAAAGAUAUGAUCUCAUUUAUGUCAACAUGCAUAGCCAUAUACCUACAUCAUUAUCUGAAAAAUAGCCAUAUACCUACAUUGCCAUCCGGCAUGUACCAAUCUAUAGCUAAGACUAUCCUCUCUGUGCACACCCUUUUUUUCAAGUGUCUAUACGCAUACCCACAUGAGGCAUCUAUGUGUAUAUGGUCAGCAUUGGUGCUAGUACCGAAUAAAAACUUUAUAUCAUCACCUACAUGAUAAGGAUAAAGAGUUCUGUUUUAUGAAGCCCCUCUUAAAGUAUAUGCAUUAUAUUCUCAACCCCUUUUUUUCUUUUUUUCAAUUUUAGUAUACAUGGACAACUGAAAAAUACCGAAAUUUGAAUUUACUACGAGAAAGAGAGGACAUAGACAUAUUCCAAAAAAUAGGUGGUAAUUGGCUAGGAAUGGACAGAUUGUGACACGAUUACGAUAUCUCACCAAUUGGGCUAUGGAUUCAUCUACCUAUUCGGUAUGGUACUAUAUGUUGACAUAUUCAUACCGUGAACGAUGGUCUUAUAUAUUCAUUCAUUCUACCUGCAAAUCUGACUUUAUAUUAUAUGGUUUUAUAUUGCUCCCUCCUAAAAUAAAAUAUAAUUAUUUCUAACUACGAAAAGACAUGGAGGGAGUAUAUAGUUAAUUAGUUGGUUAAAUCUCAAAUUUUACAUAUGGGCUAGGUAGUUUAUUUUUCGAUAAACUAUACAGUUUCUACUUUAUAGUUUUUUUUUCAUGGACGAUUAUUUCCAAUAAACCAAGAUUUUUGAAAAUAGCAAUAUCCUAGUCAAAAAUGAAAAAAAAAUAUUGUUUCAUUCCAUACAUUAUAUUUGUAUGAUUUAAAUUCUUCCAAGAUUCGUGUAAUAUUUUUUUUCUUUUUGUCCUUGAGUCCCACCUCCCUCAACGUCAUCAUCAUAAUAGUUGUCCCACGCUGGAGCAUUUUGGCAAGACCCUUUCUCUUCGCCUUUGACGUUGUCGUCUCACUUCUUCAUUAGGUGGACUCGCCUCUCAAUCUCCUCUUCUAGCCUCCAUGAUUAUGAUGACCUCUCCUCCCACACAUACUAACACAACGCUCACCACAUCACACUUCCUGACAUAUAUAAUCAAUAUGCUUCUGGCCUAGUCACCACCACCGCUUUCGCAUCGUUGAGUAAGAAUCCUCGGCCAUUAUCCCUUGUCUUUUCCUCGCCUUCUUUGUCAGCAUGGGCGGCUCAAGAUAGAACGGAAUGUCCCAACCAUUGGAUUGAGAUCCAAUAUAUAUAUAUAUAUAUAUAUAUAUAGCAAAACCAAAAUAAAAUAUCAUCGCACAAGUGUUUUUUUCUCUUUUGCUAAUGUCAAUAAUCUUUUGUCAAAUCUGAUAUGCCCACCAUAGCAAAAACAAGGAAAGAAAAACUUGUGUGAUGACAUUCUGCGCAAUCCCACCCUCGUCGAUGACAAUUCGCACAAUUGACUUUUUGUCAAUAGUGAAACAUAUAUUUUCUUGAAAGGAAAUAAUCAAUAGCAGCCAAAAACAAUGUAACAAACCGCCCUCCAAAUCGAGUUGGCCAGCCAACCGAACGCUAUUGCGGCUCUUUCUUGCGUCCUCCCCGUGGAUCGCAAAGGUGGCAUGCUCCUGAUAGAGAGCAGCAGCGUGCGUGACACGUACUUUAUGAAUAGCGCGUGUCCGUUGGAUGGAUGCACCGAGCAUCCCCGUGCGGUGCGGCCCGUUGGUCCUCACUCUCUAUCUAUCAAUAAGUACUCUAGCUAUGUACACAUCUUGUGUAUCGUCAUGCUUUGCUAACUUCUAGAAACGAAAUCUGCCUUGUUUUCUUCUCUCUUUUUUUUCCUAGCUAGAUCGAUCUAUCGAUUGUGCUACACUUCCUCCGUCCUAAAAUAAGUUUUUUUUCACCCAUCCCAUACAUAUCAGUACAAAAUAAAAAAAACUAAAAUAACCUCACCUUAUCAAAUGCCAAUACAAUUACUCAUUUCUUUAUCUACUUCCAAUGUAUUUAUAGCCUGCUUUCACAAACUUCGCUAUAAUAAUUGCUAAAAUAAACUUAUGUUAAGAUAAAUGGGAGAGAUAAAAAAAAUAAACUUAUUCUAAUAGAGGGAGUAGCUAACUCCAUACUUUUACUUAUCGAUCUGUGUGUCUGAUCAGCAACUUCGUUUUCUUUGCUAACGGGGGAGAUCAUAUAUAGCUAACCGGGCAGGUCAUAAAUGAUCUCGGUUGUCUCUUCUCACCAUGUUUAUUGUCUUUUUGUUACUUUUUUUUCGUUGGGCAUUUGGUCAUCGUAGGAUGUAUGAACAACUGAUCCAAGCAUGUAACAUAUCCACCAUGCUUGCUUGCUUUUUUUUUUGUUGAGUGUACGGUUGCUAAACCAAAUAUACGUUGUAUAGUUCAUUAAAUUGGGGGUACUAGACUAGAUGAGAGUAGAGAUUGAUACCCGUGCAAUGUCAUCAUCGAGCUAUAUAUUGCCGCUGUAUUGCUAGCUAUUAAAUAACCUUUAUUAUGAGUUUGUUAUUUCGCUAGCUAGUAUAACAUACAAAUGGUUUAAUUGGUAUUUUCUCGAGGAAAACCAAAGUUCUAUAUUUAUUUCGACGAAAACGUUAAGUUUUAUAAUAGAUGCUGCCUUUCUAACAUUGCUAUUUAAAUCAUUUUAUCAGCUCAUCUAAAACUUAUAAUAAAACCAAUAAGGUUUUACAUGCCUAAUGUUCCUACUUUCUAGUUUGAUAUUCUCCAAUCUAUGACGCGACGCGAUAUGGUCGGUGUUGGGUGAUCGAUACUAUUCUGUUUUGGCGUCAAUUUUCACCAACUAUAGCUUGAUUAAUUAUUUAUCUUUAUCUCUUCCCAUUUAAGUUAAGACAGCAAUUGCAUGCAACUUCACAACGAAGAAAGCAUGCGCGAGCUAGCUAGGAGGAUUUGCACAUUAAGUUUUUACACCAAAUAUAGAGACGAUAUAUAUUUGGAUCAUCAAUUAAUUUCCGCAAAAACUUUAGGCAAGACACAUGCAUGAACGGACGCUUUCCUCACCAAAAAUUAUGGCCUCGUUAUUUAUUAUUUUCCCUUCCUGCUAAUUUUGACCCCUUUAUAUGCGUUACUCCCUCUGAUGUAUGACAAAUUUUUUCGUUUGUUUAUCAGUUGAAAAAUAUUUUGCAAUUAAAAUUAUUUAAAAGGUGUCGCAAUGUAACAACAUAUACUUUUUUUAAUGGAUGCAAUACACCUCUUUUAAAUAAUUUUGUCUUUCCAUACCUUGCUUUUUGAAUUUUUUUUUCUUAAUCCAAUUAGUACAGGUGUACAACUAGAAUGCAAUUGUCUAUAGUUAUGAAACUUUAGCUGUAUUUUGGAUUCUCUACAGUAACAUUAAUAUGAGUCCGCUACCGUAUUUUAAUGCAAGAAAUAGCGCCCAUUGUAUUUGUAUCCUGUACAGCUGGCUCAGAUAAACCAAACGCUUGUCACUUUAAAGCAAAUCACUACCCUUGAUAAAAAAAACUUCCAUGUUGUUUUUGACACUUUUCAAGUCAAACUUUAAAAUUAUAUAUAUUCACAUCUAUAUGUUUUUAUAUUUAGAUUGGGCAUAUGAAUUUAAUAUGCAUAUAUGCUAUAUUUUCUUAUAAUAGUUUUUUUUAUAACACCAUGGUUUGUCAGUUGAAAACAUUUAGUAAUACAAAUUAGCCACUAAAAUUAUUUUAAAGACAAUGUCGUUGCUCACAAGUGGGAAACAUGUUUUUUUAAUGGAGGUGGUACACCAUUUUUAAAAGUAUACUUUUGCCUUUCGAUACCUUAAUUCUCGAUAUUUUUUCUUUUCACUCCCAUUCGCUUAUGAACAUAUAGUGGAAUAUAAUUGGAAUAUAAUUAUAUGUAGCUAUGAAACUUUAGAUGUAUCGGGAUUCUCCGCAAUAACAUUAAUAUGUAUGCGAUAAUGUAUUUUAAUGCAUGAAGUAGUGUAUAGCGGAUUUGUAUCCCGUACAGCUGGUCCAGAUUAACCAAACGUAUAUCUCUUUAAAGCAAAUUUACUGCCUCCGAUACGAAACGUUUUAUUUUUGGACACUUUUCAUGUCAAACUUUAAUAAUCCGUAUCUUUUGGAAUUUUUAGAUUUGAUAUAUGCAUCAAUACAGGUUGCCUCAAAUACUAAUUUCACAGUAUUCUAAUUCUUUGAGUUCUAAAAUAUUUUGCAAUAGAAAUUAGCGAUAUAAUCAUCAUAUUUUAAAGACAAUAUCUACAUAUAAAAACAAUGUGAUUUAAUGGAUACAAGAAGUGUUAAAAUUAAGAAAUCUAUUUUUUACUCCUUAGAAAAAAAAAUCUCUUUUCAUCCUCUCUACAUUGCCUACCCGGGUCUCCAUAAUUGAGUGAAAACCGCACCGGUCAAUUAAGAAAGAAAUAUAAAAAUUGGAGAUCUCCUGGAAAAAGGAGAAAGGUUUAAUGAAUUUUAUUUACUCCAGGCGGUUUUUUUUCCUUCUUAUUCUGUUUCUGGUUGCUUUCUCACUCUAGGCAGCCAACCUGACCACCAUAAAUACUUCUCUCCCUUCUCUGCAAUCGCCUCAUUUGUUGCCUAGCUAAUUCGCGUCAUUCAUCUCCUCCUCCUUAUAUUAGGCGCGCACCGCACGCGUGCUCAUCCCGAUCGCCAUGGCCGUCGACGCGCACCACCUGCACCGCCUCCCACCACCGAUCCAGCCUGCUGAAUCCAUGUUCUCGCCGAGGCAGCCUUGUUUCGGCGCCGCCGCCGGCGAGGUUGUCGUCGGCGGCGCCGGUGGCGCGGUGAUGGCGGGGCUUUGCCAGGAGGAGCAGCUGGUGCAGGGGUACCGCCAGGUGUUUGUUGGAGGUGGUGGGGUGAGGCAGCCGGCGGCGGCGGAGGUGAUGAGGCAGUACUCGCAGGUGUGCGCGGCGGCGGCGGACGCGGCGGAGAGCGGCGUCACGUUCGGCGGCGGGCAGGAGGCGGCGGCGCCGAGGAAGAGGAAGCGCGCCGAGGUGCCGGUGGUUCUUGGCGCCGCGGGCGACGUGGCCGUGGCGGCGCAGGCUCGCCAGCAGCUGGUCGACGUCGACCGCCUCGUGCUCCACCAUGUAAGUUGGUUUUUCUCCUUCCGGCGCGACGCGCUCGCCGCCAUGCGCAUGCAUGUUGCUGAUCCCGUGGCGAUGCGUGCAGGCGGCGAAGAUGUGGGCGGAGCUUGCGGAGCAGAGGGGGAGGCACGCGAGGCAGAUGGUGGCCACCGUGGAGGCCGCGGCGGCGAGGCGGCUGAGGGCCAAGGACGAGGAGAUCGAGCGGAUCGGUCGCCUCAACUGGGCGCUCGAGGAGCGCCUCAAGGGCAUGUACGUCGAGGCGCAGGUGUGGCGCGACCUCGCGCAGUCCAACGAGGCCACCGCCAACGCCCUCCGCGGCGAGCUCGAGCACGUCCUCGACGCCCACGCGCGCCGCGGCGCCGACCACGGCGACGGCGACGACGCCGAGUCCUGCUGCUACGGCGAGAACGACGUGCUCGCGCGCGCCGCCGGCGACGGCGAGGCGGCGUCGGCCGAGCGGCGCUGCAAGGGGUGCGGCGAGGCGGCGGCCGUGGUGCUGCUCCUGCCGUGCCGGCACCUGUGCGCGUGCGCGCCGUGCGCGGCGGCGGCGGCGGCGUGCCCGGCGUGCGGGUGCGCCAAGAAUGGCAGCGUCAGCGUCAACUUUUCGUGAGCGAUGGCGGAGGGAAAGGAGUAAUAGCAAUUAGACUAGAUUUUUUUUCUUUUCUUUUCUUUUUUUUCUCUCUCUCCUCCGUUUUUUUUCUUUUCUGUUUUGGUUUAGCUGAUGGGGAUAAUAGGGCGAUAUGGUCUAAUGAUGUGGAUAUGAGGGGAUGAGUUUUCCUUUUUUGUGUUGGAUCAAUUUGAUCAACAAGGAAAAAAAACAUAGGAAUUUGGUAACCUUCAAAUCAAAAUUGUUGCUUCGAUUUUCUAGCUUCCUUAAUUAAUUAUAUUUUUUAGUUUAUUUUCAUGAUAUAUAUAUACAUGACAUUAGAAAUGACUGAUCAGCUGCAUGCACGGGAUACUUGUGUUUUUUUUUCUUUACAAUAUUUUCAAACUCGAAUUUGAUCCGCAACCAAACUGCUAGAUGAAAAAUCCUUUGACAUUUAUACUUCGUCUAUCUUCCAAGAAGAAAGAAGUCUGACGAAUCAUAGACAUCGUACCAUGUGCCUCUCUUUUGUCAUCAUGGUGGUUGGCUGUAACUUAUUCGCUUACGUCUAAUAUACAAAAAAUAUAUCUUUAACAUUUUUAACUUUGUUUUUUCUCAUGCAAUGCAAGCAUGCAACCAUUUUAGUUUUACCUGAAAACUCUGCAUUUAUACGCGUACAUUACGCUAAUCUGCAUGCGGUCGUUUUACUUGAUGCCAAUUUGUUUUUUCUUCAGACUCCAGAGACCAGGGCUUUAAAUUUUAAUAUAUUUUGCUCGGAUUUCCGCGUUUAAUUAAUUAGUCGUUUCCCGGCCGGUGUAUUUACUGCAAACCGCGUGGCACAAUGGUAGUAAGAGAGACUUUUUUUUCACGAACACGUGCAGUAUAAUACGACAGUCGUAAAAUAUAGUAUAACACAUAUAUUGAUGUAUAUGUGAUCGGUCAUGAUCAGAUCAUGCAAGAAGAAGCAAUCAAUCAAAGAAUCAAAGGAAAUGAUCUGAUCGACUACUGCUGGUAUUAAAUAUAUACUACUGUGCAUAUAUAUAUAUAUAUACGCAGAUCGAGCGAGCUAGCAUUUGUAGCGUCAAUUUCACGUGACACGUAUGUUGGAUUCAUACAUUUUACUAGAAUAGAGAUAUGUUUAAUUAAUUUGAUACUAGCUAUUUUGAUAGCAAGUAGAGAAGAAGAUGAAGAGAUCUAAGUCGCCGAUCGACACGCACGACAGAUCGAUCGAGAAGAGAAAAGAAUAGAAGAGACGAAGGAAGAAGCAGGGAUGCAUGGGCUUGAAUACAUACACAUAAAUAUGUGUAUACAUGACACUAUUAUAGAAAUGAUUUUUUUAUACGAGAUCCCCGUUAGGUUGCAACGGUAGUUAACGUAGCAAAGGUAUAGCUGAAGUAGAAAUAUAGAGCCUGGCUGGCAGUGGCCCCCUGUAUACUGUACCAGCUUAAUUAGCUGAUGCAGAGUUUUGUUUAGAGAAGCGUAGUUUUUUACCGGCCUCUACAUCCAUCUGAUUGCAGAGAUAAGUGCUUUGCAAAUUGCAGUAGCUUAUAUUAUCUGCAGAUCGAUCGACACAUAGCAUGCAUCAGCAGCAGCAGAUCGAUCGAUCGGUCACCAGCGUAGCAGCAGGUGACAGACAGACAACAUACACAAUCAGAUUCAGAUCGAUAUCUCUACGUACACAGCAGUAGUAACAAUAAGGAAACAACAAUGCAAGUACGAAUUGCACAUUAUUAUUCACUAACACAUCUAUGAUUGGACGCAGAUGUAGUACAUGCCUCGGUAGUGCUACCUCCAUCCAAAAAGAAUACAAUUUUCAUGUUUAACAUUUAUUUGAUUGUUCAUUUUAUUUCAAUUUUUUAUAUGAUUAGUAUUUUUAUUAUUAUUAGAUGAUAAAAUAUAAAUAGUAUUUUAUGUGUGACUAAUUUUCUUAUUUUCUUUUUAUAAAUUUUUUAAAUAAAACGGACGGUUAAAAGUUGAACACGGUACGACGGAGGUAGUAAUUUGGUUCGCCGCCGUACGUACAGUACAUGUGGAGUCUAUAUAUCUCGUAUAUAUACGUGUCGUCGUAAGAGCGCGUGUUGAUGGGAAAGGUCGUCGUCGACUGGCCGGCCAAGGUACGUACCUAGCCUAGCAAUUUGUUAGAUCGUGGGUUUUGGAUCGGCGUUGCAUGGGCAGUACAGGUGCAUAGGGGGUUAGAUUACACCGCCCGACGAUUGGGACUGAUCAGAUCAAAUUAAACCGCUCGGUUUCCAUGGUAUAUAUACGUACUCAGUUGACUAAAACGGAUGGUGGUAUCGAUGCGAAUGAUCGGAAGAAUUUCUCACAUGAUUCGAUAUAGUUCGGUCGGAUAAUACAACAAAAUUCGAGUACAAAACGAUGAUCACCUAGUCGUAAGAUUUCUCGGACAUUCAUCGUGAUAAAUUUAAUAAUGUAACAUGGGUUUACGAUAGUGGAUCACAUGCCGACAUGCGUCUAUAUUAACGUACGUGUGUGCAUCGCUCGCUUGCUCGGUCAGAUUUGGAUUCAUGUUUAAGCUUGUUUUAAAAAUUUUAAAAAUUGGGAUAGAUAUGAUAUACAUGCAUGGCACACACGUUUUUUUUUAUAAUUUUACUUCCAUUUCUUUCUUCGCUCUUCAAUUAAUCUAAAAACAUCAUGUUCUUGAUUUUCAAAUCUAAAAACACUAUGUUCUUUACUUCUCUUAGACUGUUGUCGCCUCACCUUUAGCUCACUCGUUGCUCCAGGCAGUCCUUAAGCUUGCAUUUGCAAUUGUGCCGUCAUACUAUACUCAUCCAUGGCUGCAGCAAAGAGUUCUGUGACCACCGCAUCUAUUAUAUACGUUAGACAGUCUAACGCCACCGCCAUUGCUACUCCCAAGCUCGGGUUUUAAGGUAAUGAUCAAUAGGAUUUUGCAUGAUUCAAUGGAAUUAUUCAAACGAUAUAACUGUGACAACCAUGUGGUUUUUGAAAUUUUAUCAAGGUUAAACACCAAGCCUCUGAUAGGUUUUUUGACGGUUAGAUCAUAUGUGCUUGAGAUAACUGGUUAAUGCACGAUAUGUUUGCAUCGAUUAGUAGAUUAUAGAUUAUUCUUUAUAUGUUAUUAUAGUGUAAAUUUAUAUUAGAAUUAUAUUUGUGUUUACUCGAUGAGUUUUCUUUGGGGCAAUCGGGGUGCUAUUGUUUUAUUUUUCUAAUUAACUCAUGUACUUCCUUUUUUUAAAAAAAAAAGCUUGGAAGAACUUUUGCCGAUCAAGGGCGGAUGCACGAAAAAAAUUAAAGGGACUAAACAUACUAGGGGUGGUAAGAUGAUAACAAAUUGUCUUUUAUGAAAAAUAAAAUAAAAGAGGGCCAAAGCGGGCAAACCGGGAGGGGAUGCUUUAGCCCACAUAUUGGAUCCGCCUCUGAAAAAAAAAAGAAUCAGAUGCAUUGCUUACAUCCUUUCAUGAUAAAGUACACCCUUGUUGAUGUAUAGGUUGGGUUUUAAUCAAUUAUUACAAAAAUAUCCCAAUAAAAAGAAAAGAGCUCUUCAAUAAACCCCUUAUUAUAGGAGUCAUGAUGUUUGCUUCUAUUGUGCCAGCUGUGGCUCACUAGACAAAGAAGAUAUUCUUGGAAACACUCCCCUAGCUGGAGUACUGCAAUUGUGGUAUGGUUUUCUGGAACAACCUCUCUCCAGAAUAUUCAGCAAUGUUAAGAAUGGAGACAUUUAACUAUUUGACACUUUUAGAUAUGGCGUUUAAUAUUUUGUCACAUAAGCCUAUGUAUCAUAUACGUGUAAGGGUCCACAUGUUAUAGACAUGUGAAUAAUAAAUUUUAAAUACAACAUCUAAAAGUGGCAAAUAGUUAAAUGCAUCAGAAUUAAAGAUGUGAUUCUUUAUUGAAAAUUUUGCCCUCUUGUUUUCCUUUCAGUGGUGGUACCUAGUGCAAAUUAUCAUGUUCAAGAGCUACUCCCAUCCGUCAUAGAUAUUUGGUAUUACUCACUGACAUAUACAUUAAACCUCAUCCUCCUACCGGCCGAUAUGCUAGUCACGCACCACUAAAGCGGUAGAUGUGAGAAGCCUUCUCUCUUUUAAGUUUUUAGUCAUCUUGCGCAUGCUACAUCUUGUGAUGCCUGCCCCGUACGUGUGUGGGCUGUUGCGGCGGGGCUCUUUUGUUGGCUAGUAGUAGGUAGUAUAGCCUAGUAGUGUGAACAGGUGCCGUCAAAUCUGAUAUCAUCAUAUCAUCUCGAUCAUCAGACCCGUGUGUAUCGCAUGUUUCUUAUCAUCGGUAACACGAGUGAUAAGGAGAAAGACCAUAAUAUACGUGUCCCAUCUACUAACUCAACGAGUAAAUCUUGGUCAAACUGCCACAUCAAAAGAAACCAUUUUCCAAACCACACCGUUUUUCGAAGAUAGGAAAUGUGUUAUAUCUGGUUUUACAAUUAAGGGAAGCAAUUCAACCUGGAGUAAGAAAUGAGGGACACAAUAGACUUAUUCCUAAAGGAAUAAGUUCACCGGAAGUCCCUCAACUUAACAACGAGAUUUUUCAAGGUCCUUUAAUCAUAAAACAAAAAAUGUGUACCCCUAAACUCACACAAACCAUGCAGUAUAUAUGGGUGGUUUCGCUGACAUGGCAUCCUAGUCAGCAAAAAAAAUAAAAAAAAGUACGUGGGGCACACAUGUCAGCUGCACAUCUAUUUUUCUUCUCUUUUCUUCUGCUUCUCUUCACUUUUCUCUCCGGCGGCCGGCGGGCAGAGCGGCGAUGGGCGAGUGGUGGGCGAGCACGGCGGCAACCGCCGUGCUCCUGCUGUUGGGCACGUCGAGGGCGAGGAACCCGGCGCGCCACUCGUCCUGCCUCGCUCGUCGUCGAGCGCAUGCUGCAGGGGUGACGGCCGAAGCACCUCUCUCGGCAUGGCAGGCGCCGCCGCGUCGCACCCCCUAGCCACAGCAGCGCCGUGGAAGCUCCGCUACUGCGGCGACGAGAACCGGGAGGACGCGGACGUGGACGCUAGGGGUGGGCAGAAAAAAACCGAACCGAAAGAUCGAACAGAAAAGACCGAGACCGAGAAAUUCGGUCAUCAAUUCGGUUCUAGAUAGUGAAAGACCGAAUUUUGUUCGGUCAUUCGGUUAGUCUCCUCGGGUAACCGAAUAGACCGAAAAGACCGAAUUAUCAAAAAAAUGUCUAAAUGCAACCUACAAUCCACUAUGUUUAAUAGGAUUAAACUCUAAUUUUCACAUCCCUACUUCUUCUAGGCAUGCAACCUAAUAAGAGUCUUUACUCAUAAGUGCUUACGAUUUUUUUUGUGAUUUUUGUGUUGAAAAUUUCCAUUAUUUCUUUGUAUAUAUGAAAAUGUUGUUGAAUUUCGGUCAGGACCGAGACUGAGGCCGAAUUUGUCGGUCCUGACAUUUUUGCGCUGAAAUUCAGUCUUCACUUUUCAAAGACCGAAAGACCGAAGACCGAGACCAAAAUUUUCGGUUAAACCAAAUGCCCAGCCCUAGCGGACGCGGUGGCGCUCCUCGGUGACAGGUUCACCUACUCCAGUGGCCACAGCUGUUGCUCCGAUGGGUAGUCACGCACGCACCCGAUCCGUGGCCCGGUGUCAAUCGUCCACCGGAAGGAGAGUUGCUUCCCGAGCUGAUACGACCUCAUCCCCCUCUUGGAGUUGAUCCUCUCCAGGUUCUUCUCCCUCGGCACCGGCACCUGCUCGCCGACCCUCCUCCUCGGCUUUAGUGUUCUCAGCAACAGUAGCAACAACUGACGAUGAAUCUACCCUCCUCGUCACCGUUGGUUCGUCGCAGCCGUCGAUCUCUCCGAAGGUUGGUUCAGCGACUCGAGGCAUCUAGAAAUGGCCGGUUUCUUCAGCUUCAGCGGCUUGGUCUUCAGAGUUGUCGAUGGCAGUGCUUUUGGGGUAGCUCUCUUCACUUUUCUCGUCCUGCCUUGCCCGCCGUCGAGCGGCGGCGCCAGGUUCGUCGCCCUCGGCGCACCCAAAGACAACAGCACGGCGGCCGCCGCCACGCUCACCCGCCGCUCCGCCCACUGGUCGCCGAAGAGAAAAGUGAAGAGAAGGAGAAGAAAAGAGAAGAAAAAAAACAUGUGCAGCUAACCAUGUGGGCCCCAUGUACCAUUUUGUUUUGCUGACUAGGAUGCCACGUCAGCGAAAUCAUCCACAUAUACUACCAUAGGACCUUGAGUGCAUGGUUUGUGUGAGUUUAGAGGUACACAUUUCUGGUUUGGUGCUUAAGGGACCUCAAAAAAAAUCUCGCUGUUAAGUUGAUGGACCUUCGGUGAACUUAUUCCAAGAAUUUUUUUUUCAUUUUUAGAUUUUUUUUAAAUAUUUACAGAAAUAAUCUAUCGGCUAAAAAAAUUACAAAAAUAGACCCUGCCGCCCACCUCUGGGGCAGCAAGCUGACGUGGCAAACGGGGGAGGGACGAGCGGUGACGGAGGGAGGUUUUUUUGCAGGAAAACCCUUGCCGCCCCAAAAGAGGGCGGCAAGGGGCCCCAAUGCAAAAAAGCCAGUCGGGGCCGGCCAUUUUGCAGGCGGCCCCUUGCCGCCCUCUGGCCGAGCGGUAGGCCUCGCUGCCUAUAAAAGUCCUGUCGCCCGGCCCCCAGCCCUCAUUCCUCCCCCACAAAUCCACUGAAAAAAAAAGAAGAAAGGGGAGGAGAAGAGAAGAAGGGGCGAAGCCCUGCCAGAUUCAGACGCCGAUUUCAGGUAAUAUUCAUAAAUCCUAUAUGUGACUAUUGAGUUAAAUACUGUGUAUUUUUUAAAACUUUGUUUGAAUAAAUGCAUUAUAUUUUUAGGGUUUUAGUUGUACUAAUCUAGAAGUGCGUAUUGUAGAUAUCAGUAACUACGUAGAUCUGCUAGUUUGGAAUCAAUACUUUACCGUUGCAUUGGCAUACACAAGAAGAUAUUACGUUGUAGAUGUUUAUUGCAUGAAAGAGUAAUAUGAUCUAGUUAUUUCAUUGACAGAUAUGUCGAACAAACAAAUAUUCCAAGUUUACCAUGGCCCAGGAAAUGUCCGUUACGGGCCAACUGGGGUAGAUCUAUCAGAUUUUAUUGUAUCAAAAAGGGGAAUUGAUAGACCGGAUGAGAGGAGUGUAUCUUCUAUAAAAGGAUGGUUAAUGAGGGGCUUGAGAGUUGAUCCACAGACAAGUGACAUAACAAUCAAUGUUAUAGUAAGUCGGGCAACUGAGGGUUUUUAUUGGGAACUAAUGCCAGUUCAAAACUCUCGAGUGUGGAGAUGGUAUGUGGAAAAUGCAUUGCAACGCGGGUGGCCUCUAGGUAUGGUUCCGUUUGUUCACCCGAAGGAUCCAGGUGUGCAGAUGAACAUGGAUGAUGGCGAGGGACCAAGUGCUGAAGUAAAUGAGACUUCUGUGGAGGAGGUCAACGCACGAGAGGACAGGGGCGUAGUAGCUCCAGUGGGCAUUCAACCAGGUGGAGUGGCCGACGAGGGGGAGACUGUCGGUGCCAUUGUGGAUGAAAUGGAGAGGGAGGAUUCUGACAACGAGCGUGUAGAGGAAGGUGAUUCGUCAGAUGAUGAGACGGAUAUUAAUCCAGCAGAAUGGGCUAGUGAGGAUUUUUCUGGGCUGGUCGUCUCUGAAGAGGAUAGUGUGAUAUGGGAGUACAAAGAAAAUGAGGUUAUUCAGGGAGCGAUUUAUAGUAGAGCAGAAGAUAUGAAGGAGGCGGUAAAACAUUUUGUAGUGUCACUUCAUAGAGAGUUUUGGGUUGCCAAGUCCAACCGGUCACAAUAUGAAGUUCGGUGUGUUAAGGAAAAAGAUGGUUGUCCCUGGAGAGUGCACGCUUAUAAGGGGAAAUGGAAGGAUUAUUGGACAGUGUCAGUCGUUACCAAGCAUACAUGUUUUCUACCUGGUGUUCAGAAAUACCACAGGAACAUUACAUGUGCAUUUGUUGCAUCUGAGAUGUAUGCGCAUGUCAUCGAUAAUCUCACAUAUGAACCAAGGUCAAUAAUCCGACACAUCGAAGAGACAUACAAGUAUACUAUUAGCUAUGCCAAGGCCUGGAGGGCCAAACAGAAAAUAAUAGAGAUGAGAUUUGGAACUUACGAAGCCUCGUAUGACAAUUUGCCACGCCUGCUUGGUGUUAUCGAGGAAAGAAACCCUGGGAGCUCUUACGCAGUGAAGAAAUUCCCCUCAAUUGAACAUCCUGGCAAGAGUGUGCUGCAAAGGGCGUUCUUAGCUCUACAUGCAUGCAAGAUGGCAUUCGUGAACUCUCGUCCUGUUCUCUGCAUUGAUGAGACAUUCUUGACAGGAAAGUAUCGGGGCCAGAUACUAACAGCAAUAGGGGUAGAUGGGAACAAUCAGGUAUUGCCCAUGGCAUUUGCUUUUGUUGAGAGUGAGAAUACCGACAGCUGGUACCGGUUCCUGAAAUUGGUUAAAACAAAAGUUGUUGGUAUGAGGCCAAAUGUGUGCCUGAUACAUGACAGAAACGCUGGCAUUCUGCGAGCGAUAGAAGAGUUGCAGUUUGGGAGUAUGGAACGAGGAUACCCUGGUGAGUGGGAAGAUGUACAGAGUAAGUGGUGCAUGCGUCAUAUGGGAGCUAAUUUCUUCAAGCAAUUCAAGAACAAGGAGCUCAUGAACAUGUUCAAGAGGCUAUGCAUUCAGAACCAGGAGAAAAAAUUCAAUGAGCUUUGGAAGAGAUUAGAUGAGUUGACAGCCAAAUGCAGUGAUCAGCGUGCAGCGGCUCCAUCGACCGCCGUUGCUGACCCUCCUCAAGCUCUUGGACCUCUCCCAACGGAUAGUCCAACAUUGGUUAGAAGAACUGGAGUGGAGAUUCGGAAAUUUUCUCAGUGGAUUCUGCAUGAACCAAAAAAGAAAUGGGCCAAGGCGUAUGACACAGGUGGUGCUAGAUAUGGAAUAAUGACAACAAAUUUGGCAGAAGUAUACAACUGGGUGAUGCGCGGUGUCCGUGGACUGCCACUAGUUGGCAUAGUGGAGUUCAUUUUACAUGGGACAUGCAGGUAUUUUAGGAAUCGGUUCCAGGCAGUUCUUCCCUCUAUGCCGAACAACAGCAUUUUGUUCGGAACUUUCAUGCAGAAAAAGCUAGAGGAGUUGCGUAAAAAGGCUAUGAAACAUCAAGCUCUAGUGCAAGGUACCCAAUAGCACAGGUUUGAGAUACUAUGUCAAGAUAAGGCAGGCAGGGGUAUCUACCGCAAGAGAGUGAAACAGGAGUGUGUUCUCAAAGCCGACGACACAUGUCAUUGCUCUUGUGCAAAGCCGAAGCUGCUCCACAGGCCAUGCACCCAUGUCAUUGCUGCCGCAGCGGAGUGUGGCAUACCAGAUGCAGUAUAUGUGUCACAGUACUUCAGUAAGCAAGCAAUAUAUCAUACAUGGAGCGACGAGAUUUAUGGGUUCGGCAUAGCUGGGGAGUUCACAGAGACUAAUGAUGAAGUACUCAAUAUUCGUGACCCAUCGAAGCUCCGAGGCAAGGCUGGAAGGAGGAAGACUCGUCGCAUCCGCAACGAUAUGGACGAGUUGGAGGCUGGCAGGGUGAAGCGUUGCAGCAAAUGCGAUGAACGUGGGCACACCUACAAGCAUUGUCCUAAAGACAAGGAGAAACCAAGUGCGGCGGAGGCAGGACUAUCAUGAUCAGCAGCAGAUGGAGCUCACCCUACGGGUGAAGGCACUACCUCCACUCGACCACGUCCUAGGCGUCGUCGUGCCACGUCUGGCUACGUGGUGUAGUUCUUGUGUUCUAUGUUGCCAUGUGGCUUUGCUUGUAAUUUGUUUCGAACUUAUCGAUGUGUUUAUGUUUCGUCGUGUAAUGUCAGACUUUGGUAUGUCAUGUCUUUAGGUCUCGUGAUGUAACGUCAGACUAAGGCAUAGUGUCUUUAGGUAUGCUGAUGUAAUGUCGGACUUCGACACGUAAUGUUAUGUUAUGUUAUGUUAUAUUAUCGAACUCUACAUAUAUGUUAAAUUGCACGUCAUCGUUAUGUACCCUUAGUAACGUUUGCUAUAUUUAAAUAGCCUGUACUCUUGCUGUACAUAAUUAUUCUUAUGAUUUUAUUACUAUUUCAUAAUUUUACCAGUUAUCUUUUGUUUUACAUUACUACUUUUUGAAUUGUUCUAACACGAAACACUAUAUUUUCCAGAGAUGGAACGUCAGGAUACACCUCAGUUGUUGGACCCGGCGAUAGAUCACCGACACCGGUCUCACCUUACUGCGGUGUAGGGGGCUCAGCUUGGGACGUUCCGGGCACGGACGUGUGGUGAGCUACUUACGGUUCACGACUACUUACAGCCAGAGACGCACACUUUUCACUUGUCGUGUGGUGAGGUAGCCCCUACCCUAUAGGACGUAUCGUACUUGUUGGGGCUACCGCUCGCGGGAGACGCUGUUGGGCUAGUGACCACGGGUGUGGACUGGAAGGACGAUCUGACGGCACGUUUCGCUCCCUUGGAGCAGCAGGCCCACGUUGCGAGCACUAGAGACCUCUACGCCAGGCACCGCGACCACGACUUCGCUCGUGCUGUGAGUACCCUGCAUCGCACCAUUCCUUAAUGUUUUCAGGUCUUUCUCUUCGUCAAAUUUUACGAAUAUGUACGAACAAAUUAACCAUGCAGGUCGACGACAUCAACCGAGUCGUCGUUGACGGUUCAACGACGAUCCAACGUUUAGGCGCGGGGAUUCCGGUACCCGUAGAGGAGCACCUGACGACGUACACGCGGAUGGUGGAGUCGAUGCGCUCGAUUCUCCGAGUUUUCACUUGUCAUGCAGACGACAUUGCUCGGGCAGACGCAGCUGUACAGCGGCCACCCGUACCGACUGGUCCCUGUCCAGUUGCGCACGUUCCUAGGCCGACUCCCCCUCCGCACGGAGGUAAGUAUUUUUAAGGAUUUUUCUGUACAUGCCUCGCACAUCUAUGUGAGCCGUUUCACUUGCCGAUUGCUCCAGGGUUUCAUGCACCGUUCAGCACCCCGCAUUCCUCGGCUAGGCCUUCUGUUGUGCCCCCCACAGGUACUUAAAAAAACAUUACUUCGAUAAUCAAUUUACAUGCAUUUUAUGUCUUAGCUUACAAGGGUCCCGUUGUCGAUGUGUAGGUUUCACCCAGUUCGCUAUGACGCAGGCCGCCCACUUCUCCCAGGCUGCAGGGUCAGCGUCUCAGGCAGCUGCGUCGACAUCGCACUCAGUGCAGUUCUGGCAGUACAUCGGGACUUCGUCACAGGCAGCCGGCACGUCGAGUCAGGGUCCACCACUGGACCAUGCUGGGACCUCGUCGGACCACUUGGUGCCUUCCACCUUGCUCUUCGACAUCACUGACUUCGACUUUGCUUCAGGCUCGACAGAGGACGUCAUCGGCCCCUCACAGCUGGGAGGCGCACCGCCGGUGCAGACGCAGGACCAGGCGCAGGCCACUCCGCCGCCAGACACUCGUGCUACCCGUGCUGUGCUACCGGAUCGUUUCACCUACUCCCAGGACCACGUGCGAGCACAGGCCCGGAGGACCAAGCAUGGUCGCGGCACGGGGCAGGGCCAGUAGAGCAGACUUCUCUUUGUUUAUUUGCUUCACAUGCAAGUACUGUAUGCUUGUGUCAUGAAUACGUUGUUGUUAUAUGUGCACGAUACCUUUCGGCGCAUGCACGAUACCUUUCGGCACAUGCAUGACUACUUUCUGCCGCACCGAUGCAGCCUCCUUUAUUCGCGUGCGAUACGAGUAUUUGCCCGCCAUUUGCCGCAUACGACCAAUGUAACUUUCGGCGCCAAUCAGGCAUGUAAUUUUUGGCGCCAAUCAGGCGUACCCACCAUGACCCGCCACAUUCACAUGUCAGGGAUAUCACUCGAUUUUUUGUACCUAUAUAAGUCGCCUUAACGAGUGAGGCCUCACAAUCUUUCAGAACUCAGUCACAUUCAGUACACUCUUCCCCACUUCCCCACUUCCUUCAUUACAAAUCCUACCGGCUUUCGUCAAUGGCUAGACGUCGGGGCGUUGAGGAUCCGAACUGGCAUAGCGAUCCUUGUGUAUACCUACUACCACCUUGGUGCCAGCGUCCUCUCUGCCUCUGCGGUGAUCGAUGCCAACUAAUGGCUUCGAGGAAUCCUGAUAUUCGAGGAAGGCGCUUUUUUAGGUGCCCUAACUAUGACCGUGAGGUAUUUUAUUAUCUACAUAUACUUAUUCAUUCCGUAUGGGCAAUCGUUUUAUUCUUCGUAACACUACUCUAUUCGGCAGACCCGCACUACGGCUUGCGCAUACAUUGAGUGGGUCGAUACAGAAAAUCCCGUUCUCGACCUAACCACUUGUUUACAAGAAGGUCGCUGGUAUUUCGCAUCCGAAAGUACUGAGCAAUACUUAAAGAGAAAAGCGGCUUAUGAACGACAAUGUCGUGAACAACAGAGCGACUGGCGGGUGCUAACUACGGCACUCCCUCCAUGGGAAGCCCGUCCAAGAUGCAGGUGUGGUGAUCGUUGUCAGGUUCUUCGUUCCAUAAAGCCUACAACAUUGGGUCGAAGGUUCUUUGUUUGUCCAAAUAUUCUUGACGACGAUUUCAUGGUAAGAAUAUUUUGAUUACAUGAAUCCUUAUUUUCCCACAACAUUUACUAACGUUGCUCGCUUCACAUCUAUUCUUUCCUCCCAGGAACCACCAAGGAGAUAUCAAUACAGAGAAUGGAUAAACACCAGAAGAGUUCUAACUCCACUUAGCCGUGUUGUGCAGCUUGAACUACCAGAGCAAUACAGGGUUACUAAAGCGCGGUUUGAGAGAGGAGAGGGAUCCUCACGUAGGGGUUAGCUAUUAUCGGACAAAUUGGCAUAUUGAAAUUUCUACUGUCAUGCUUCCUUGUCCCAUUACUACAUCAUCGUUGUGUUCAACUAUUGCACUACCUCCCUCCUAGUUCGAAUCUAAUAUCAUCUAUGUAACCGCAAUGGAAAUAGUUGUAUCAUGUUCAAAUUGUACUACUAUUUCUUCAUGUUACAUAAUUCUCCUUGUUUAAAUCCAUACAAUGUUUCUACGACCGACACUGCGAUAGGCCUAUAUUAAUUAUCCGAGUACUAAUACGUCGAAUAAGUUACAAAAUAAUACCUUACUUAACAUAUGAAAUUGCGAAACAACCAACUUCAAUACAUUUUUAUAACAAUAUUAACAAGUUUUACCAAUAAAUACUUCUUUAAUUAUUAUUAACAUAACAUAGAAAAAUCAUUUGGUGGUACUUUUUCAUCUGGGUCCCUUGCCGCAACCUCUUUAUGGGCGGCCAAAAUUGCAUUUAGCCCCGGGGCGGCAAGGGGCUAAAUGCAAUUUUGGCCGACGGCGGCAGACGGCGCGGUCGGCCCGCCGUCUGCCACGUCAGCUUGCCGCCCACCUUUGGGGCGGCAGGGUCUAUUUUUGUAAUUUUUUUGCCGAUAGAUUAUUUCUGUAAAUAUUUAAAAAAAAAUCUAAAAAUAAAAAAAAAUCCUUAUUCCAAUGUAGGAGUACAAUUCAAGUUGGGCUACUAGAAAUCUAUAGAAUGGGCCGAAGAGAACCCCACUCUAGUUAGGCCCACCGCUGCAUCCACCCCUCGAACGCAAACCACUCGACUCCGAAGCUCCCACUCCCAGGGUUUUAGCUAGGGUUCUGUGUCCCCCGCAUCGCCGCCGCCGCCGCCGCGAGCCAUGGCCGACGCCGCCGCCCCCGGAGAGGACGACGCCGCGUGGGAGCGCGCCAUCGCGGCGGCCGUCAAGAACGCCCCCUUCUCCGCCCCCAAGACCCUAACCCUCGACGGCGCCGUCAAGUCCACCACCGGCCGCCUCCCCUCGCCGUCGCUCCUCGGCCGCUACCCGUCCCUCGAGGAGCUCUCCGUCGCCGGCGCCCGCCUCUCCUCGCUCGCGGGCCUCCCGCGCCUCCCGGCGCUCCGCCGCCUCUCCCUCCCCGACAACCGCCUCUCGGGGGCCGCCUCCCUCGCCGCCGUCGCCGAGUCCUGCGGCGCCACGCUCCGCCACCUCGACCUCGGGAACAACCGCUUCGCCGACGUCGCCGAGCUGGCGCCGCUCGCGCCGCACGGGGUCGAGUCGCUCGACCUGUACCAGUGCCCCGUCACCAAGGCCAAGGGGUACAGGGACAAGGUGUUCGCGCUGAUCCCCAGCCUCAAGUUCUUGGACGGCAUGGACGCCGAGGGCAACGACUGCUUGGAUUCCGACGACGAGGAGGAUGAAGAGGAGGAUGAGGGAGAGGAGGGUGAAGGGGAAGGUGAUGAAGAAGAAGAAGAGGAGGGUGGAGAGGAAGGGGAAGGUGAUGAGGAUGACGAAGAGGAAGGAGAUGAAGAAGAGGAUGAGGAAGAAGGUGAAGAGGAGGUGAGAAUUUUGUUCUAGUUACUGUAAAUAUAUGUAGGUCUUGCAUAGUUGACAAGUUGCAAAUUGCGAAUCGAUAAAUGGGAUCAAUUAUAUAUUAGUACUCUUUGUUCCUUUUGAUUCACUUAAUUAGUCAGUAAUUUGUUGUUUGGUGUUGGGAACUAUCAUACUGUUUGGAUUGUUCCUUUUUUUUCGCCAAUCUGCGCUGAAAUCUUAGGACUAACCGAAUAUUGCUUCUUAGUUAUGUUGUUGUCCAAGAGAGCACUCCAUUUAGUGUAGAAUUUUGAAAAUUUGGAAUUUUUAUCAUACAAGCUUGAUAAGAAAUGGUUCCUGACCAAUCAAUCAUUCUUCCACAUGGAUGAUUUGCGCUCUCAUCCUUUUAUUUUUUGUUAAUAGUUUUUGGGCCUGCGAUAGCACAUCUUAGCUGCACUACUAUAAACUAUCAAUGCUUGAUUGGUUGAGCUAUGGCUGAUAAGCCUAGAAAAGUAAACGAAUCAACCAAAAAUAAUUUCUAGGGUAAGACUUCAUAUAGUGUAAUUCAUUGCUCUUUUAUGCCUUGUCAGGCUGUUUAUCUUUGUAUACUCAAAACUCAAAAGCUUCAUCAAUUAUAAUAUGUUGUUAUCACAGCAUCAGGACCUCUUUAGUUUGCUUGUUUGUUUUUUCCCAUAAAGACACUAUUUCCCUCCAUUUCACAAUUCUUGUCUGUUGACUCAGGAAUUCGCCUUCUCAAAAUGUUUGUCCAUUGAGGAAAUAAAAAACAUGGUUGUUGCAGCAUUUCAACUAUAUAUACCCCUAUUCAAUGUAGUAGGAGAGGUAGCUCGUCAUUUAAUAGGAUAUGCUUGGUCCUUCAAAUUAACAUGGAAUGGGUGUCUGUGUCCUUGAUUUAUGUUCAUUGGUAGCCAAAUGGCGAGGCAGUUGCUGUGGAUUGUAAUGUUGUGAAAUCUCAGUCUACAUUGUUGUAGCACGCUCAUACUGUUCCUUUGUGGGUCUUAGUGCAGAUCACAUUUUACUUAUGGCUCCAUAUUUGUGUCAGCUAACUUAAUCUGCACCUUUUUUCAGGCUGAAGAUGAAGAGGAUGAAGCUGGUGCCGAUGAAGAAGAUGAAAGCAAAGUGGCGAAUGGAAGCAAAGGGUCUUCAGGAUCAGCUCAGCCAAACAAAAGGAAGAGGGACAGUGAAGAUGAUGCUAACGGAGACAACUGAUCUGGUUGGGUCUGGAAAUGGUUGCGGCUGGUCGUUGGAGGCUUUUCCUCCAAUGUUCUUUGGAGGGCUUUGAGCCUUUUGAGGCGUUUCCUUCUGUUGAUGUAGAAGAUUUAGCUGUUCUUUUUAGAUGCCAAGUUGCCAAAGGUUUUCUAAUUAUAAUUCAGGACUUGGACAUAUCCUGAUGUACUACUGCACAUUUCUGUGACUUUCCGAUGCUGCUAAUUGAAAUACUGGUUCUGGGCCUGGUCAUGCGGAUGAUGAACUAGCAUAUCAUGGUUGAAAAGUAAAUAUUCUUCUUUUUCACGUUGCCCACAUGGCCACAUAGUUAAACUUUAAAUAGACAAUGUCCACGACCGCAGGGAGGGAAUUAAGAACUCAUGCGUAAGGGUUGCGUGCGUCCACCACGACAAAUUGUAAUCCAUAAUAUAAGGGACAACCACUUUUUCCAGAUGUUUCAUAAUAUAAGGCAUGUAUGCAUGUAGGCAAUUAACUAUGACCCCUUCUCUAUUAAAUUAUUAAUUUUUUAAAUCCUCCACUCUCAUGUUCUCUAAUUCUAUUAGAUGCAUGUAUUGUAUUUAUUAGGAUGAUCCAAACUACAAGAUGAUAAUAAUUAUUUUCUUGGUCUUUGAGUUAGGGGCGGUUAUACCUUAUAUUUUGGAAUGGCGGGAGUAUUUUGAUACCCUAAGACCUUUAUUUCAGCUUAUUUGAUUUUCUUAAAAAAAACCUUUUAUAAAUAAAGUUUUUGUAAAAAAAAAACACUCCCGUGAAAGGCCCGAGACCCCAAGUUUGGAAGACAGCUGUAAGAUUGGGCGGAAUGCUCCCUGAUCAGAUAUACUCCCUCUCCAUGCGGAUAAUACAUUCGUUUAAGACAACUAGACAAUUAUGAAUCAUUUUUAAAAUAUUUAUCUUUCAAAUAUAUUGAUUACAUAUAUAGAUUAGUCUUAGAAAAGUAUUUUAAUAAAAUCAUAUAUUUGUUAACAUUUUUUUAAAUAUUAUAAUAAAAAAUAAUGGUCAAAGUUAUUUUUAAAGACCGUGCUCUUAUCUAAAACGACAAAUCUAAAACGAUAAGUAUUAUCAAUCCGGAGAAAGUACUAUAGUACAAUGACUCUCGUCCAGAUCACCUGAUGCCACCGGCUUUUGUGGAAGCAGAUGAGCAAAUUUUCCAUAUAUGCUUUUGUAGCAACAGAUGAGCAAAUUUUCCAAGAUCCAGCUUCACAAAUAAUAAAAUAGCUAAUUCGUCGAAAUGGACCUACAUAAAUAUCUAUUCUUGAAUGGUUACAUAAAAUUGUGGCGGUGGUAUGCCAGUAUAAUACUAAUCUAACUCAUCCCAAGCUCGCCUCACGAUCACUUGCUCCAAUGCUUUCACCGUCUUCUUGAUUUGUUGAAGGACUUCGAUUUUCUGGAAACAGGAGCAUUGCGCUCCUCCUCUUCCUCAUCAUCUUCGUUCUUCCUCCGCUUUUUCUUGUGGCCACCGCCCUCCUUCAUCGUCUGCAUCAGACAGCAAGAACAAGUAAAAAUCAAUUCGCACAUAAGAAGUCGUACGAUUCAAGACACAAGGCUCUACCACAACAAGAACAAGACGAACUAUCUACAUUCAGGUCGUCGGAAGCAGGUGUGCAUCCGUUCUGCAGAAUAUUGAGGGGGCACCGCCAGGGUGACACAAGAGUAAAACACUUCGAAUUGACAGUACAGUCAGAGAAUGAGCACAUACCGUCAGCGCAAUCCUCUUCGAGUCAGAGAUACGUUCACGAAGUAUCAUGAUUUCUGCGUUAUCCACCUUACGAUCAGGAAUCUCGUAUCCUACAAAAAAAUAGUUGAUAAACAGAUCCACAGAUUUCAGAAUGACACGCCCUCCAGUUACAAAUGGAAAGAAGGGAGAAGUAACAAGGAUAAGAAUUACCAAGGAGCUUCUCUAUCAUCUUAAACCACAUGGCCUCGUAUUGAUUCACCAAAGAUACAGCAUAUCCUGUAUUCCCUGCACGUGCUGUUCUACCCACCCGAUGAACAUAAUCCUACAUUUGGCACAGGAAGUUAAGUCACAUACAAAAAGGCAUCUUCAAAAUGUAAAUCGAGAAAGGUACUAAAGUAGAAACCUUGGAAUUCAUUGGAAUAUCAUAAUUGAUAACCACAUCAACUCCUUGAAUAUCAAGACCACGACUUGCCACAUCGGUGCAAAUAAGGAUAUUGCAGUCUUUCGUUUUGAACCUGUUUAAGGCGCCUAGUCUCUUAUCCUAAGAAAUUAAAAAAAAAGAAGAAGACAAAUGUAAGAUAAGCAUUGUACGGGAAAAACAAACAUUUGCAUUCACUUCUACCUUGUAAGUUCUAAAUUGAAGGAUAACUCAAUGAGAAAACGAACAAUUUCUAUUUGAAAGGAAAGCAUACUAACCUGACUCAUUUGGCCACUAAUAGAGAUAGCUUUAAAACGAAGAUUCCUUAGGGUGAGAGCAAGGAGCCUUGUUGAUUCACAGGUCCGGACAAAGAUCAUGAUCAUGCUCCCUGGCAACUCAUUCAGAACAUGAACGAGAAAACAAUCCUGGAAUAAUAAAUAAGAAAGAUCAGAACAUCGAAUGAAAAUGGCACUCUACCAUGAUGUGGGCAACAUCAUGUAAUGACUUAUGCAAGGCUUUCAAUUCAUCAUGAGCAACAUUUUUCAGGAUUGCUUAUUAAAUGUACCGGAUAAGUUUCAAAGUGAUGUUGCGUGUGUACAACCAAUGAUGGUGCUUUGUUAUGACUCUUAAUAAGGACAUUAAGGGUAGAACCAUCAGUCAGCAUGCAGCCAAUUUAAUAAGAUCAAAACCACAUGGACGUCAAUAGACCAAUUAUAAGGGAUAAGAAUUGACCUUGUAAUCUGCAGGAACAAAAUAAAACUCCUGUCUAAGUGUGUCCACUGUAGAAUAUUUGGACGCUACCUCGACCUGAUCGCAGAAAUGAAAAGUUGAGACUAUUAGCAAACAAUAAGAUACCUGAAAAGGUCCCCAUCAUGCCCGAAAGAUGGAGAAAGAAUGUUACCUUAACAGGAUUUCUUAGACAAGCACGCUGCAGUUUAGAAACCUGGAGAAAAUAGACGUUAUUGCAAAGAAAACCAAAUUCAGUCUAAAUGUAAACAAAUAGAUAGCAUAAUAGCCAUCAGGUGCCAUAAAAAUAGGCCAUGAUUUAGAAAAUACAAAAUAUCAGUAAAUGGUAGCACAGUAGCAAUACAGCAUACGUCAGAAUAAAUAGAAUGUCUACCAUUUCAUUACCUCAAGAAUUUAUAAACCAGUGUCAUAAUUAUAAUAUUAACCUAAGCUGCUAGCAUGGCCACAUCAAUCUGAUAAAGUAAACAAUCUAUUGAUGGGAUACCAGCAAUGUUUAAUUCCGUUCUUUCUUGAAUCCAGAGGAAUAAUAAUUCUUCUCUGAAAACUACCAAUUCACCAACCUUAUUGGUCAUUGUGGCUGAAAAAAGGAAAGUCCUCCGUUCUUUAGGGAUAACAUUCAGAAUAUCAUCAAGGGCUUUCUGGAACUCCACAUUAAGUAACUUAUCAGCUUCAUCCAAAACCUAGCCAAAAAAAAAGAGAUAAGGACACAUAAAAAAAAAGCAAUUAAUUAGAAAAACUAAUAUAAUUGAUCCAUAUUCAACACAUAUUUACAAAUGUCAUGACAUAGUUGACAAGGUACUUACCAUUGCAUCACACAUAUUUACAAUUAUUAAUAGUGAUUGUAACACUUAAACUUGAGGGGUGGAAAUUAAUAUAAAAUGAAAAUUAAAUUUUGCUGCACAGAGUGUGAAAAAUAUAUUUCAACAAGUAAAAAGGUAUUACUAAAGCCUUCAUUUUUAAAGGCUGUACCUGCAGCAAUCAAAGAUGAUAUUUUAAGUUUAAAAAACAAAAUCUAGACUAAAAAAAUCCAGCCUUGCUAAAACUCACAAGAUUCAGACAGAGCCUCGAUUAAGUAAAAAAUUAUACCCAAAAAUGUCGAUAAUAGUUGGAGUAUGAAUGAAACAGAAGAAAAAUUGACACAAUGGAAAAGGAGCAUAAUUUUAAAGAUGGGCAAACCAUGGUGUCAUAAAAGAUGGAUUUGACAAGAAUAUAUUGAUAUGUGGAACUAGAAAAUGUUGAAAAAUAUAUCCAAGGCCACAAUAUCAAAUUAUUUAAUGAAGUAUGAAUAAUAACAAGAAGCAACAUGGGGAAAAAAAGAACAGAGGGGACAUACCAAGUACUUCAAUUUAUUAAGGCUAAAACCUUUCGUAUCUGUCAAAUGAUCCAAAAGACGUCCAGGAGUUCCAACCUAAGUUUUGAGGGAAAUGAUACAGUAAAUAUCCUGAGAGUCCGGAUGAAAGCACUCAUUUGUACUAGCAGGUUUAUGUAACAAAGUUCUCAUGGAUAGGAAUGAUGUUAACAGACCAAAACCACAUUGUCUUAUGAGGUAGAGGAAAUCAUUUACUAAAAUACACAUACCACAAUAUGUGGGCGUUUUGCAAGGGAUACUGCUUGUUGCACCCGAUCAACUCCUCCAACAAGCUGGGGAAAGGGAAAUUCAAUUGAUAGUGGUCAAUAAAACAUCAACAAGUUGUAAUGGAUGAAAAUAUGAGGACUCGCUUUUAAUCAUACAAGAGCAUAAUAACCAAGGAAUCUAUGCAUGUAAUAGCAGCAAAUUCAAUUAUAGUCAGAAGAAGAAAAAAACUAACAUUAGAGAGAAUAUAAACCAAUGCAUUUAAAUAUAGCUCCUGCAGGUGUUACAAUAUCCAACAGAUGCAAUACCAAAACAAAAGGAAAUAUUUUGCAGUGGACACUCAUCCAACAGAUGGAAGAAGCCAACACAGAUUGGCACAUCAGCAUCAACCGAAACACCAAUUGACCAUAAUUGUGUACCAAAAUCCAGGGAAAAGACUAGCCAGCUAGAUAAAACCUAUAUUGCGAGCACUAACCAGCUACAUAGCCUAUUCUAAAAACUUGUUAACAACAUUCAUAAAACACCAAUCGAUUGUUUGGUAUGUGAUAAAGGUGAACUGCAUAAAGAGAUGAGAAAGCAUACACAUUAUCCAUAAUCCAAAAAAAAUAUUGUCACUUGUAAUAAAUUGUAACAAAAUCACUCACCACCGUGCAACUCAGACCGAUCGCGGACCCGAGUGCCUCAAACUGCUGUCCAAUCUGAAAAGCCAGCUCCCUGAACAAGCACACCCCCUCAUGGUUACAGUAAACCAACCGGAGAAUCUUCUCUCGAGGAGAAAAAAAAAACAAGUACAGUACUACAUGGAGAACUCUUGUCUAAAGAUUUGGCAACCUUGUAGGCGACAGCACGCAGGCGAACAACGCCUGGGGCUUGUCCUGCUUGAGCAGCGCCUGGAUGAUCGGCAGCGCGAAGGCGCCCGUCUUGCCGGAGCCCGUCUGCCCCAGCCCAAUCAGGUCCCUCCCUGCAAGCAAACCACAGCACGCCCAUCAGUAGCUGGAUCGCCGUCGACGACAUGGCCGCGGCGGUGGCGCGCUAGGGUAGGUAUCCGUACCUUCGAGGGCGUGGGGGAUGGCCUCGGCCUGGAUCCUGGUGGGCUCCUUCCACCCCAUGGCGUCGCACGCCGCCACCAGCUCCGGGACGACGCCCAGCUCCGCGAACGUCGACGGCCGACGCGCCGGUGGCUCGGCCUCCUGCUCCUCGCCACCGUCCGCGGCGGGGGCGGCGGCAGCGGCAACCACCUCCUCAUCCAACUCCUCCACCUCCACGUCCUUCUUCUUCGCCAUGGCUACGGAGAGACGGGGGAGCUCGCCCGAGUGGGAGGGAAGCGGUGGUGGCUUCGGCGGCGGAGGUGGCUUGGCGAUGAAGCUGCGGCGGCGGCGGUUAAAGAAGGAAGGAGGAGGCGUGGAGAUUAUGGAGGGGAACCCUCGAUGGAUGGAGAUUUUUAUGGGCCUCAGAUAUUGGGCCUGUCCAAAUGGGCCCAGCUCUGCCCAACCCUCUGCAGCUUCCUAGGCUCAUAUAUCUUUUUUUCUUUUUGAGAUCCUAGGCACAUAUAUCAGGACUGUCCUAAAAUAUAGGAGUACUAUAGUUGUUUAAAACUGAAUUUGACACAUCCUACUAUUAUUUCCUUCAUCCUAAAAUAUAGGGCACAAUCAUCAUUAACGCAAAGAUCAGUAAACAAUUACUAUCACCCUUUUGUUUGGAUCACUUUAAUAAAUACAAUACAAUACACAUAUCUAAUGAGGUUAGAGAUAUUGAGGAUAAAGGAUUUAGAAGAAUGAAUUAGAGAGAAGAUGAUGGUGCUAGUUAAUUUUAUGCAUGUAUGCACGUUUUAUAUUGUGAAACAUCGAAAGAAAUAGUUGUUCUUAUAUUUUGGGAUGUUGAAAUUAUAAGCACAUAAUGAUUUAAUUUAUUCCAUAAAUAAAUCAUGAUAUUGCAGAUGUAAACUAGAUUGAACGCAUCAUUAGAUCUACACAUGUAAACUAAGCAGUAAAGCAUGAACAGAUCAAAUACGCGCAACAUGUAGAACAUGUACCGAGGUGGCGAAAAGACCGGUUGCUCGGCAGGAACUACUCGCGGUUGCGAGCGUCGACGAAGGCGCGAAGCACGUGAGCGGAGAGGAAGGCGAGCCGUCGCGGACGAACAGGGAGCAGUCGCGCGAAGCACUUCCUAAAAAUCUUAUUGCCGCCUUCUCCCGGUGCAGGACGUCGAAGGCAGAGGUUCCGGAGACCUGCUCUCCCGAUCGCCGGUGCACGCCGGCGAGAGGGAUGGAGUAGUCUACGAGCGACGGUGCAGUACAGAGUAGGAGGCAAACCCUAGAUUAAUUUUGCGUGUGUUGCGUGAAGGCGGCAGCUCAGUUUAUAUAGAGAUAGAUCGCCUGAUCAGGGCGCCCGCGUAAACCGAACCGGAUAAGUCGCGCGUAACCUAUCCGGACUCCAUGCCGUUUUCACGCACCGGAUUUUUCGGAAUGUUUCCAAAACAAAACAAAUCCGAAUUUCCUGCAGCAAAACAAAACUGCAAAAUGAGGCUGCAUCUGCGCAAGGGUGAGGAGCCAAUUUUGCGGACCAUUCGACGCGUACGUCGUGCACGCGCGCCGCCUGCCCUGCCCUGCCAGGCGAGGCGAGCGAGCGCGCGUGUUUCCCCUCUUCUCUCCACCACACAUGCUUCAAGUGGCUGGGAGGGCAUCCUCCCUUUUAAGGAGGUCCCCCUCUCCUAUAAUAAGCAAGGUGGUACUAAACUCCACAUGCAUGCCAUCCCAUGAGGUGGGCUUUUGUGAUUUUCCAAAGAAUUAAUCUUCAAAUGAGCCUUAGCCCAUCUAUUAAUUCCAACAAUCCCCCACCAAAUCUCAAAAUCCCACUGAGAUUUGCCUUUUCCAAUGUACUGUUUAUAUACCAGCGGUUCGAUAGAGACCGAUUAAGGUUGAACAUCCACCUAGAACUCCAAGCUACACUUACUCACAACUUGAACAAUGGACUACGCCUUGAAUUGCAAGUCUUGUGCAAGCAAGUUUCACUCAUAGUCUUAUCUGGUACUAGACCGUCUGUAGACUACCCCUCGGGUGGAGCGUAUAAGUCAUACUCCUAGGUUUUUGUAAGCUUCCUAGAAGAUUCACCCAAAAUCUCCAUAGACUGCGACCAACAGUCAAGCUUACAAAGGUGAGUUCUUUCAAGAAUGCUCUACAGGACAGCAUCUUCGCUAAUUAAAGCCAACAGAACUCAUUAAGGCAUAGCCAACCUGCCUUGCAGCUCACGAGAGUACAUGCAUCUUCACUUAGAGAGGGUAUAGAUUGGUACUCUCCUCUAGUUUACUAAUGGUUUGUUCUUCCCAGGUUCUAAUUCACGAGAUCUCCGAUCAUAUAGACUGGGUUACCACCAUAGUAUAACUCACAUGGGUCUCAAACCCAUCUCCUUCAAUGCAUUAUCUAUCACAUUUCGUGAUAGUCCUUUCGUGAAGGGAUCUGCUAGGUUUCUAGCUGUUUGGAUGUAAUUCAACGUUAUAACUCCGGAGUUUCUCAAUUUCCUGACAGACUUCAAUCGUCUUUUCACAUGUCUAGACGAUUUCAUAUUAUCCUUAGAACUAUUCACUUUGACAAUUACCGUUUGAUUGUCACAGUUCAUAAGGAUAGCCGGCACCGGUUUUUCAACAAUAGGCAGAUCCAUUAAUAGAUCACGCAGCCAUUCUGCCUCAACAGUAGUAGUAUCCAGUGCUGUCAGUUCUGCUUCCAUGGUUGACCUCAUCAAAAUGGUCUGUUUGCAAGACCUGCACGAAACAGCACCACCACCCAGUGUAAAGACAUAUCCACUAGUGGCUUUGAUCUCAUCCACAUCAGAGAUCUAGUUAGAAUCACUAUAACCCUCCAGUACCGCAGGAUACCCAGUAUAGUGAAGCCCCAAUUCCAUAAUACCUUUCAGAUAGCGCAUUACUCGCUCGAGCGCACGCCAGUGAUCAUCUCCCGGAUUAGAGGUAAACCGGCUCAACUUGCUCACAGCAAAGGAGAUAUCAGGCCUAGUUGCACUAGCCAGGUACAUCAGCGAGCCAAUGAUUUGGGAGUAUUCCAGUUGAUUCUUAGCAAUUCUUUUGUUCUUGCAAAGCAACAAGCUAGGAUCAUAAGGUGUUGGAGAAGGCUUACUAUCAAUAUAGCCAAAGCGAUUCAAGAUCUUCUCCACAUAAUAGGACUGCAAGAGUGUAAUCCCAUUCUCACCUCUAAUUAGCUUAAUGUUUAAGAUAACAUCAGCUACUCCCAAAUCCUUCAUAUCAAAAUUUUGAGACAAGAAUGAUUUAACCUCAUUUAUCACCUCAAGGUUUGUCCCAAAUAUCAGUAUGUCGUCAACAUACAAGCACAGAAUAACUCCCUCACCCCCACCAUGGCGAUAGUACACACAUUUAUCUGCCUCAUUGACUGCAAAGCCUGCAGAUGUCAAUGUUUUGUCAAAUUUCUCAUGCCAUUGCUUAGGAGCUUGUUUCAGACCAUACAAAGACUUCAACAAUUUGCACACUUUGCCUUCUUGACCUUCAACUACAAACCCAUCAGGUUGAUCCAUAUAGAUCUCCUCAUCCAGCUCUCCAUUAAAAAAGCUGUCUUAACGUCCAUUUGAUGAACGAGAAGACUGUCACGCCCAGAAAUUCACUAGUAAUUUCUGAACUUAUUUGUGCAUAAAAUCCUUGUCCAGGAAUCAGCCGAGGUACACAAACUGACAAUUUAAUAUACAAAUCCAUCAUAAUAAUAGCGUUACAUACUUACAAAAGAAAAGAAAACAACAGCGGAAUUACGGUCUAGCGAAGCUCCGGCUCCACUCCCACAGGCAGCUCAACUGGGGUAUAAGCCAAACGUCUUCUCCUUCGCAACUUGUCUUCAAUUGAGGUUUGAUUGAUUAUUGCAAUGUGAGCAUAUGACAUACUCAGCAAGCCACACAGCAAAUAUGCAAGUGCACAUGGAUACCAAAGGAUGGCAUAAUAUAGGGCUCAUUUGCAAAAGCAGCAUUUAGCAAACAUUUGAGAAUUAUAAAACAAUAGAGUAAUUAAUCAUCAAUAUUAAUCAACACUGAACAGCACACCCAUGCUGCACAGGCCCAACCAUCCUGAACAACCAUACCCGGCUGCACAAAUCUAUCUCCAAACCAGGAGCUAAACAAAUUAUUACCAAUUAUAUCAUCAUUUAUUAUGGUGAGAAGUGUGAGACUAAUCACGAAAGACAUUGUUAGACCCGCCCAUGACCGCGGGCACGGCUAUUCGAAUAGUUUUACUCUGGCCAGAGGUGUACCACUGUACCCACAAGACACAGCCCCACAACAUGUCACCAUGCGCCUCAAUACCACCACGGUACCUCGGAAAGGAGCUGUCACAUUACCCCUCGCACAACACAAUCCACCACAGUGCACCGUUCCCGGAUCAUAGUCACCCCCUUAUAAACAAGGCAUGGACUCCCCAGCGACCCCCGUGGGCUUAUCUCCACCACUUCUCAGACUGGUGCUCCGCAACGAACCAUGCUAUACAAAAGGUAAAGCCGUUGCCCACGCUGGCUUGUGGUUGGCACGGUUAAUGUUUCACAACCGAAAAUCGUGAACCGGUCCUUAAUUGUCAUGAGCACGACUCUCAAAACCAUGUGCUCACAACCCACCAUUAUCAAGUUUUAGUUGGCAAGUAAUUAAUUAACCAAUCACGAUUGGCCAUCGUGAGCUAUCAUUAAGCCAUCAUUAAAUAAUAGUGAGUCAUAAGUUAUCCCAAUAGUGUGCUAAUGUUUCUAAGCAUGGCUAAGCAAUCAUAUCUAAUAUCUAGCUGAACCAAUAUAUAUAGCCCAACUAGUCAAGUUAUAAUAACCCAAGGUAUCAAGGAAUAAAGUAAUCAAGAACAAAAGGGCUAUAACAAACAAUAGGUUAAUUCCACCCAAUGACAUUCGAAAAUAAAUGCAAUAGUUGAAUAGAAACAAUAGCUUUAAACGGGAUCAACAUGCUCAAAGGGUUGUUUGGGGUCUGUGUGACUUGCCUUGCUGGCCUUGGAACUCUUCAAAUUCUUCUCCUGCGAAAACGAACUCUCCGGAAACGUCGGAAUCUAAACAGAAAGGAGCAAAACACCAAAACAGCACAUAAACAAGCCUGAACAGUACAUGUGGAUAUUUUUAACAUGUAGAUCUCAAUUUUAGAAAAAUUUAGAGACUUGAACCAACUAAAUCCGAGCUAAGAUGAAUUAGUUAUGAUUUUUUAAAGAUUAAAUCGGAUUAAAACACUUAUAUGGAUUUUUAUUGAAUUAUGACGCAAUAAUGAAUUAUUUUUGAAAAGGAAAAGAAGAUUAUUGCGUCAGCGGCUCGGGUUCACGGUGGACCGGGUGCAGAGGAACGGUCUACGGAACGGACGGUCUAGAUCAACCCUAUCCACAACGAACGGCCGAGAUCGAUCCAGACCACGGCGGUCCACGGGACACGGCGACGAUGACGUCGGCGAUGACGUCAUCACCGGCGACGGCUCGGGUGGCGCAUGCUCGCCGGCGAACGAAGGCGCGGCGGCGCAAACGGAGGGCACCAACGGGUAGAGGGCGACGCGGCGAUCCUUACCGAGGCACGAACAGCGGCGGACGGCGACCGGACGGUGACGGCUACGAGGAAGAAGCGGCGAUGACGGUCGGGUUGACGACGACGGUGGUCUUCCGGCGAUGACGGAGGGGCGGACGAGAUUGGUGACGGCUUGGCGACCACGGCGGUGACCUCCCCGAGCGGUGACGACGACCGGAGCGACGGCGGCGCACGGCUGGACGAACGGCGGCGACGGCGGCGCACGGGCUCACGAGGCUAGGGCGUUACAGGCGGCGGCGGGCAAAGGCGAGGGUGGCGGUGGGUAGAGGGAAGCUCGGGGGUCCUUAUAUAGGGGUUGGAAGGCGGCGGCGAAGGCCCACGGCGACCGGUGACGGCGAAGGAAAGUCUAGGGUUCAGAGGAGAGAGAUCGAUCCGAAUCGAACUCGAAUCCACGGAUUUCCAAACGAAAAUAGCCGACGAUUCCAUAAGAGAAAAGAUAGAGGGGAUCCCGGGGAUCAUUUCCCCUCUAUCGAUUCGGCCGGAGAUGGAAAGGAGCGACGGAAAUUGGAAGGGCGGCGGUGGCUUGCGCGCGGCUAGGGCACGGCUACGGCGGCGCGAGGUUGACGACGACCCUGACAGGUGGGGCCCACCUGUCAGCAGGAGAGAGAGAGGAGAGCGGCGGCUCGGUUGCGGGCCGGCUUGGGCCGGGGAGGAGAGAGAGAGGGUUUUGGGCCGACUUUCGGCCCAGGAUUUUAAAACCUUUUUCAGUUAUAAUUAUUCAUGAAAUGCAAUUUCAUUUAUUAAAAAUACUUCCUUUGCUCAAAUAAAUCCCAGAAAAAUCUAGGAACUAUAGAAUCAAGCAAAGUAUUUAAGAAAAUUUUAUCUAGCCCAUUUUUAUAUUGGAAUUUAUUAUUUAAAAUUAGAGCUUCUCUUGUAGGCUUUUAUAAUUAUUUCUAAUAAUUCCAAUUAAACAACAAUUUAUAAUUUAAGGAUUUUUAAACAAGAAAAGCUCUUAACAAUUAUAAUUAGAUCAUUAAUGAUUAAAUAAUUACUGAACUGUUCUUUGUAUCAUUUAGGAAUUGAGCUCUGAAAAAAUCCGAGAAAAUUUCAGAGAGUAAAAUUAAUCAUGGAGAAUUUAAUAAAAAUUAAAUCCAACCAUGCUUUAUAUUUAGGAAGUUUUAUUUCCCACAUUUAACUUCACUUGUAAAUUAAAGAACAUUUAAUAUAAAUUCUAUUAAUAAUUUAUUAGAUAAUUUAUAAAUCCUAAAACGAAAAUCAGGCUGUGACAAAGACCAUGUGAGGCUGCUAGGGAAAGUAGCACACGAAUUGUGGUCAAUCUAGCAACAGGUGAGUAAGUGUCAAAGAAAUCUUCGCCUUCUUUCUGAGUAUAGCCCUUAGCAACAAGCCGAGCCUUGUACUUUUUUCAAUAGUACCGUCAGGCCUAAGCUUCUUCUUGAACACCCAUUUGCACCCCACAGGUUUACACCCAUAGGGUCGCUCUGUCACCUCCCAAGUCCCGUUAGCGAUAAUGGAAUCCAUUUCACUACGGACAGCCUCCUUCCAUUAGUCUGCAUCAGGAGAUGCAUAUGCUUCUGAAAUUGACUUAGGAGUGUCAUUCACGAGGUACACAGUGAAAUCAUCACCAAAGGACUUAGCCGUCCUUUGUCUCUUACUCCUUCGAGGAGCUUCACUGACAUCCUCCUCAGUGACAUGUUCAUGUGUAUGUUCAGUUUGUUCUGGUGGUGUGAUUGAACUGGGAAUUACUUCAGAGGGUUAACUCGAACUACUAUGUGUAUCCUUCAUUGGGAAAAAGCUCUCAAAGAAGGUAGCAUCACGAGACUCCAUAAUUGUACCAACAUGCAUGUCAGGUACCUCGGAUUUAACUAUUAAAAAUCUGUAGGCAAUGCUGUGAUGAGCAUAUCCCAGAAAGACACAGUCCACAGUCUUAGGUCCAAGUUUGUGCUUCUUCGUUAUUGGUACAUUGACUUUCGCCAAGCACCCCCAUGUGCGCAAAUAAGAAAGUGAUGGUUUUCUCCCAAUCCAUAUCUCAUAUGGUGUUUUGUCCUUAUUUCUGUUAGGAACUCUGUUUAACACAUGAUUCGAGGUCAACAAUGCCUCCCCCACCAUGCCUUAGGUUGUCCCGCGGUGUCCAACAUGGCAUUCACCAAGUCAGUCAGUGUGCGAUUCUUCCUUUCAGCAAUCCCAUUAGACUCGGGAGAAUAGGAAGGCGUCCUCUCAUGUAUGAUGCCAUGUUCCUCACAGAAUAAGUCAAACUCGUUUGAGAAAAACUCUCCACCACGAUUAGACCUAAGCCUUUUUAUCUUUCUGUCAAGUUGAUUUUCAACUUCUGCCUUAUAAAUUUUAAAAUAGUCUAGAGCCUCGUCUUUCGUUUUCAACAAGUACACAUAGCAAAAUCUAGUAGCAUCAUCAAUCAAUGCCAUGAAAUAUCGUUUUCCACCCUUCGUCAACACCCCAUUCAUUUCACAAAGAUCUGAAUGUAGGAGUUCUAGUGGUGCCAAGUUUCUCUCCUCGACAGCCUUGUGAGGCUUGCGAGGUUGCUUCGAUUGCACACAACUAUGGCACUUAGAACCUUUGACAAUGGAAAACUUAGGAAUUAAACACAUGCUGGAAAGCCGAAACAUCAAGCCAAAAUUAAUAUGACAUAAACGUGAGUGCCAAACAUUAGCCUCAUCAUCCACACUGCCACAAAUAUGGUUCACAGACAUAUUGCAGAAAUCAGAAAGGGAAAAGCGGAACAGGCCUCCGCACUCAUAACCUUUAUCAAUAAAAUAUCCAUGUUUAGACACGACUACUUUAUUAGACUCAAAACCCAACUUAAAUCCGUCUCUAGUCAGACGGGAGCCACUAACAAGAUUCCUGUCGAUAGAAGGGACAUGCUGCACGUUCUUCAGCUGCACGAUCUUUCCCGAAGUAAACUUCAUAUCUACCAUGCCAACACCACGAACAGAAGCAUGUGACCCAUUCCCCAUUAUGACGGUGGAACCCCGUGCGACCUGAUAAGAAGAAAACAAUGAGAUGUCAACACAAACAUGUACAUUGGCCCCAGUAUCAACCCACCAAUUAGUAGACUGAUUAACUGAAAAAACAGUAGGUAAAUUACCAUACCCGCUUCCAUCUCCAGUAUUGCCAAUGGUCACAUUAGCAGACUUAGAAGUCUGCCCUACAGGUGCCUUCAUCCCGUUGCGCUGUGGACACUUCCUAGCCAGAUGACCAGGUUGCCCACACACAAAGCAAGUCCUCUCAUCCUGGUUAGGAUUGAUAUUGUUCUUCUUCUACUUCUUGAAGUUGGUGGUCUGUUGAGCUUUGUAUUUCCCCUUGCUCUUGUUCUGGGCCUUGUGCACAACAUUGGCACUGGACUGCCCACCAUCGCCCUUAGACGCGGCGUCUUUUUCCCGAGCUUUCUCCUCAACAUCAAGAGACGCUAUCAACCCCUCAACGGAGUAUUCCUGUCUCUUGUGUUUAAGUGCAGUACUGAAACUUCUCCAUGAUGGAGGUAGUUUCGCAAUAAUGCACCCGGCCACAAAUUUGUCGGGUAAGACACACUUAAGGAGUUCGAGUUCCUUAGCUAUGGUUUGUAUCUCAUGAGCCUCUUCGACUACAGAACGGUUGUCAGCCAUCUUGUAGUCAUGAAACUGCUCCAUAAUAUACAGAUCAUUGCUAGCAUUAGUAGCACCGAAUUUAGUAUUCAGUGCAUCCCACAACUCCUUAGCGUCGGUCAUAUGCAUAUACACCUCGACCAGACGAUCGCCAAGAACGCUAAGAAUGCAUCCCACAAAGAGAGUAGUGGCUUCCUCGAAUUGCUUCUGCUGAUCAACAGUAAGAAUUCCUUCAGGUUUGCCAGUACUCACCCAGAAGCAUUUCAUAGCCGUCAGCCACAGAGUGACCCUGAUCUGCCAUCUCUUAAAGUGCACACCGGUGAAUUUAUCCGGCCUCAGUGCAUCGGCAAAACCAGCCAUAGUAAAAUCACAGCGCCUAUAAUAAGUUUUUUGGAUUGUUGAAAUUAUAAGCACAUAAUGAUUUAAUUUAUUCCAUAAAUAAAUCAUGACAUUGCAGAUGUAAACUAGAUUGAACGCAUCAUUAGAUCCACACAUGUAAACUAAGCAGUAAAGCAUGAACAGAUAUGCACAACAUGUAGAACACGUACCGAGGUGGCGGAAAGACCGGUUGCUCGGCAGGAACUACUCGCGGUUGCGAGCGUCGACGAAGGCGUGAAGCACGCGAGUGGAGAGGAAGGCGAGCCGUCGCGGACAAACAGGGAGCAGUCGCGCGAAGCGCUUCCCAAAAACCUUAUUGCCGCCUUCUCCCGGUGCAGGACGUCGAAGGUAGAGGUUCCGGAGACCUGCUCUCCCGAUCGCCGGUGCACGCCGGCGAGCGGGAUGGAGUAAUCUACGAGCGACGGCGCAGUACAGAGUAGGAGGCAAACCCUAGAUUAAUUUCGCGUGUGUUGCGUGAAGGCGGCGGCUCGGUUUAUAUAGAGAUAGAUCGCCUGAUCAGGGCGCCCGCGUAAACCGAACCGGAUAAGUCGUGCGUGUAGGCGGCGGCUCGGUUUAUAUACAGAUAGAUCGCCUGAUCAGGGCGCCCGCGUAAACCGAACCGGAUAAGUCGCGCGUAAUUUCCUGCAGCAAAACAAAACUGUAAAAGGAGGCUGCAUCUGCGCAAUGGUGAGGAGCCAAUUUUGCGGACCAUUCGACGCGUACAUCAUCCACGCGUCGCCUGCCCUGCCAGGCGAGGCGAGGUGAGCGAGCACGUGUUUCCUCUCUUCUCUCCACCACACAUGCUUCAAGUGGCUAGGAGGGCAUCCUCCCUUUUAAGGAGGUCCCCCUCUCCCAGAAUAAGCAAGGUGGUACUAAACUCCACAUGCAUGCCAUCCCAUGAGGUGGGCUUUUGUGAUUUUCUAAAGAAUUAAUCUUCGAAUGGGCCGUAGCCCAUCUAUUAAUUUCAAGAUGGGAUGUAGGGAGUAUUAGAAAUCUCGAUAGAGGACGGGGGUAUAUAUUACGAUUUUGGCGCUUGGCAUUAUGACAAACGAGGGAUUUUCUUUGUGUUAUAAGAUGAUAGUACUAGUGCAAACGAAAAGAAGGGAAACACGGGUAGAGGCCUAGAGAGCAUUGUGGUACUCUCAGAUUCAAAAAAUAGAGAAGAUGUGGAAAACAAAGGUCUUAUCCCCAAAAUUAAGGUGUUGCAUCUCUGCCAACAGGUGAAGUACGAUUCAGGAGGUACAUGGCACAGGUUGAUGUAUCAAUGGAGGAUGCAAAGCUGUUGCUGUUUGAGAUGAAAGAUACGCUUAAGGCUUAAUCAGGAUGAUUUUAUUAAAAUGCGUGUUACCCUUUAGGCCAAUACUGUAGGGCAAGAGGGCGUGCUAUACUAUACAUGGAGGAUUUGGAGCAUGGAACAGGUCAAAGCAAAACCUGUCAGAGAGAGGCAGAGUGUAGCUCUGCCAAAACCUCUGCCAAGACUUCAGUAAACAGUACGCACGCGUGCUUGUUGAGUGGAAAAUGCACAUCCCACUAUCCCAGCACAAGGGUGAGGAAUGGCCAAUGGGGAUGUUGGGCUUGUCUGGUUCCUUGCCAUUUGCAACGAUGACAAAAUUUUGGCAAUGGCAGAAGUUGGGUCAUUGCCGAAAAAAAUUUGGUAAAAGUUAGUAUCUGAGUAAGUCACUAAGCCAAAUAAGACGGCAAUGAUUUUUUUUUCUGGCUAUAAACCAGACAGACUGACAUUAUUUUUUAGCUUGGUUGAAAAAGGCUACAAACCAUACAAGCCCAUUGUGACAAGUCUGCACAUCUUCCCCUUGACUAGAAAACAGCCAUUCCAAUUCAUUAGAUUCAUUAGACUAGAUUAUUCCAUUCAACACCGCAAAAGCAUACGAAUUUCAUUAGAUUCAUUAGGCUAGAUGAUUCCAUUCGACACCACAAAAGCAUCCGAGGCAUUAAGAGGAUACAAGUGUUUCAUCACGACAUCACCCAUCCAUCCAUCACAGACCAAAUGAACUCCCCCAACUUCCUGGAGCUAACGACGACGAUGCUUCAUUCAUUCAGACGCCGGUGGAUCCGAACCCUCCCUCUCCCCUGACGGUGGCGUCGAGGUCCUCCACCUCGGCGACCUCCGGCGUCACGAUCACCUCGAUGAUCAUCUGCGCGAUCCGGUCGCCGGGCUUCACGGCGAAGUCGGUGUCGGAGUGGUUGAAGAGGAUGACCCCUACCGGGCCACGGUAGUCGGCGUCGAUCACCCCGGCGCCUACGUCGAUCGAGUGCUUCAACGCCAGCCCAGACCUCGGCGCUAAAACCGGACAGGCAUUUCGUCAAACACCUGGUGCGCAAGCAAGAAAGGAAUGGACGGAAAAGAAUAAAGAGAGGAAAUGCUCACCGACGCGCGCGUAGGUGCCCUCCGGGAUGGCGAUGCUGAGGUCCGUCGGCACCAUCGCCUUCCCCCUCGCCGGCACGACGACCUCCGCCGCGCUGAGAUCAGAAAAAAAAACCCACAAAAACGGUGUAAACAACCACCAACGGCGAUGCCAUUUUUGUUUUUCACGGGGAGACCUUGCCGGGCGCGUACCUCGACAGGUCGUAGCCGGCGGCGAGGGCGGAGCCGCGGGACGGCAGGACGGCGUUCUCGGAGAGCUUCUUGACCUUGAGCAAGGGAGCAACCUUGGCGAUCUUGUGCGGGGGCUCCUGGACGGCGGAGUCAGCGGCGGCGGCGGCGGCGGAGGCGUUGCCGUUGGUAGCGGUGGCCAUGGCGACGGCUGAGAGAGCUCUCGGCGGCAGGCGGUGGUGGCGCGAGAAGGGGACGAACGGUGGAGGAGGUGAGUGGAUUUGGGGGAAGCGGCGGAGGCGGCAAUGGUGGUUAAAUAGAGGGGAGAUGAGGCGGGAACAGAUGGCGCCAAGUUUUCCCGCCAUAUUUCUCCUCCCACCAACGCCGCGCCCGAGUUAAAUAGAGGAGGGUUUGGUCUCCCACGCGGUCGCUGCUGUUUUAAAUGCAUGGAUAUGGAUGCGUGCGCGUGCGGGGCAGUUUUUCGGAAAUCUCGCCGGAUUUCCUGUGAUUUGUUAUUGGCAGGAUGAUUUUCUUUUUCUCAUCUGAUAUGCUACUGUUUUUUUAUGAAGGAUAAUUUGCCAGAAAAAAAUUACGAAUCGCUUAUUAUAAUCCCAGAUAAAAGGGUCCAUAUAAGCCCAUAGGAUGCAUAAAUGCAUUUAUCCUGAGUUACUGACCGUUUUACAUAUGUAUAACCUUUAUCUGAAUAGCGAACUUUCCGACUUUUAAGGGACUGUUCACUUUAAUGUCAUUUUCAACCUUACCAAAUUUCGGUGAAGUUGCUAAAAAAGUGGCUACAUUUAGUUUGCUGUCGAAUUUUGCUAACUAUAUAAGAAAUCCUGUUUACCAAAAUUUUGACAACUAUACCAAAAUUUUGACAAAGAUUUUUUUCAUCAAAGUGAACAGGCUUAAAAAAGAGUGACAGAUAUCAGGUGCCAAAGGGUUCGAAAAAGUACCAGGGCUAACUAGUAGUACUACAUGUUAAUUUCGUAAUCACCAUGGCAAACAACUGACCAACCCGAUAAUCAAAAUAUACGAAACAUAGUGCUGUCAGUUGUCACAACUGUCAACCUGGUAAGCAUAAUAUUACUGCUUUCUCCAUUUCAUAUUAUAAAACUUCCUAGCUUUACCCUCAUAUUAUAAAACUUUCUAGCAUUACCCACAUUCAUAUAUAUUUCAUAUAUAUGUUAAUGAAUUUAGACAAACAUAUAGUCUAGAUUCACUGACAUAUACUACCUCUGUUUUUUAAUAGAUGACGUUGUUGACUUUUUCCCACAUGUUUGACCAUUCGUCUUAUUCAAAAAAAAAUUUCCGUAAUUAUAAUUUAUUUUGUAUGAGUUAUCUUAUCACUCAUAGUACUUUAAGUGUGAUUCAUAUCUUAUACAUUUGCAUAAAAUUUUUGAAUAAGACGAGUGGUCAAACAUAUGAGAAAAUGUCAAUGGUGCCAUCUAUUAAAAUACGGAGGGAGUAUAUGAAUGUGGACAAUACUAAAAAGAGAGUAGGAAAUACACUAAACAUGUGCACAAGCAGCACAGUACAAUGGACAGCUGAUAUGCCUGACUUGGAAAGGGACAAAUUCAUAAUCAGUUGUGAAAUACAAAUGCAAAAGUUGGUAGCUUUCUACUACAAAAAGAAGUUAUACAACAAGAAGAGACCGAUCCGAAUGGAUGAUGCUUUCUGGUAAUAUAAACACUACAUCAACUUAACACGGUGAGUCAGAGCACACGUCUUGCCAAGACAACAGAUUGCAUUUUUCCACUGGACAUUAGGAUAUGAUACAGCUGAUUGCCUGAUUCUAUGCUACAAGACCAACAAACUGAUUUCCAUAGCCCAUCGAGUUGGUCGUAAUUCUUAACACAAGGAACUUACAACAACACAGGAAGAAAACUGUCCUUCAAACUAUUUUCCGGUGUCCGCUGAAGGCCCAAAUCUGAAAAUGUUCAACAAGCAGCAACUCAAACGUUAACAUGCUGGAGUUUGCACCAAAAUAUUUUCUUUUGCUUUCACUUCUAGAACAUGGCAAAUGCUAAACACAAAACUCAGUAAGUUCCGCUGGGAUCUUUAUGAGAUAAAAAAGCACCACGUUAAUCAUGGCAAAGCUACAACUAAAGGGUAACGGUUGUCAAAAUCAACAAAUGCAUGACUUCCUUACACAGCACAACGGCCGGAUAAACUAGCAAAUAUUGCCGACCAAAGUGUUCUUCUGUAUCUUAAUAUUAAGUGUUAAUCUAUGAUAUAAGAACAUUUUCAGUUAGUAAGGAUGUCAAAUUAGUACAAAGUGCAGAAGUUAGUUGUUGUUUCUAAAAAGCAACUCACAAGCUAUUAAUUUUGGAAUAAGGACAGCAGGUCUUACAACUGAUAAUUACAUUCCAGCGUGAUUAUAAUUUAACAGUGUUAAGGUAGUACAGUUCAUGGCAUGCACUUGAUUAUCAAAAGAAGCUUUCGUACCUUCAAAUUCUUGUCCCAACUUCCUGUACACAAUGCACUCCCAUCAGAAGAAAGACCAAGGCAGCUUAUACGCCCCUCAUGAGAGUUUUGGAGGUUUCCCAAAUUAAGUACCACCUAUCAGAAACAAAAGAAUUCACAAGUGAACCGAUUUUACAAGUUACAACAGUAAAACCAAUAUAUAAAGAGAGAAGAAAUAUAUAUAUUCAAAGCCUACCCCCUAUCAGUUACAUUAUUGAAACAAGGCGAAAAUGACCCUCCAAGCACGAAUUCAGCUACUCCCUCUGUUUCACAAUAUAAGACUUUCUAGUAUUGCCCACAUCCAUAUAGAUGCUAAUGAAUUUAGACAUUAUUAUAUAUAUAGAUUCAUUAGCAUCUAUAUAAAUGCAGACAAUGCUAGAAAGUCUUACAUUGUGAAACGGAGGAAGUAGUUAUCUUCAAACCAGAAAAGUUACAACAUGCCGACAUACAAGCAUGUUUACAUUGUUGACAGAGUUAAGGUCGUGUAACUCAAAUAGCAUAUCUUCCAACUGACUGUAAUAUAAUAGUAUAGUUGUAUAUAACAGGUAUAAUACAAUAUUUGCGAUAUUUUUUCAAAAAAUGGAAAGCAUGACUAUGUAAUAUAUUAAAGUCCACAGUAAUUUGGUCAAUAUUGUUUUCAGGUUCUGUUUUCACACUAUCUAAGCUGUAGUAAAAUUCAUGAGAAAUGGCCAAUGAUGCAAACCUCAGCGAGAAGUGUGUCCCACACAUAACAGUCACCAUUGGAGUAUCCAGCAAAAAGAAGCCUUCCUGAUAUCGAAAAUGCAAUAGAUGUAACAGUUGGGAGUUCAUUAUCAUUUCUAUCAGGUUCCCGACUGUAUACUUGAAGUUGGUGCCCUGUUCUCACGUCAAAUAAUCUACACGUUCCAUCAUCUGAACCAGUACCAAACCUCUGGCCAUCAGGGAAAAACUUGACACUGUUAAUGUCACCCUCAUGACCAUGAUAUGUUCUAACUGCCCGGCUUGCAAUUCUGAUAUCCCACAGCCUUACAGUUGCAUCACAUGAACCCGAAACAAACAUAUUCGAAUUUGAUGAGUUUAUGGACAAGCUGCAGCAGAAAGUAGAUAUAUUAGAGCACUAAAAAAAACACCUAUGCAAACAGAACCAUAGCAGCUUAUAUAUUUCAAAACAAUAACCAAAUUAAAUUAAAUCACUUUCAGCAGUUCAUUUGAAAAAAAGGCAUGUUGCUACAUUACAAAGAUGUUUUCUAUGCCACGUGUAUAAGCCAAUUCAUUACUAUUUUGUGCCUCAACUAGAUUCAUGAAAUUGUUUCACAAACCUUUUUAAGACCAAAUGCUUCAUCUGCUACCAUGUGACAACAUUGCAUACUCCCUCUGUAUAUUUUUAUACGGAGGGCAUACUAUUUAUAGCCAUAUCUUGCAAGCAAACUUGUACCACUUAAUUGAUGCAGUGAACAUAGCUAAGACACAUCAUUAGGGAACAAGGGCAAAACACAGUGAUAACAAACAAGAUAUAUCUAUCGCACUAACAGUAUUCACAUAUUACUGAAGACGGAAACCUAGCAUUCAGUAGCUUAAGUUGAAGCUGUCAUAUGUGAGAAGAGGAUUUCAAUUCAGUGCAUGGAGAACAGUUAAAUGCUAUGCAAUAGUAAGCAGGAUGUCCAAAUGAACCAAGUCAAGAAAGAAAGAAAAAUACCUCAAAACAUCUGCCGUAUGCCCUGAUGGGAAUUCACCGCCAAAUAUUGAUAUCCUUUGGCCAGUAGUAACAUCCCACAGGACACAUGUUUGAUCACCAGAGCUAGUAAUUAGGCGGGUUUCCUGAUCUGGGACAUACUGACAGGAUGAAACAUAGCCUUUGUGUCCGGUAAGUAUUCUUGAUACUGGUAUAUUCCCAUCUCUGUCUGCUUGUGAGUUAAGAUUGAAGAUAGAGCAUGCGCUGUCAAGACCACCACAGGCAACAGAUUGGCCAUUGGGUGCAAAUGCACAUGUCAUCACCCAUGGGCAAUGUAACUUUAUGGCAUGUGUUUUUUGACUUGUUAAUGCAUUCCAUACAAUUAGCCUUCCAUCUUGUGAGGCACUGACUAUCCAAUUCUUUUCAGGGGUCCAAUCCAGAGAAUAUACCUGCAGUGACUAAUGAGUUAAUGCUAGGCAUAAAACAUGAAAUCAUUUGAUAAAAGCAUUUAUUUUUGCCGACCAAUGUACCACAGAGGAAUUUGAAGUGUUCAAUUGCCACAGCAAAGUAGCAGAACAAAAAAAAAGGCAUCUUAGAACAGUUGGACCUUGGAACUUGGAACCAACAGCAGAUCAUAAAUUCCUUGCAUUCCAAUUUUUCUAGUAUUGCAACUUUAUAAACAUCAGUAGUUUGUGACUUUGUGUUCAUUUGGUUGCCAACCUAGGGGUCAUAUUGCUUAUUUGACCUGAUUAUGCGGACUAUCCGUAACCGGUGAUCAUAUGUCAAUGUUGCGGCCUUACGAGCACUAACUUAUACACCCUAGAUCCAUUAGAAGGCCAGUUCUUUAAUGAAUUGAUGAAAAGUAUCCUGAAUUGAGCUGAGUAUUAAAGAUUAUGAAAAAUACACUAUUUCUAGCAACCACAUCUGUCAACCAGCUAUGCUAUACACGCCAUAUAAGAUCCUGGGGACUGAAUAAUGUGUCAAUAGUAAUGUAGAUCUGCUGGACUAGCAACUGUGGAAGCACGUAUUGGCGAAUAGGGUUACGCUCAUAUCUUGUUUCAAGUCAUAACCAAGGGAUCUGACCAAACACAAUAAUCAUUGAAACAGCUACUGCAUUAACAUUAAUAGAGGCUCCAAUUGCAUUCUUCCACUUCUGCUUAGUAAACUGACACGAUCUCCAAUUACAUGUUUGACCAUUACUUCUAAUCGUAUGUCCAUAAAAAAAUAUUAAAAAUAUAAUGGUCUGAAAGUAUUUUCCAAGACAAUUCUAGAAUGUCAUGACACCUUUUAAUAUUUUGGGGAACAUUCAUGACCAAAAUUUCCAGGUUUGACUGCACUGGAUUCUAAAAGGCAUCUAUUUUAGAACGGAGGGAGUAUUCAUGCUACAGAGGAUCCGAGUCCAAUCAGUGAUUGUACACUACCUGAAACUGUCUUCGCAUGUUCAAGUAUGAAGUUUUGUAAAUAUGCGCUGACAAAGAAGUAACUGGUGCAGCUACGGAAUACACUUUGCUAGAUGGCAUAUAUGCACUAUGUAAUGUAAUUUAGCGAUAUUUUGUUGGACUAUAUGUACGUUUAGUGAUGUAAUAGUGGUGUCAUUAUUUGUAUUCAAGUAUAUUCAUAUAUUUCACCGUAUUGUAGUUUAACAUAUAUAUUAUGAGGUCUUUUAGGACGCUCCAUCUUACAUGUAGAGUGGUAAGAGCAAGCAACAAAUCCUAACCAUUAGUUUGUAUAUUUGCUUUAUCUAGUGAUAGAUAUAAUUCCAUCUAAUAAUUAAUAAAUCACAGCAGAAGAGGAAACUAUUAAUGCCUGUAAUUAAUUAAUUAUUCUUUCUGCAUACCAGGAAUGUGCAAAACAAAUUGCAUACUUUACAAAGCAAACAGCUGCUGGUUUUAAAAAACAAGUGACUUUUGAAACCUCAAGAUUUAAUAUGACAAAUAAAAGUAAUUCGAAUUACAUUCAACACCAACACAGUAAUUCAGUUUUUUUUGGAUGGUGGUGUGGGUGGGGGUUGGGGGGGGGGGGAGGCAAAAUUAUGCAUUAAAUAUUUACUGUAUGGGGCUAUUACGUUCUUACCCCUGUUUUGGAGUCCAACUGUGGUUUUGCCCCUGUUUUUUAGGGUUUGCGUUUUCAUCCCCCCCCCCCUCCUUCUGAAAACGAAGCAGAGCAUUACCCCUAAUUUGGAUGGUCAGUUUAAAUGGAGCACGAAAAGACAUUUAUACCCCCGUUUGCUAUUGCAUAUUUGUCCCUUUUCUAUAACACGUGUUUUACUCUAUUUUGACCGGAGAGCAUUGCUCUGAAUAUUUUCUUAAAGCAUAAAGAGUUCUUGACAACAGAAAUUUUCAGUGGGAGAAUCAGACAAAAACAAGCCAAAUUGGUAUGGGGCCUUUGCCGAACCCUGACAAACCAUGGGAACGGAGGAAGGACAGCUGGACAGUCGCAUCAUAUGAACUCAAGAGAGGCAAGAAUCGACCAUGGAUUUCAGUUGGUUUACUCUGCAAUCUUCUAGCCCAGAGCCAUGGUUAUGCAGAGUCUGUAAGCCACAACUUAGGAUUAGGAUUUGUUGCCGAGGAGCCACUGCCGCCAUAAAAAAACAGACUACUGCUUGCAUCGAUGCGCCGAGGAAUCACCGCCGCCUGCUUGCCGGAGCCUCCGUGGACUGCCGUUUGCUUCAACGCGUCAAGGAACUGCUGCCUGCUCGCGUUUCCGCACAGGCUAGCCGGAGCCACCGCCACCACCUGCUCGCAUUUCCACACAGGCUCGCCAGAGCCGCUGCCGCUGCCGCGAACUGCUGCUGGCGUCACUGCGCCGAGGAGCCACCACCUGCUUGUGUUUCCGCACAGGCUCACGACCGCUGCCGCAUGCUCUAGGUCUAGGAUUUGUGGAUGAUCUGAUGGAAACGGUGGAGGAUAACAGGAGACUGAACAUGCUCAAGGGUAGAAUGGUAGUCUCAUUUUUCUAAAAUCGUUUUUCCCCCUUUUUUAUGUCUCCUUAGCUCAUUAUUGUGGGACCCACCUAACUUCCAUCCAUAGUAGGGGUAAACGGUGACUUCAUUUUGAAAAAACAUGGGUAAAUUUGCAAACCCUAAAAAGUGAGGGCAAAAUCACAGUGGAGAUUGAAAGCUGGAGUACAAACACAAUUGUCCCUUACUUUAUUGGCAAACAAUUUUUAUUGCAGGUUCAUGAUUUUAUUUUUCUUUCCUUUUUACGCGAUCUAUUACCUCCAAUGAGGUAAUAUGAAUGCCAUCCAUUGGACCAAGGUGUAAUUAAGAGUACCAUAAAAAAAAUCAAUAUACUAUAAGAGAAACCAAUGGUAACAAUCUUUGAGACCAUGACAAGUCAAACCAUGCCGCAUAAAAGUGAACAAAGGGAAUACAUGCAGCUGUGACUAGAAAGGAGAAAUAAACACUGAACUAUCCUCCUAGGAGAGACUAAUGUUUGUAUACCAAAUCACUCAACCAUGUCCAAGUUUUGCAAUAAGCAUGUUACCAUUCCAUGCAUAAGGGAGGGAGGCAGCCAGCGAUGGUUGUCUGUGACAUUGCUUCUGCAAAUCAACUAGUGGAAUUUUAUUCCAUAAAAUAUACAAAAACAGUAUUGCCUAUAUGGGGAAUACAUUCUAACAAAACCUAUUUUUGGCACUUUUUUUAGAAUAUGACUCUGGUUGAUUCAAUGGACACAAGUGAAACAACAUUUCUAGGGGACGAUAGAAUUCUAAACAGGUAAAUGAUGAACUGGUUGUCAAAAUUGCAAUCUAGUUCAACCUAGUUCUGUCUAUGGGUAGUACUAUCUGAUUAGGAUGUAAUGCCAUCUAUAAAAAAAUAUUAGCCAACACAUGCUUAAAUAUUGUAAAGUAUCAUAGCGAUUUCACUUUUUAGAAGGAAAAGGACUAACCCCUGCUCUGAUUGAAAAUGAAAUACACAGGUAAAGAAUGGAAUUCUAAGGAUGGAAGCAACCAAAAGUGCAUCUACCUACACAGGUUUUUUAUUAUUACACACAAAAUAUAGCAUUUAACAAAGUUACUCUACUUAUCCACCUUCAUCUCAUUCCUGUGAACCAAAGGUCUUGAGCCUUAUCCUUUAUAACAAGAGCAACCUCCAUAAAAGAAGACUUUCUCCGCUUCCCACAGUAAAGGAUAAGCAGACCAAAACAUUCUUGGACCAAUAAAGGUUUACAAAGUUUGUUCCUCAAGGCAAAUGGUGGCUUUAUAUUUAGAAAUAGGAGAACCAAACCUCCUCAAAACCAGAGAGUAGCUACACACCACACAGUUCAACUAAUUGUAUUACCAUUUAUAUAACAUAAGGCAAAUAAAGCAACAAAAGCAUGCAAAACAGCAAAUAUGACAUAAGUGCUUAAUUAACUUUCUUCUUCUUGAAUAGCAUCUCGAAUUCAAGUUCCUCCUACCAACAUUCCUAAACACAAGAUAAUUUAACUCUAAUCUACAACAAUGCAACUUGACCAGUAUUAAAAACAUGCUAAAAUCCACACAAAAUUAGACCAAAUAAUCAAUAUUUGCCCAAAAAUGAUGCAUUCAACUUAAUGUCAAGUUUCUUAACUAGAGGUACCAACCCAAUCACCGAAUCUUACUCACUCGAAAUUAACUGGGCUUACACUACCACCCCGUCUAGCACCAGUUGCAACUAUUUCUAAUCGCAAACAAGUGCUAGUACUUCAUCCAUCUCUUCUUCCACAAUUCAACCUCCAAAACCGUACGACCGAACCCCAAUUCGCAAAAGCUGUACCGAAAUUGAGAUACGAGAGGCAGAAAGUCAACUGAUCAGCAACCUUUCCGCUGUGGCCUUGAAGCGUGCGGCAGCACACCAGAUCCGUCGGGUUGAAGCUCACCGGCGUCCGCCCCUGCGUCCUCGAGUACCUCUCCACUGCACAUACACAUACACACACCCCAAAACAAUCAGCAAAAAAAAUAAACCCCGCUAAAUUCACCCCGAGCCCUCGAGAGCUCCCACCGCCUGUGGGGGUUGGAGGGGUGGGUGGGGGGGGACCUCACCGUCGGUGUCGAGCAGCAUCUGCCGCCUCUGACGGAGCCGCUCCCGCAGGGAGUUCACCGACGCCGUGGCCGCCGCGUGCUUCUCCUUGAGCUCCGCCACGGACGCCAUGCCGCCGCCGCCCGCACGCCCCCCGCGACCUCGCGCUGGUUGAGGGAGGGGGGAUCUACUGGGAUCCGGGCAUGGAGGCGAGGAACGCAAUGGCCUCGGCUGGAGCUUUCCGGAGCUCGCGAGGAGGAGGAGGAUACUACCACGGCGGCGGCGGCGAGAAACGGACGCCGAAAUGGGGUGGAGGAAGAGAGGGGGGGGGGGGCGAGUUGUUGGGGGACGCGUUGCGUUGGGUUUAGGAGGAGGAAAGAGGAGGAGGUGUCCGACUAGGCUGUUUUUAUGUGGAUGACAUGUGGGGCCCACCUGAACGUGGGGCCCGCGGUAGUAGGGUUGGUUUUAUGGCAGACUGGGGAGAAGUGGGGGUAAAGGGACCACCGGGGAGUGACCGUUGUGUGAGCGGGCGACUGUCACAUGUUUAUGCAAGUUUUUUUUUUUGAGAAACUAGUUAUUGUUGAUUUGUUGUCAGCUAGUAGUAUCUGUGGCUUGAUUUUCUCUGUUGUUCAACUGAGUGUAGAGAGUUCGGAAGAAGAAGAAGAUGCAUCGAUGCUGAUACGAGAUUUCUCGAAGGCUAAAUCCUAUGAAAUGACAUUGAAUUUCAAUCGGAAUACAAUGUGUAAAAUAGAGAACUAUAAAUCAAUUUAUAGAAAAGAUCAUUUGACUUAUAAACUUUGGGUCUCUAAACUUUAGAUGUGUAAACUUGGGGUGUAUAAACUUUAGAUGCAUAAAUUUACUAAAAUAGAAAAAUAAUGUGGUGCCAAAAAAAGAAACCACGUGAAGGAGGGGGUGAUCGCUAGGGGCGAUCGAUCCUCCGUUAGCCUUUUCGCGACCUCCUACGCACGGUGAGAAUGGAUGGAAUGAUGACAUCUGUAUUUUAAGUAACUGUAAAACUGUUCAAUUCUUUCAUAUAAAAGAAUAUUUCUUUAGAUUUCAUUAUAUUUCGCUCACAAGUCAAUACAGUAUGACUCAAAAAUGGGAAUUACAACACUUCCCUUUGUAACCGUCAAUACUUUUCUUUCUAAAUCGCCACCAUUUUUUUUUUACAAUGUGUAUGGGAUCCCUUUGCAAGGUUGAUUCAACAACUCAGCUCUUACAGAAGAAUGAUGUUGAAAGGUCAAUCAUGUUGCCACAUGGCAAGAAAAACCAACGAAGGAAAAUGGCCAAAAGAUCUGGCCUACCAACUGCUAUCCCACAAACUAAUUCCACAACAUCGAAAAUGACACUACGGGUACCUUUUUUUUUUCUUCCGUUUGACGGAUAAAAGCACCUUUCAAUUUCAGAUUACGACCCUGAUGUUAUAUUGUCUUUUGAAAUCCACAAAUCUCUUUCGUUACAAGUAUGCACAAGGGUUAAAAACUUAAGCCAAUGCAAUGUUUGGGACACGCAAGAAAAUAGAAACCACAUUCAUCAAAGAACAUUAUACUACCUCACGAGAAAUUACUCCAAAAAUCCGAUAAAACUGUCAUAUUCCAGACAAGCAUGACAACAUGCACGUACAAAUAAUGCAACAUAAUCGACUAUAAAUAUAGGCAUAUACAUAUAAGCAUAGGUAGAUUACACACCAAACAACCUGUAUCACCAUUGACAACGACUCACACGCCUCUACACAGUCAUCACAAAGCCAACCUGCCCAAAGCUGCACUAGAAGAGACGCCAUAUGCACAGUUAGUCACACACACGCACGCACAAAGGCACAAAAGCCACAAAGGCAAACCGAGGAAAUGGAAGCAUCUGCUACGCCGAGAAGAAGACGGAGACAGGACGAUAUGCAUCCUCACAGUGAGCCAGCCAACCACCGCCACCAUAAAACGUUACAUUAUUGUCCGUGGCUUUAUUCGAUUCGCGCAGGCGUUUGUAGGGCCGGAAAACUUGUAUAGUAGAUCAUCAUAUAUGGUGAUAGCUGCAGAAGAAAACGAAUUAUAUAUGGGCCAUGGACUGGAGCUGUGUGGAGGAUAAAAUGGUUAAUAGGUAAUUGAGUCCGUGAUGGUUGGUGUUCAUCAUUGGCCUCCGGUGUACACACAUGAGCCAUAGCCUGCAGAAAAAUCAUAGAGGAGUUUUUCAGAUUAGCACAGUUAAUUUUGAUUGACCAACAGCAUAUUAUGUGGAAAAGAGACUGUUUACAUUGCUGCAAAAAUUGAUUUUUAGCUAAACAGAUGGAAUUUAUCCACUAAUCCAAACUUAUAGUAAACAAUCAUAACGAGCAGCUCUAUACCAACAGCAAGAAAGCAGGUAAAGGCACGCAGUAGAUAACUUCGGAGUUCAGAGAGCUGUUGCUGAAAGAUGAGCAAAGUUAACUUGUGCACUACUACCACUUUCCUACAGAAUCCAUUCAUUCCCUGACAUUAACAAUGGAAAACACUAGUCCUGCAAAUUGCAUAUGUUUACCUACUAAAUGCAAGCUUUUGCAGCAAAAAAGCGAGACAUUUCAGUAAGAAAAGGCCUGCCUCAGCAGUGCAGGAAGCCACAUUGCAAGUGCCCCAGCAAUUCAGCACAUGAGCAAUGUCGAUCGAAUGAAUGAAUAAAUGAAUGAAUGUGAGCAAUUUGGAAAAAAAAUCUUGAAAUAUUGACAAAUUUAUGCAAAACUUGGAAAAAAAAAAGAGCUUGAAUGUGUGCACGUACUGGGGUUGUCAGAGGUGAGCGUGGCGGAGGAGCGGAAGUCGCAGUUCCAGGGGUGGCGGCCGGCGGCCUGGUAGAGCUGGUUCAUGGCGUAGGCGGCGUGGGCGCGCACCGUGUUGGGCUCGAAGCACGCGCCACCGGCCUGGAUGGCGCCGCAGUCCACGCCCACCUGCGCGCACGCGUAGUCCAGGUCGGCCUGCAGGUCCGCCUCCGUCGCGCCGGCGCUCGCCACGCACCACCCGCCGCCGCCGCCCCUCGGCUGCUGCUGCGAUGCCCCGCCGUUGCUCGGGCUCGCCGCGCCGCCGGACGACGACGUCAGGCCGGCGUCGUACGCCAUGGUGAGGUCGGUGUGGUACAGCCCGAACGAGCGCUCCGACGUCGGGCCGGGCUUGAGGUCCUCGUCGUAGAGCGCGAACAGGUACGUGUCCACGGGCUUGCCCGGCAUCAGCGGCGUGCCGGCGCCGGACCGCAGGUGGGAGACGAGGUUGGAGACGUAGGCCCUGGCGUUGUCCGCCGUGGCGCCGGCCUCCCCGGCGUCGCCCCUGGUCGGCCACCCGGUCUCCGCCACCACGAUCUCCACGUCGCCGUACCCGGCGCGCCCCAGCGCCGACUUGACGGCGUCCACCUGCGCGUCGAACAUGUUGGUGUACUUGAUCUUGGACCCGGCGUCGACGCGGCCGGCAUUGGGCUGGAAGAGGCAGAAGGCCAGCGUCUCCGGCCGCGGGUCGGACUGGUAGGCGAAGUAGGGGUAGGGGUUGAUCAUGAAUGGCGCGGUGGUCUUGCUCAGGAAGCCCAGGAUCUGGGUCAGCUGCGGCGAGAUGUCCGGGUGGAAGGCGCCGGUGGACGGCGGGUCGGACUGCGCGAGCACGGCCAUGGUGUUCACGGUGGAGAACUUGAUCCUGGCGGCCCCGUCGCCGGCCGCGGCGGCGGCGGCGCGGAGGUUCUGCAUGGCGGGGAGGAGCGCGGCGGCGAGGGAGGCGUCCCCGGACUCGAGGACCUCGUUCCCGACGGCCACGACGGAGAUGGUCGACGCCGGCACGAACGGGAGCACGUUGGCGGCGAGCCACCGGGACGCGGCGGCGGGGUCGGCGGCGAGCGAGGGGAUGUCGCCGUUGGCCACGCCAACCACGAGCGAGAUGCCCGUGCCGGCGAGCGCGCGCAUGAUCCCCGGAUCAACGCCGUACAGCCUGACCUUGGAGAUGGUCGUCGACUUGAGCAGCUUCGCCGUCUCCUCCGGCGCCGGCAGGUUGUCCGCCACCUCGCCGUAGUUCACCCCGAUGUACGAUUGCGCUCCUGCACCCAAUCCAACCAAUCAAAAACCAAAAAGCCAUGGAAAGAAAAAAUUCCCCGAGCUUUACAGCUUCUUGAUCCGGCAAUUUCCUCGGGACACGAGACCGAUCAAACCACCCAAAAGCUACUUACUCGACGCGGCGACGAAGCAGCAGAGCGAGACGGCCAGAGCCAAAAGGAGCUUUCUCGACUCGGCCUCCAUGGAUUCGAGCUCGCGCCGCGCCCAGAGCAGAAAGGAGAAGUGUGAAAGCAGCAGCAGCAGCAGCAGACGAACAAAGAAGAUAUGGACGCGGCGGCCAAGUGUGGCGUGAAGAGUGAAGACGGCGAUGACGACGACCCAAGGAACGGAAGCCGACCAAAUCAUCCAAGAAUCAUAUGCCUACGCGGAUGGAGCCUACCCCCUACGCGACGCGGCUGCUGCUACCCGGUGGCGCCCGCGCGGCUGCGUUGCGUUUGCGUGCGCCCGCCCGCCGGGAAAGCCGCGGAUUCGUGGCGGGGGUAAGGUAUUAUUUGGUGUGCAAAACAAAUGGAGUAGUAUAGGAGUACAAGUACUCGUGGACGUACGUGUGCUGAGCUGUGGCCACGUGCGGCGGCCGGGGGAGUGUGUGUGUGUGUGUGGGCGCGCGCCGCGGUGGAGGCGGGGAUGGCCGUUGGAUCGGUGGGGAGGCCGGUGGGCGUUGGACGGCCCGGAUGGGGUAGAGAUGGAGAUAGUAGCCGUUGUUAAGCAAGCGCGGGCCACCGUGCCGGCGAUGGUGGCGGUGCGAUGGUUGGGUAGCUGCAGGCCUGCGGUUCUGCACGCCCGUGGACUGUGAGUGUGUGAUCGGGGUGGCCCCGUUUGGGUAUUACGGAUCACAUUUUCUCCAACCUUUUUACUGCUUUGUUUGAGGGGAUGUUUAGAUCUACAGUUUUCACGUGUCACAUCGGAUAUUAUAUAGGAUGUUCAGGCACUAAAAAAACUAAUUACAUAAUUUGUCAGUAAAUCGCGAGACGAGUUUAUAAAGCCUAAUUAAUCUAUCAUCAGCAAUGUUUACUGUAGCACUACAUUGUCAAAUCAUGGAACAAUUAGGGUGAAAGGGUGAAAAUUAGUCGCAAUCUAUGUAAUUAGUUAUUUUUAGCCUAUAUUUAAUACUUCAUGCAGAUGUUAAACGUUUAAUGUGAAAGGGUGAAAAAUUUUAGGGAGGAAUCUAAAGAGGGGCUUACUGCUUUGUUAGAGUGGGCAUAUGUUUAGAUUCCCAUUUUUUUUCUUCAAACUUUCAACUCUUCCAUCACAUCAAACUUUUCUACACACACAGACUUCCGACUUUUCUGCCGCAUCGUUGGUGUGUUUAGUUCCACACUAAAAUUGAAAGUUUGAAGAAAAAAAUUGAAAGUUUAUGUGUGUAGUAAAGUUUUGAUGUGAUAAAAAAGUUGGAAGUUUGAAAAAAAGUUGUGAACUAAAUAAGAGCAAACUUUUAAUUUUUGCGUGAAACUAAACAGAGCCUAGAUCUUGAGGUGAUUUUUGGAUGCCGCGUCAUGGGUGAAACGCAGGAUAGAUUGAUGAUGAUGCGGGAGAUGCCAAGGCUGCGAUGCUGGAUUUUUCACAUUUUGAUCCUUUUAAAAAACUUAUUUCGCAAAUAGACCCCUGAAAAAACUUAUCCCAGAAAUGGUCCUUUUUGGGGCGCCAGAGUGGCUGGCGCCGUCAUCCAACGGGACGGCGCCAGCCUCUCUGGCGCCGUCCUCCUGCCACCGUGGCGCACACGAACCGACGUGGCAGGAGGAGGGCGCCAGCCAUGCUGGCGCCGCCCCAGGGAGGAGGGCGCCAGCAUGGCUGGCGCCGCCGCCUCCAUUCCUGUUUCUCUGUAUGGAGUUGCAACGGUGUUAUUUUUAUUUUAUUUUUUCGGAUGUUUUUUCACACUCAGGAUCACGAUACAACCAACCACAAAAAAAAAAUUUAAACACGAACUACCACUUAGCUAAGUCUGAAAAUAUCUAGCAUACCACUUAGUCUACUUUGCACAUUCACUAAAAUUAGACCAUAACUCCUUUAGUAAAACCCUUUGAUCAACAUGUUAAACAUAAUGCACUCUACCACUAUAUAAAUUACUUAAUCUAAUUCAAAAUAUAACCACAUGAAAUGACAUAUAUAAGUUAAACAGUACAUAGAGAUGUAAUUUUUUUAUUUUUAUUUCAUUUUUUUGAUAUUUUUUCACACUUAAGAGAACAUAGGAACCAACCGUAUAAAAAAUAAACUCAAACGGACAAAAUAUGUGACAUGUAGAAUUUUCCAAAACUCUACCGAAACGGAAAAAAAUAUGCCAUCUAUUAAAAUAGGCGUAACUUUCUCAUACGGACUCGGAAUCAGGCAAAUAAUAUAUGAACGGACAUCUACAGAAAAAGUUACAUCCGAUUCUCCCCAGCUUUGCCAGGUUCGGCGAUAUUAAAAACUCCAAAUUCCGCAUACAAGAUUGUGUUUUCGAGGAGAGAAGUUUUUCGGUAGAGCUUUGGAAAAUUCCACAUGCCACAUAUUUCGUCCGUUUGUUUAUUUUUUACGUGGUUGGUUCCUGUGAGUUCCUAAGUGUGAAAAAAAUAUCAAAAAAAUAAAAUAAAAAUAAAAAAGUUGCACAUCUCUCUCCUCUACACUAGUUCGGAGAGAGGAGAGGAGAGGAAAAAUUCUACAUGUUAUAUAUUACGUCCAUUUGAGUUCAAUUUUUCUAUGGUUGGUUCUUGUGUGUCCCUAAGCGUGAAAAAAAUAUCAAACAAAUAAAACAAAAAUAAAAAAUUUCGGGGGGGGGGGGGGGCGCCAGCCACUCUGGCGCACUCCCCCUAGCCACCUCAGCAUCGCCCCGCCACGUCGGCGGUGGGACGGCACCAGAGAGGCUGGCGCCGUCCUGUUGGACGACGGCGCCAGCCACUCUGGCGCCCCAAAAAGUACCAUUUUUAGGAUAAGUUUUUCUAGGGGUCUAUUUACGAAAUAAGUUUUUUAAAAGGACCAAAAUGUGAAAAAUCCAGGGCUGCGAUGAUGGUCGCUUCUGUUCUGGCAGCAAUAACUUGGCUGCUAGUGCUACACUGUUACUACUACCCUCGGCUCGAAAGUGUCGCCUCCCUAAGUUCAUUCUUGAUACCGGUAGCAUAAACGACUGUUUGUCCCCUUGCUUUUUACCAUCUCCGUUUUGUAAUCUAUAACGUCGUCAAUUUUUUACAUUAUUUAUCAUUAGUCUUAUUUAAAAAAAAUUAAGUAAAUAUGUUUUCUUUUAUCGUGGUCUGAGUUAUCACUAAAUAAACUUUAAGCAUUACUUAUAUUUUUAAGAUUUCCACAAAAUCAUUGAAUGAAAACAAAGAUCAAAGAUUAUAACAAAAGUCAAUAACACAAUGUAUUAAAAAACAGUGAGAGUACUACUCAAGGGCUCCUUUUGCAUGAAACAAAGAUAUAUGGAUAGAAAAAAAACAAAGGAUUAAAAUGUUGAAUCUUUUAAGAAAUAAAACCACAAAAAAUAAUCAAAACAUGUGUUUGGAUGGCUCAUAAGAAAAAAAACAAAAUUUUUUAGGUUAUAUAUCAGUUAGAUUGAGUGAGCAAAGAGAGUUGCAUUGGAAUUCUCUAAGGAAAUAAAACCAUGAUAUUAGAGCUCAUGUUCAAAUUCAUAUUAAAAUGAGGCGCAGGACGGGAAUGCAUUCAAAGGAAAUCUGCAACUCAAAAUCCUACAAACCAAACAACCUCAAUAGAAAAACCUAGGAUAAAUCCUUCAUUUUGACGCCCCAAAUAGCUUAUGAAAUGUUAUGAAUAUAAAGUGGAAAUCAGGCUGAACAACCUCUUUUUAGAGUUUUCAAUACUGAACAACCUCUUUUUAGAGUUUUCAAUACUGUUGAGGUAUGGUAAUGAAACCGCUCGUUAUUUUGACUAAGUUUGAAAAAAAUAAACAAAAGUUGAACUUUGUUGGGGUUUGUUAGUAACUAACUAGGAAGCAAGCCCGCGCAUAUGCGCUGGCAUCUUAUUUAAUGUUGCUUGAAAAAUAUGAGUCAUUUUUUUCUUAAAAUAUUUGUAUUCCAUUAUCAACCUUUUUCCCAAUAAAUCAUUUGUGACUAUUUUGAAUGUUGGUUAUGAUUUUCUUCUAAUUACCCUCACAACAUAUAAAUUCUAAACUAAAAUUACUUAAAACCGUGAAAUCUUGAAUUAUAGGAAAAUAUUGUGCCACAAUAAUAGAGUUGACUCCUAUGAACUAAUAUUUUUACUAUAUGUGUUUUUAUUGGAAUACUUAGCAAAUCUUCGUUUUGGACAUCUAUACUUUAAGAAAUCCACAUAGUUUUUUGAGAAGAGUUGUUGAAAUUUAACCAAAAAAUUUGAAAUAUAAUAUUUUGUAUGAUUUUCUUUAUAAAAAUCACAUAUUCCAAUUACAUUGUUCCUGCAGAAGUGUUUUUUUAUUUCUGCAAUUUAUAUCGGCCUUUGGAUUCAACAAAAUUUAUUUUAAGUUUGGCCCAAUUUUUAUUCAAAUUCCAGUUUUCCUUUCCAUUUCGUAUGGAAUAUUGGAGAUUUAUGUUAUAUCAAUCAUCCUUGAAAUGCUUUUGAUCUCUAAAAUUUUGGAAGAAAACAAAAUUGUGUUGAAUGUACAACUCAGUAUAGGCUAAAGACGUCCUAACCCUACCACCAAAAUUGAGCCAAAAAUAUUAUAUGGAUUGUGUUUUACUUCCUCUGUUCUCUGUUUUGCACAUCAACACAGUCUCCAAUAUACAUGUUCCAUCAUUAAUUUUUUAGCUAUAUAUUUCAAAAAAAAUAAAAAUAUAACUGUAUAAAAGCAUUUUUCAUAAAAAAAAUUAUCAAUAUUAUUUUUCCACAUAAGCAUAAUAUUUUUUUUAUUAAUUAAGAUUUUGAUAUUUGACUGCACGCUUUCUAGGAUGACACAUAUAUGAGAACGGAGGUAGUAACAUUCUGUUAAUACUAUUUUUUCCAUAUCAAACCCUAUUUUUUAUUUGCUAAUGAUUUAAUAUUCCGAGGUUUAGCUGCAUCUGUUUGAGAACUGAGGUAGUAAUAAAUUAAAACCAAACCGGAAUCUCCUAUCACAUAUUCAUAUUUCUGAAGUGGCGUAUGGUAUAUACCACAAAUUUAAGUGAUCGCUAAUGGCACCACAUAGCUGUUUCACUACCAUAAUCCCUUCUUGAAACACACGUGGUUCCUACGACCCAUCAUGAUGCCGAAUGUCCAUAAUUGUAUUUUAAAUUUGUUGGCUAUGAAAAUUAGUCUCCUGAUAAGGAACACGCUAUGAUGUAAAAAAAUGAGAUCAUUCUAAGAUUUUUUCCCCUCUAAUUAUUAGAGACUUCACGUAUUGUAUUAGAUGCUAUGAUCAUUUUACGAUUGCUUAUUUAUAAAAGCAUGAUGAUCCAUGCGUAUAGGUUAUAGUUUCUCCCACACAUUUAGAAGUAAAAUAAUUAUGUUCGUAAAAAACUUAUUAGAUGUCUAACCGUAAGUGACAAAAAUAAGGUUUGGCAUUUGAUUUCAAUGAGAUUUUUUAGAUUUCCUUUUAAGUCGGUUGAGGCCUCAAGAUGAUAGGUGGGUCCAACAUGUAAUAACUUUUUUAGCAUUGAAAAUAGUCAAUAUGAAUGAAUCAUAAAUUAUUAAUUUGCUUAAAAUAUACAAUGGUUUAAACCGAUCAUAUAUUGGGUAUAUAAUUUAUAAUCAUUUAAACUUCGCUUAUUUGUUUAUAAAACCCAUGAAGAACAAUUUGUGUGUGAGACAUCAAUAUGGAACAUGCAGAAAUUCUUUUACCAUAAAUGAAAGUGCAGUAAAUACCUUUUAACUGCAAUAGAAAAAAAAAGCAGGGAAGAAAAGGAGCAUGCGUGCGUACAUGCGGGAGCCCAUGGAAAGGAUUUCGGAUUUUUUUUUUGUUAGAUCAAUCCAUCUAUUAGAAACUUUGUUACCAAAUACUCCCUCCAUCUAUUUUUGAUAGUAAUAUUUCUAAAUCUGAAAAAUUUAUUUUUGAUAGGCAUAUUUCAAUUCAACAACCUAUCAUCUUAAUGACUUUCUCGGAUUUAAUGCAUGGCUCUUCAUUCUUCCACACAAGAUUGGCUACAUAGGUAUUGAGAAAUAUAAAUAUUAAUGAAUCGCUUGUUUAUGAGGAAUGACUAGUAGCAUGUUUAAAUAGAUGAUAAGUAGAAUUACUUAUCCUUGUUCUAUGUGCCAAGAUGAAAUAUGACAAUCAAAAGUAGAUGGAGGGAGUAUCUUUUAAUUACCGCAGGAAAAAAAAAGCUGGAGAAUAAAAGCGGCGUCGUAUGUCGAAUGUGUAUGUGCGGGGUCUCGGAGGGGAUUUCGGCAUUUCUUUUGUUUUGGGAAUUUUUUUAGAUCUAAUGGUAGAGAUCUAUCUGUUUUGUCCACAGAUAUAUGCACUGCAGAUGUGGGUCCUCGCCUACUUUUGUUGCGUCACGUGGCAGCUUAGGAGCAAUUAUAGGAAUCUCACGUGGCGGCUUGAGAGCGUUUGUAGGAAGCUUAUUAGACUUUUAGUAUAUAAUAGAUAGAUAGAUAGAUCGUUCACCCUACUUAUUCUUGAUAUCAACUAGUAGUGGUAACCAACUAUAUUCUGUAUUGAAAACCCACGCUCUCAUGUGCUGUUUGACUUCCAUUUAUGAACGUGGCUACAUCGUGUGUGGUAGCGCGUUAGUCCAAACGCGCGACUCCACCUCUUUCUAUAAAUAGAACUGUACUCCUUACGUGCGUGUCAAUACGAAAACAUCACACGUAGCCUCCUGUGAGUCUUUCAAAAAGGACACCACGCAUGCAUUUUAACCUUUUUAAUAACUUAUAUCUUUUAAAUCACAUAUUGUUUUUUAUCUAUUUACAUUAUUAUACUCCACUUAAAAUAUGUGACAAAACAAGAUCCAUAUUAAAUAUAUUCAAACAUUUUAUCAAUUUAAAAGUAUAUUAUUUCAUGUUAGGAAGUAACUUCCAUCUUAUACAUAAUUAAUUCUCAUUAGUUACUCUAUCAAUGUUAUUUACAAUCUAUCAAAGGUUUUAUCUUAUUUUCUCAUACUACAUAAAAAACAAAAGUGAAAGUGAAAAAGCAAUCAGUGCUUAAAACAGAUGCAUAGAAAGUUACUUCCGAACCAUGCAAAAGUUACUUCCAAUCAACAUUGAAGUUACUUUUAAAAAUUGUUAAACUUACUUGUGUUGAUCUGUGCUGAUUAAAUUUAAUUUCUAGAUAGAGUCAUAUUUUUAUCCCUAUAACAAAUUUACUUCUAAUGUUGUGACAAAGUUAUUUUAUUUUUGUUUUAAGUUACUUUUAUAAUAUAUGUAAAUUACUUUUAGACUUUAUUGAAUUUACUUUUAUAUGUCUAAGAAGUAUUUAGGGAAAUCUAAAAGUAAUAUAGAUAUAUUAUAAAAGUAAUUUGUAAUUUUUCAUGAAAAUUUAAUCAUGUGAGAUCUUGUUAUAAAUAUUUAAUUGUUACGAAUACGAUGGUGUAAUCGGAUCGUAGAUCGGAUAAGUAGUUUAAGAGAAAAUUUUAUUUGAAGUAUAGGUGGUUCUUAUUUACUUGAUGGUCUGAUAGUAUAUUUUUAGUAGAGUAAUGGCUCAGUAGGCCUCGCUGAUUAGUUAACGUGGAGCGGCGCCGGAUGGACGCCACGUCGCCACAUGUGCGGGAUGGACGGAUGCCUCAGCGUCGCACGAUAGCGCUAUCGCGAGAGGCCUCUCUAAUUAGAUUUUACGUCCAUUUAUAAUAAGUUGAAAGCGGACAAGAUCUAUAUAUACUCGCUCUUUGCAUGUGUAAAUCAUAGCAUGUCGGAUUCGCCCUAGCUAGUGGAACAGUGUACAUGUACAGCGUCAUGCAAAAGAGAUGAUAUGUAGGGGCACUUUAGCAUCGAUCUACUACGUGCUACUACUCCUACUACAACUUUGAAUCGGGUUCUUGGGCGUCUCUCUCCAGGAAAAACCACAGCUUAAAAAACGAGCAACGAAGGAAUGAAGAAGCAUAUGCAUCCGGCCUCCUGUUAAUUAACAAGUUAAUCAAAAAGGGGCGAAGAGAGUCUAAAGAAAUGAUGUGUUUAAUUAAUUAAGAACUCAUAUGUUUGAUUAAUCUCACUAGGCGAAUUGCUUUCCAUAAAGGCCAUACGGAACAACGUCCCCUGUAUUGGAUGAAAGACUUUCGCAUUUUCGCAAGGCAAUGUUAAUCUCAUAUCGAGUCUUCCUUAUUACGACGUCGACGGGAUUAAAAGAAACAACUGUCCCAUUUGGUAGGAUUCCAAACUAAAACUUCUAACUACGAACUCUAACUCCAGUGAGAGCUAGCUGCUGUUGGAGUUAGAAACUCGUUAAAAGUGUUUGACUAACUUUCAGCUCUAGAUCCGAAAGAAAAUGAAAAAAAAAAGAAACCAAGCCACCGUUGGCCCCAGCCGCGCGUCAUCUCCGCGGCGCCGCGCGCUGCUGGCCACGCGUGCCGCCCGUCAUCACCCGUUGCCAUCCAUCUUUGUCCCGGCCGUGCCGGUCGUCGUUGUCCCAGCCGCCCGCCACCCGUUAUCGUCCGUCAUCGCCCGUCGCCGCCCGUCGUCGUCCCACCGCGGCCACCCGCCGUCGUCCCGUCCCGCCACGCGCCGCACAUCGUCAUCCUGGCCGCGGCCGCCCGUCAUCGUCAUCGUCAUCGUCCCACCGCCGCCACCGUAAAUCGGGAUUGGGAGGAAGAUGGGGGAGGAGAGAGAACGGGAGGAAAGGAAGAUGGGGGUAGUUGAGUGGCAUUUUCAUAUAAAUACACUAAAAAUUUAGAGAGUAGUGGGUCUUUUGAGGUGGAGUGCAGCUGUGGAGUAGCGAAAACCCAGCUCCACUCCCGUAGUUCUUUUUCUAGGAGUAGCUCCGUCAACUCCACUUUAAAAAAUGGAGAAUCUAGACCGUUUGGCACAGCUCCGGCUCUAGAUAAGUUGGAGUUGAGAGCUAGAGCUGUAUCAAACGGGGAACAUAUAUAUGAAGUCAAACUGUCAAAGGCUAAAUUAAUGUUCUUUCUCGAAAUGGAGAAUCUAGAUAAGUUUGUGUUGAUUUGCGGAAUAAACGAACUUCCCGCAAAAUUAUUGAGUUGCCAGAAAAGAGCCAAAACCAUCCUACCUGGCGGAAUUCUGCCCAGGGUUUAACUUACCGUCGGUAACUGCGCGGUUACCGCCGCGCAGUUACCGGGCUUACCGCGGGGGUACGGUAAUAUAAAUACCGCGGUAACCUCCUUAAAUUCAAAUAAAUUUAAAAAAUAAUUUAAAUUUUUGAAAAAUUUUGCACGGUUUUAUACGGUUUUUCGCGGUUACCGUGGUUACCGCGCGGUAACCGUGCUUACCGCCGGGGCGCGGUAACCCCGGCCCCGGCGAUUUGGGAAACCCUGAUUCUGCCAUUAAGGUGGCCACGUAGUUUCGUUUAUUUGGUACCGCUUGUAACAACAAAAAAUACGAGGAUUUUAUCCAUGUAUGUGUUCUUAUCGAUGAAGAAGCAAAUACUGCGAUAUAAAAUAAGAUAAAGAAAUUACAAAAUCAAUUUUAAAUUUAAAUUUUAGCUUAUACUACCUCCGUCCCAUUAUAAGUGCAGCCAUGGUUUUCCGCGUCCAACUUUAACUGUCCGUCUUAUUUGAAAAAUUUAUAAAUAAAUUUAAAAACUAGUCACACAUAAAAUACUAUUUUAGAACAAUAAAAAUACUAAUCAUAAAAAAAAUUCAAAUAAGACGAACGGUCAAACGUUUAACGUAAACAACGCAAAACUACACUUAUUUUGGGAUGGAUGGAGUAAUAUACUGCGACUAAUAUGCUUAUAAGGGUACAACGUUAAAAAAAGUUUUUGGAAAUUGAUUGCGGUACAAGCACUGCAUUAUACUACUCCCUUCAUCCCAAAAUAAGCACAGCCAUAAGUUUCCGUUGUCCGUCUUAUUUAAAAUUAUUUUAUGAUUAGUAUUUUUUAUUGUUAUUAGAUUAUAAAAUAUGAAUAGUACUUUACGUGUGACUUAUGUUUUCUUUAGGUUUUUCAAAGAAAAAAUUAAAUAAUACGAAUGAUUAAAGUUGGACACGAAAACUCAUGGGCUCAUGGCUGCAUUUGUUUUUGAAUGGAGAGAGUAAUAAGUAAGGGCACAUUUCGAUCUGUUGUUUUAUCUUUCUUUUCUUUUUUCUUUUUUUUUUUGCAAUCUCCCUCGUGGUCGUCUGCGGACGGCCUGAACGACUUUUCCCCCGUCUACCCUCCGACCCAUCGCGCGGCGUGGCAGGCAGAUUCCAAAUUCCAACCCCAAAUCGACCCAAUCUCCGGCGCCCCGAUCACCGGGAGAUCCGGGAAAGCACCCAGAACAACCGGAGUUGCCGCCGGCGUAAAGAGGAGGAGGAGGCGGCGGCGGCGUCGGCGGCCGUGGCGAAGUCGUCGGCGUCGGCGGCGGCCGCGGCGGCUGGGGUAUCUGCGAUGAUAACCCGGUCGAAGCUGGUUGAGCAGCUGCGCGACUACCAGAUCCGAUCCCAACACAAGUAAAAAAUCCCCCCUCGCCUCACUCUCCAUUCUCUGCAAACUCAACCGUAAUUAGGACUCCCAGUUUUAUUCUGUGGCAAUUGGCAUAAUCAGAUCUCGGGCUCCCCCGGUAGGCUUUGUCUCUAAGCUAGGGUUUGGUUCGAAGUCGCACUGGGCUAAGUUAGUGUUCUUGAUUGGUAGUAAUGCGAUUUGCUCCCUAGUUGUAACCUGGUGGACGAUAUGGCUGCUUGUUUUUUUAUGCGAGCAAGCAUUGCUGUUUUAUAAAUUUGGAUUCAAUAACAUUAGUAGUACAGAAGGAAGUUUGCAGCAGUUGCUAAAUCAUCAAGUCUACUCUAGUGGAUCUUCCUUAAGACAUUGAGGUGCUCUUUCCUCUGGAUUUGGUUUGUGGUUGUGGGAGUGAAAAUAAUUUGUUAGUGAAGUUCUAGUUCUUUACCAUCCUUGUUCAAGGUACCAGGGGUAUUGAUAAUUCUAACUUGCGAAGUUGUGAGGCGCCAUUGUUUGGCAUCUCAGUUACCAAAUUUUGGUACCUUUCGAAGGACCACGUGCUAAUGUGUUUUCGCUGAGCGUGUUUCCAAGUUUCUUUACUUGGUUCUGAUGAGUGGUGGUCAGUGUUCCGCAGUGAUAAGGUUCUGAGAAUGUGCCGUGUGCUCUGCUAAAUUUGUUUGCUGUUUCUUGAAUACGAACCCCAAAAUUUGCUAGCAGACCACUUUAUCUUGUUAUAAAUGGAUUCAAGCCCCAAAAUUUGCUAGCAGACCACCUUAUCUUGUUAUAAAUGGUUUCAAGUCAGAAGCUAAUAGUUCUCUCGAUGUAUCAUGAAAUCGUGCAAAACAAAAUAUUAUCUUGUAUUCAUCCAAAAUGAUUUCCUCCAUGUGAGUCGCUCCUCGAUCAAACGCAACUGCACUACCACCUCAAUGAACUGAAAAUGGCUCUGCUUCUCUGUUCUGCAGGCGUGACAUAAUUGGAGCAGUCUCAUGGGGCUUGCUGUGUUGCUUUCUGAUAAUAUCAUCGUACAUGACGUUGUACUUCAGGCACUUCUGGCUGUCCGCUGUUAUUAUCUCACUCGGUAUUCUUCUUCCUGCUGGCCUUUACAUUUUGAGGCAGAGAAAGCUUGCUAAGAAAAGAGAGAGAAGAUUAUUGCUGCCCCUCUCCAUGUAAGAGUGUUGGUUGGUUCCCUGAUUUUCUGGUUAAUUCUAGCCAUGUAGAAUCCACAUUCUUGGCUUGCUACACACUCUUCAUUCAUGUUACUCUGCCUCAAUAUACAUCUCAUUCUUUAGUCUCUACUGAAGUGCUAGAAGAUAUAUCAUCAUUUUUUUCUGAGCUCAAUGUUGUGCGAGUAUAUAAUCUCCAAUGCUUGGUGGGUAUAGUACCAUCCGUCUCUGCUACAGUCUUUUUUUUCUUCUUCUUGGGGUUUUAUAUGCUUGCAGGGUGAGACGUGUUUGCCUUGGGCAUCACACUUUUGUAACUGAUACUGAUUGUUUUGAUACUGAAUUUGUAAGCCAUAUCCACCCUAGUUACUUGUACUCCAAUCUGUUUCUGGACUAGAAUGUGUGCAUGGAAUGAUCAGUCCCUCUUUUUCAUCCAGCUGAUAUUGUUUUGACAAUUUUGCUGAACGCCAUGCUUUCUUCUUAUUCUUGAAAUACAAGUGUAGCUGCAGUUCUUGAACAUAUUAUUGCUGCGUGAUGCUAAUCCAGGCAUCUACUGGCCUUCUUAAGAACGGCUACCUUUUGCCAGUACAGAGACUUAUUCAUGAAAACCUAAGAAAUUCAGAUUGUCAGAAGAGGCAGUUUAUUUUGGACGUGCCUACAUUGCUAUCAUGCCAUCAUGGACGUGCCGAUCAUGGAAACCUACAAAAUGGUUUUACUGUUAGUGCUGUGAAUGAAUGUAGGCACGUCCAUGAUCGGAACAUUGCAAGUCCCAUUGAGUAUUCAGCAGUAGUCUGGUUAAAUCGUUUUAUUUAUUAAAUAAAAUCAUUUUUCGUUGUCAGAAAAUCAGAAAUCUACGCUACUUAAAAUAUUAGUAGUGGUGGUGUUUAUUUUGCCACACCAACCCUACCACUGAUGUUAUGUUUGGGCCUCACAAUCUAUACUAUUACAUCACCCUCUAAUGAGUACUCUUCCAUUUCACUGUUGGCUCUUCAUAAAUUUUGCAAGAGAUAAUCCAUGAAAUACCAUUGACAAGCGUCUAAGUACUAGAAAUGCUAUCGACAAGUGUGAGUUCCAAGAAAUGCCAUCGUACAAACGAUUUUGUCCUAAAAAUGCCAUCGCCGUUAGGGUUCCGUUCAUUUCGUGCCGUUAAGUUCUAUAGGAUGAACAGUGUAUUUAACGGCACGGAAUAGAUGGAACCCUAACGGCGAUGGUAUUUUUGGGACAAAAUCAUUUGUACGAUGACAUUUCUUAGAACUCACACUUGCCGAUGGCAUUUCUGGGACUUAGACGCUUGUCAAUGGCAUUUCAUGGAUUAAUUAUAGCAAUACUACUUCUUUACCACUUAAAAUGUUAGUAGUGGUGGUGUCCGUUCUGCCACACCACCUCUACCAUUGAUGUUUGGGCCUAAAAAUCUAUACUAUUACACUAUCCUCCAACGAGUGUUCUCCCGUUUCACCACUGGCAAUCUGCAAUCUUCGAAACCACCUACUUAUUUAAUAACAGGAAUCAUAAGAGUACUACUAGCACUAAAUAUAUGUUUAAUUGAAUUAAUAAGCUAGAAACUCAAUUUGUUUUUCGUUGCAACACACAGGCUCUUGGUUAGUAUCUAGAAAUGUAGGGAGGCUAGUAUCUAGAAAUGUAGGGAAGAAACUAAGUUUACAGUGGGCUGUGAUGAAAGUGCUUUUAGGCCAUUCACAGUACAAGAUAUUACUACGAGUAACCUCAUAGUGCUAUUAGGAUAAAUACACGGGUUCUCAAAUCAUUUUUCCCCACAGUGCAAAGUAGCUCUAGACGUGUUUCAAUUUUGCAUAUCAGGCCUUGCUAUUUCCUAUUUUAGCUCAUAUUUUGUAAUUUGCAGGCAAUCCAAUAUUUUACACCAAACACCCUAAAAAUUAGAAAAAAAACAUUCACCCACCCAUCCUCCUAGUCAUCCCUGUCACGCUCUCCCCCACCGCUCGUCGCGCAACUCUUCCUCCAGCGUUGGCGCCAGUCUCCCUCUACCUUCCGUAGGGCGCCAGUCUCCCUCUACCUUCCGCCGGCACCACACCUAUCCAACUCCUUGAUGGGGCGCUGUUGUCUACCCCCUCCCCUCCCACCUCGUGCAAAUUUGGCACGUGGUUUGCCGGAUCGGGCCUCGGACAGUAGUGGUGUUAGCUCAAUGAUGGCGGCAAGGGCAGCUCGACGAUGGCGGCAGCAACAUCUCGAAGUUGACGGCGGUGGCCACUCCGUGUCACUGAGCUAACCGGAUUUGGCCUCCAGAGGAGGCGACGACAACUCGACGACGAUGGCAGCGGGAUCUCCCUUCACUCGCUUCGUCUACUUUGUUAGAUUUGGUUGAAGCUUUGACGACAUCGGCAAAGGAAGUUCAAGAAGGGACCUUCCUAUUGAAAAAAUCUGAUAAUUUUUGACAUGGUUCGCAUGUCCAAGUGAAGGCUCGCGCUCCUCACUAGGGCACAACCCAUGCCAACGUGGCUUAGAAUCUCCAAGGUGGCGAGAUAAGGCCAAACGCCACCUCACCGCACUGUGACCGCUUCAUAUUCCCUUAUAUGCUUGGACUUUUUUUAAUUAUUAAAUCACCAGAUUGAAUCAUUAUUUACUUUAAAUUAUGAUAGUAAACAAAAUUAAACCGAUGGAAGGAAAUGAGUCGACUAGCCAGGAAAAAACAUGUCUACAUCAUAAUUCUUAUCUCCAUUUCUACUGAUUGCAUUGUCACCAUGGCAAAUACACACCCUCUUUAAUUUGUUCCAAGAUAUAGCAAACUAGUACAAGAUGUGAUACAUGCUAAUACUACGAAUCAUGAUAAGAGCUUUAUAUUGCUAACUUGCUAUAUUUUAGAAUGGAUGGAGUAACCAUUUCUUGUCUCUCAUCGCAUCAGUGCCAAAUCCUUAUGGCAUUGUGUAAAACAAUGAAUUGGUCUUGCGAAAUCAUCGUUUCCAGAACAUAUUAUAAGCAAAACAAGAUAUACAUUACCUAGAAAAAGAAAUAAUAAUUUAUAUAUAUAAACAAAACAUGUCGCUCCUAAAAAUUACCCAUUAGGAAGGGGGAAAACAAGAUUUAUCGUCGCAAAUCAGAUUAUACUCCUAAAAUGCUGAUAGUAUUAAAAGAAAUAAACGGAACUAAAUUAAGAUAGCUUACAAGAAACAUAAAGAAGAAACGGAACUAGAUUAAGACAGCUUGAACGGUUAUUUGAUAGUAGCAAACAAUUUUUAUAUUAAAAAAAGAGAACGGCUUGAUCAGAACUCCAAAGUGAGCAGGCAUUUUUGUUUCGCAGCUCAAUCAUCUUGCAAACACAAAUGCUAUCUUCGCCAGAUCACCAUGGAUCCAUCAUCCAUUUGACAUAUUAUCCUGUAUAUAUAUUGCAGCAGAGCGAUCAAUGUGUCUUCCAGAAUAAUUUGUUCUUCUCAAGCACCAUCACAUCCAGCACGGUGUAUAUGGAAGAGACACACCGGUGAAACUUUUGUUGGAUAAAAUUUCCUCGCAGCUGCUGACCAGAGGUAACUUGCCCAAGAUCUCCAUCUUUGAGGUCUUCAAAUGGUAGGCUAGUCCAGUCUGCAUCGCUUCACAUAAGAAAACAAUCUCCUUGUACGGAUGGAAUCCGAGAACAUCGAUGUUCCCAUGGUAUCCAUGAUAGAACAUUGGGAUCGGCGGUUGUGGAAAAUUACCAAAUCCGAGGGCAUUAUUAUCAACGUUUCCAUGGUAUCCCUGGAAGAUCGUUGCUGGGAGCCUGUACUCAGGAACAUUACCGCGAUGAUCGCUGUCAUCGUCGCCGUCGGAGCUCCAUUCGAAAUCGAUCUCUUCGUCAUGUUCCUUGCGAAAUGUAGUACUGUCCUUCUUAUCAAGAUCUUGCAAGAGCAUCCAUCGGCGGCGAGUUUGCCGGGGAAACACGGAAUCGAGGUUGUUUUCGUGCUUCGGCACCCACUCCAUUUCGUCGCACGAUUCGUUGAGAACCCAAACCUGAAGCGAGCGUGGCUUUGUGAUCAAUGCAAGGUACACGCCCUUCUCUGACCUCCCUAGACAGAAAUGCGAGUGGCCAUUCGACCUAACCGUUGGCAUUUUAAUCACUUGGUACUUAUCAUCUGACAAGGAAAACCUGCAGAAUCAAAUAAUCGAAAGAAAAUAUGAUAUCAACAAAUCACCCAUAACUUGAGUAAUAACAUUUUUGUUUCACUAAUAUAAUAGAGGAUGUAAUAUACUGCUCUCUCCAUCCCAAAAUAUAACAACUUUUAGCCAUCACGAUUUAUCUCAAAAUUUAACAAUUUCUCCACCAACAUUCUCUUUCUAACCAAUCACAACCCUUCACCAUUCACUUCUACUUACUUUAUUAAUAAUCGUGUCUAACUCUAAAACUUCUUAUAUUCUGGGAUGAAGAGAGUACCUUAUUUUUCAAAAUGUAUAAGGCUGUUAACUUUUUAUACCGCGUUUGACCAUUUGACUUAUUCAAAAAUUUAGUAUAAAUAUCUAAAAGUAUAAGUUAAGAUUACUUUUUCUUAAUGAAAAAGCAGGUCAUAACAAAAUAAACAAUACUCCCUCCAUAUACUUUUGAUAGACAUAUUUCAUCUUGACACACAGACCAAGAAUAAGUAAUUAUAUUUAUCAUCCAUUUAAACAUGUUACUAGUAAUUCCUUGUAAAUAAGCGAUUCAUUAAUAUUUACAUUUCUCAAUGCCCAUGUAGCCAAUCAUGUGUGGAAGAAUGGGGAGUCACGCAUUAAAUUUGAGAAAAUCAUUAAGAUGAUAGGUUGUUGGAUUGAAAUAUGCCUAUCAAAAAUAAACUUUUCAUAUUUGGAAAUAUGACCAUCAAAAGUAGAUGGAGAGAGUAUUUAUCUAUAUAUAUCUUUUAAUAAAACGAAUGAUGAAGCAUUAUGCGAAAAGUCAAUAAAUUUUAAAACGAAGGGAGAUCAUGUAAUAAAUGGUUUACCUCAUGAUAAAAUAUGUUUUGUAAUGCACGUAGAGUGCUCCUUGCCAGUAGACGGCUUUGCACUUGUGACCUGAAAAAUCCAUCCGCAUGUCGGCGAUCGUCGUCCUCGCGGCUUCCCCUUGCCGAUGGAAGGUCCUCUCCUCCCACCGCCCGGUGCUCGACGAGUACACGUCUAGGGUUUGCAGCGAUGGCGGCCACUCGGAGAACUCGUCCAGGAGGACGCGUUCCUCGCCCGACGACGACGACGUGCCAGAGCCCGGCGGCGGGAGGCAGCAGCUGCACGCGCUGCAUCUGCGGCGGAAGCAGGUGACGGAGAGGACCUCGUAGCGGGAGGAGGCGGCGGGGUCGUAGGCGAGGAAGUCGGCGGGGAAGGUGCUGGCGCCCAUCCGCGGCGGGCGGCGCGGGGGCAGCGGGGGCGAGCACCACCGCGUGGCCGGGUUGACGACGACGAUGGCCGGGCGGUGGGUGUCGGGGUCGGGGUCGCCGCCGAGGAGGAGGAGGCCGUUGCAGUGGUCGUGGAUCUCGUGGCGGCCGGGUGGUGGUACGGGUAUAUCGCCGCCGGCGGUGACGGCGGGCAGGAAGUGGAGGCUGCCGGAGAUGGAGGAGGGGCGGCGGGCGAAGAACCUCGGGACGUGGCGGGAGGCGGAGGCGGUGGACUGGUGGCCGAUGUAGAUCCCGGCGAGCGAGCGCGGGAGGAGGCCCCCGCACAGCUGGCGGCGGCGGGCGUCGAUGGCGGCGCGCCACGCCUUGGAGACGCCGCGGGACGCCGCGAGCGAGCGCGGGUCGAGGCGGACGAAUACCUCCGCGAGCACGUCUUCGGGGAGCGCCGCCACCGCCGCCGCCGCCAUCGCCUCCGCACUCGUCGAUCGAUCUCGAUCGGUGGAGUCGAUUUUGAUGGGACGCCGUAUUUAUUGCCGAAGGGUUCGACGGGAUCGAGGCGUGGCGAUCUUGAUCGACUCAUCGGUGCCGUCGGUUUAGGAAAAGGGUAGUAGGGUGCUUAGGAAAAGGGGAAAAAAAGGCUCGGUGGGGAGGAAUUUUUAUUAUUUUUUAACUUUAUAUAAUUGUUAAUUUGAAAAAUAGACCAUCUUCAAAUUUAUUUCUAAAUCUGAACUUCUUUAUCACGUCAUCCCGCCUAAAGUAAUUGGCGUGGCAAGACAACGCUGACCCGCCAUAUCGCGAAAUAACGUUGCCAUGACAAAGUGGCGUGGUAAAAUAAUACUGGUAUGAUAAUAGUUAGUGUGGCGUGACAACGUUAUUUUGCUAUGUCAAUUUUUCUAGCAUGGCUAAAAGGUUUAGAUUUAAAAAAUAAGUCUCGGUAUGAUUUAUUUUUAAAAUUAAAAAUUAAAAAGAAAUUCUUUUUUAAAAAAAUCGAUGGGCGCUGUCUUCGGAUGCUUGGGUGCAGUCCAAUAAUCUGAAGAAAAAUAAUCUUGUAUUUUUAGAUUCUCAUUAGUUGUUUCUUGGAAUUUUAAGUUUAAUUUCCAAACAAGACAUUAAUCUAGUAGGAAAGGAUUAUUGAUUACCCAAUAAUAAAAUUUCUUUGGCAUUGCACAUGAAGUGCUCCUCACCAGUACACACCAUAUUGGAAUAUUGGAUGAUCGAACCAAAAUUAUCCGGCCUUAGGCUGGAGAUUGUUUCCUGCAGCCUCUCCUUCUCGGAGGAAAGAUCUCCCACUUCCAAGUUCUUGAUGAGAAACGUGUAGGACGAGCUGCGACGGUGGCCAUACAGAAUCAUCCGGAUCGAUCUCCGUUACGUUUGGCUGUCUGUUUCAUGAACCGAUUGUUUGGUUCUCUCUUGGGCAUAUGAACCGGGGAUUAAUAUGAACACCUCGAAGUGGUGGGACACGGCAUGAUCGAAUAGGGAUACCAGCGGACUAACCCGCAAACCCGUUUAUAGAUAAAAUUAGUGAGCAACCCGCGGGUUGACUCGCAGGUUACCUACUAAUGGGUUUAUCGGUUGACUCACUUGCAUUUUUACGACGCGGCAAGCCGAGCCAUAACAUGAAAAUCCACGGGUUAUUUUUUAUUUAACAUAUAAGUAGGUCCGUGGAUCGGUCCGUGUUCAUCCCUAGGGUCAAACACGGCGUACUUGUGUUCGAUGUCUUCUUUCGCGGCCGCUGCCCACCGGCGUGGUCGGUGUGUAGUAAGAGGAGGCCGUCGCAAUGGUCUUGGACGGACCAGUACCACUACCAGACGUCUUGUGUUGGGAGGGCAAGUAGUCGAGCUUGCCGUUGAUCAGUUGUAGCGCCCGUUCCGUCGUGGCGCCUAGCGGGAAAACUAUCUCUUAAAAACCCUAAUUGCGAAAUAUGUUUCCUUGCUUGUUGUCUAGUGUCCGUGCCAUCUCAGAUCUCAAAUCCCUCCGCAAAAGUCUAUCUUGCCUCCCUCGGGUUCGAUGGGCCAAAUUCCUCUCGGCCUAUCUCUCCCUCCCUCCCCAUCUCUCUCUCUUUCUCCCUCUCCCCCGCUCUGCCCGUGCGCUGCACACGCGUGCGCGUGAGCCACGCCGAGCUGAGCGCCCUCCGCCUUCGCCGCCGCUUCCCGCCGAUGCCGCCCAAAUCGCCGCGCCGCCCGCGCGCGCGCGCCGUGGUGGCCGACCGGCCAGUCGCCGCCGCCGUCAGCGCCUGCUGCGCCUGCCCCGCGUCUGCCGCCCGUGUCGCCGCUCCGUUCCAAACCGCCCCGCCGUCAUCGCCGUCGUCAUCGACUCGGCCCCGCCUCUCCCCGCGCGUGCCUCCAAGGGACGGAGGCAGAGCUUGCCCCCCCCUCUACCGCAUCUCCCUCUCCCUCCUCCUUUUCCCCAAAGUGGCAAGGAGGCAAGCCCCCUUUCUCUCCCCCCUUUUUCCCUUUUCCCUCCCGCCGGCGUCAUCCCCCCUGUCGCCGCUUUGGCCGCGACCGCCGAGCGCUAGCCCUCUCCCUUGACCGCCCAAGGUCGGUUUCCAAAUCGACAUUGCCGCCCUUUAAACCCAGGCGCCCUCCCUUCCUCUUUCCCCUCCCAAUCUUCCCCGUUUCUCGCCCGCGCCAUUGCCGUCCCUCUCGCCGACCGCCGCCGUCACGUGUGCCGAAGGAGUCGGUGCGCGUUAGGACGCGGAAGGGGACUCCGGACGCACCCUCUCCUUCCUCUUCCCCGGCCUGAGGCCGGAGAGAUCACUCCCGCGCCGUCGGCCCCUCGUCACUGCGCCCCGUCCCGCAUGGUAGUGCAUCCCUCCGUUCUCCCUCCUCGCUCCAUCUCUUCUCCUUAGCUUUGAGUAGCCGCUCGAGUAGUACCCUAGUAGCUAGCUGGCGCCGCCCCGACUGCUGCCGUCGCUCGCCGUGUGCUCGCCGCCGUCGCCGCCCGAGCUCGGAAGCGUCUCUCGUCGCCGGCCUCCCUCGAUGCGUUUCCUCCUAAUCCGGCGCAAGGGGUGGGUUCCCGUAGCCGCGUAGAUGCUCUCGCCACCGGGAAUCGGCCCCUCGUGACCUCAUCGCCAUUUCCCCCUUCUCCCGUCGCCGGUUGCCGCCAUCGCAAUCCGCCGCCGUCGAGCAUCCCCCGGCGAAUCCGAGCCGUUGGCUCGUCUCCCCUCGUCCUUUGCAAUAUCCCGGUGUGCUCGCCUUCACCUAUAUCGCCAUGGUUCGCUCCGCCGCUCGCCGCUGUCGUCCGCCGUCCGUUCCGGCCGGCGUCGUCGUCUACCUCCCGCCGGCCCACGUGGCAGCCACGUAGGCGCCACGUCGGCGCCACCUCGGCCGCGACCGGGUCAAGCAGACCCCGGUCCGCCGCUUCCCUCCGCCCCCUCGCGCGCGCGGUCCACCGCGAGCCGUGAGGCUGCGCGUGGGCCCGCCACACCGCGUCCUCCGCGAACCGCGCGCAUGCGCCGCGCCUCCCUCCCCAAACCUUAGCACGCCCCGCGUGCACCUCGCUCACGGUGAGCCGAGUCGCCGACAAGCGGGACCCACCCGGGACCACGCGGGAUAGACCCGGCCCACCGGCUCACUCUCUCUCCCCUCCCAGCCCGCGCGCACGCCUUGGGCCGCCUUCUUGGGCCGGCCGGCCCAUUAAGCUCGGCCGAGCCGCCCCUUUCGCUCGGGCCGCGCCCUAGCCGCCUGAGGGAAGUCUAAUUUCCCUCCCUCCUUCUUUUCUUUUCUUUUUCUUUUUCAAAAAGGAUUUAAAUAAAUCCUUUUUCCUUUAGACCAAAAAUCCAAUAAUCUUAGAAAUUCAAUAUCUUCCCAACCGUAAGUCUGUUUGACUCCGUUCAACUUCCAAAAUUCCUCAAAUCUUGAGAUCUAUCUAAUGGCACGCUUAGAGGUCAAUAAUAGGGCUUUAUUUUCGCCGUUUGUGAGUUGUUCCGUUUCGCGUGUAGUUUCGGAGCCCGAAGACCCACAGUGCGAAGAUUUCGAGGAUCAAGCUCAAGAUCUCGAGCGAGGCAAGCCACCCUUGAACAUCCUGAGCCUAAAUUUGAACUUAAUUAUGUUGCUUGAAAAAUAUUAUGCAUUGAUAGGAUCGCCCUUAAUCUGUUUGCCCCGUCUGCAAGGCAGACCGAUGGGCCUACCUAGCUUAUUGCAUCUGAUCCUUCCUUUGUUAAUUGUUAUACCAUGUUCCCUUGUAACCACCUAGUUGCGCCUCGGUAAUCGUGCACUCUGCACGAGUAUUGACGGUCGCCUCAAACUUAAAAUCUGAGAAACAUCUUGGGUAAAACUUGGGUUUUACAGAAGACUUAGAAAACCCGACACCUGGGUCGGUGCUUGCGAACUAAAUGAAUUUCCAAAAUCGCGGACCGGGGAACGUACCAGGUGUACGGUUUUCCGCUCUUGCACUUAAGGACCGUUUCCUUGGAAUUUCAUCCGAACAUAAGACAAGUGCGACCACAUGGGUGGAAUGGGACACCCCUGGCUGAGUAACUAGCUAAACGGGGGAGCCAUGAUGCCAAGAGACAUGUGGAUUCAAUGGGGUGGUGUCGGGGAGAACCCCCGGGUUUCCUGGCACAGUAUGGUCUGGGACCUAACCUGUUGUUGGUCUGGGACCCCUCUCGUUGGCAUAUGGUGAACCUGUGUCGGCUUUCGAAAUGCCUUGUCAUGAAAGCCUUAAGGUCUCUAGUCGUGGCCGUUCUGCACGGGCUGGAUGAUCCGGGUUAGUAAUGCCGUGUGGGUAAAGUGUACCCCCUCUGCAGAGGUUAUUAAACUGUUCGAACAGCCGUGCCCACGGUCAUGGGCGGAUGUGAGGUGAUUCCUAGCGUAGUUUUGUUUGACUACUGCUUUGUGAAAUUUGCUGAUGUGGUUUGGGUUUGAUGUUUUGAAAAUCUGCGGCUGAUGAGAUCAGCCAGGCCCGGGUGGUUUGAGAAGCACUCACUUAGUUGUUUCAGAAAAGAGUUUAAAUAAAAUCAAUUGCAAAAACAACAGCCUUUCCUUGAAGCCUGCAUUAAACACUUAUUUCCCAUGGCUUGCUGAGUACUCCCGUACUCACCCUUGCUCUAUAUAAAUAAUCCCCCCCAGUUGCUGAGGAAGAUGAAGCGGAUCCCGCUGACGAGGAGUUCUUCCAGGAGCAAGCCGGCUACGAUGAGUUUUAGGGUUUCGGCCUAGUUCCCAAGUCGCGCCUGUGAUGUGUGGUCCAAGUCUUGGCUUUCGCUUCCCUUUUAUAAUGCAGUUGUGAGCUCGGGAUCUGUCCGUAACCCAACAUGACUAUACUCCUACUCUAUAAUAAAAAGACCUCUGUUGCUGUGAUAUUCUGUCUUCCUGUGAUACCAGCACUGUUUCCUGGGACUGGUAUCGAUUAACAGGUUAAUUUGGAGCGUCACGGGCUAGUCCCGCUCGGGGCUAGUUCGAGGCGUGACAUCAGUGGAGGAGGGCGGGAGAAGAUCUCCGGUUGUCUGUGGCAGUAGAAGUUGAUGAAGAUGCCAGCGAGCGAGAGAGUGGGAGGAGGUCCGCGCGAAGCAGGUGGCGUACAGGCCAAGCCUUGCGGACGCGGCGGGAUACCGCGAGCCAGCACGUCGUCGGGGAGCGCUGCCGUCAUGUCGUCGUCCGAUUCCGACGGCUCUAUCACCUCCUUCGGGUUGCUUUGCUUUGUUUGCUGCUCGCUCGCGCUCGCCGCCGCGGAGAUCGAAGUGAAAAUUCGGGUAAAUCACCUCCUUCUAGCAAUCAAGGAGGGUUGUCUGUUGGCCUUCCGAUGGACUCUCCUUCCUUUUUCCUUGGAGAUAGACUGCCUGGAGGCGUUGAACAUGAAUUCAGGCUAAGGAGAGAAAUCUAUCGGAACUAGCCUUCCUAGUCAGGGAGGUGCGUGACCUCCUGUCCGGAAACAGGGAAUUUCUGCUCAGGAAGACUAACCGAGACCAAAAUCUUGCUGCUCAUGUCUUAGCAAAUAAAGCUAGGUGCGAAGUCAUAUCAAAAGUUUGGGUUGGUUCUGAGUGUGAUGCUUUAUCACAAAUUGUAAUGAAUGAUUAUAUUCCUGAGUAAUUGAUUCCCUUUCCCCGCAAAAAAGAAAGGGUAAAUCCCCGCUUGAAUUUGAAUCGGAGGCGGAGAUGGAGCCUGACCCGCAACAGGCCAAGAUCCGUCAGGGCCCAUCUAUCAAAGCCAGGUGGCGGCCCAGCCUCCUCCAAGCACUUUGCGGUGUUGGGCUGGGCUGGACUGGGCGUGGAUUGGGCUUCUAGCCCAACACCCGGGUGGGGUGGACGUGGACCCCACGUGUCAGGCCACUACCUCUCUCCUCCGUCUUCCUUCCCCUCGCGUCUCCCUUCUCCUCCUCCCGCAUCCCCCCUCUCGCCGCCGCGUUCUCGUCGUCGCCGGUGGCCGCCGCCUCGCUGCUCCCCCGCCCCCCUCCCCCGCCCGCCCGCGGCGCUGGACCUGUUCCGACUACUAGAGAGGGCCAUCGCGUCCUCCUCGAUCCUCCACUGCCCCUAGUUUUGGCCGCUCGGUCCUCCGGUCCUCCCAGAGUCGUCUCCGGUGGUCCCCCGAGUUCAAGUGGCAGCGGCGGCGGCGGCGGCGGCCGUAUAGACUUCGUCCACGAGCACUUCGCAAGGUGAUUGGAUCGAACUCGCGCAGGUUUUUUGGUUUGCUUCUCUUUGAGAAAUUGCUGCUCCACAUCGUCGGCUACAUCGUUGGGUUACUUGGGUACAUCCGGGAACCCACGAAGUCGAUCUGUGCCGCCACCGACCGGAGCAGCCUCGAUCUGUGCCGUCCGCCGCCGCCGUGACUUGGCCAGGCUCGAUCUGCGCUGCUGCCGCCACCGUUGGUUGUUGGGGAUUGAUCUGCUCCGAACAAGCUAUUAGUACUGAUAGCUUAACAUAAGCUUAUGAUUUACUUUCGUGGUGAUUUAAAUCGAAUAGUUGAUGGGCUGGCCAGUGUCCUAUGAGGAUUUGAGGAUGACCUUAUGUCUUUCAUGACUAGCCAUGAUAUAUGAUUAUCAUAUAUAUAAUUUCAUGACUAGAUUUGAGGUCCUUAUCUUGAAAGGCAAAUUUAAUCAUGUGAAGUUCUUGCUGUUUGCAGGUGGGAGAGUUCUCUUCGUACUUGUAAACAUGUUGGAGAAGAUCGGAUUGCCGCCAAAGCCAUCUAUGCGAGGGGCUAGCUGGGUGGUGGACGCAACCCACUGCCAGGGUUGCUCUGUUCAAUUCUCCUUGUUCACUAGGAAGGUAUUCGAUUAUCUUCUUUUUUUCGCCUUGCAAUGAAGAUUUGAAAGCGAAACACAUCAUACUCCUCUACCGUAACCUUGUAGACGAGGAUAUGGUUCUGCUCAAAAUUUGCUGAUGGUGCUGCACUUGUUCCAAUGUCAUAUCAUGACCUCAAUUGCACUUCAUGGAUAUAUUAUCCUUUUCUGGAUCACUCUUUUUCCUUAAUUCCCUUUACCUGAAAAAAUACUAGGUACAAUGGCACAAAACUAUGUUAACUAUAACCAUAUGUUGGUUGUUACUAGCUUUGAUGUUUUCUGUCUUGCCACAUAAAUUUUGUUGUCCUAGUUGGAUGAAGACCUUAUAUUCUGUAAUCCUAUUGGCCGUACUGGUUAACUUUUGUGGACCUGGACUUUGCCAUCAUAUAUCUGAAUGUAUUCUUAUGUUAUUCUUAAUCUUCCAUUGGUACACACAUCCAGUUUCUUGUACUCUUAUGUUUGCAGCAGGAUCUGCUUAAUUUUUUUUCUUUUAAUAUUUAGCAUCAUUGCCAAAGAUGUGGAGGUUUGUUCUGCAGCAACUGUACCCAGCAGAGGAUGGUUUUACGUGGACAGGGUGAUUCACCUGUUCGAAUUUGUGAUCCUUGCAAAAAGCUUGAAGAAGCAGCACGUUACGAGCUGAGAUAUGGACACAAAAACAGAGCUUCAAAAGGUGAAUAUCUUUUGCCUUUUUUUUUGUAAGUUAUAUCUUCUGAUGAAAGAAAUUAUGAUUUGGUUGAUGAAUUGACACUUCUAAUCUGCUUGCUAUAUAAAUGAAUGCGUUUUUAAACAAAUAAUCAAUUUAAAGUAUUUGAUUUCUGGUUAAAUAAAAUGUGAUUGUCAGCAUGGAAAUGGGACACAACUGCCUUUGAAUUUGCAUUGUUUCCAUUUCAGAGCACAGUCAAGAGCUUGUGUGCAAACUUUACUUUAGCUGCAGGAAUGAACUUUGCAACAUCCCUUUUCCCCCUUUGUGAAUUUUGGCCAUGCUUUAUGUCAAGAUCAGAAAAGACAAUAGACAUUAUGUAUAAUGGUGCUUCCUGCUUCUUACUGAUAAAGAAUUAAGCACUUUUACAAGAUGUGUUCAAUCAAAUGGGAUCUAUCUUAUCCUUAGCUACAACUUAAAAUUUCAAGUGCUGGAGUUUCUAACUAGUUUUGGUCCUUGUUCUGAAAAGUGUUAUUUACUGUAGAUUAUAGUUUAUACAUAUUUGAAUUUUUAACAUAUCCAUGCAGCGAUUUGUUUAUUAUUUCGAAUAUUUCAAAUGUAAAAUUUCAAUGCCAAGAUCCGUAGAAGCAAACAUCUAUAGCAGAAAAAAAAAACUCCCAGUUGUGCAUAUGUAAUACUAAUCUAUGACUAAUAAUGCAUAAUUGAAUGCCAAAGUACUUGCUGGUCUCACCAAGCUGUGAACACAAUAGAAUGGCUUAUUUAUUUGUUCAUGGGAGUUUUUUAUAUUCUUUGUACAUUGUUUUGCAGCUAAUGCUAAAGCAGCUUCUAACCCAGAGGAUGAUGUUCUUAGUGAAAUUCUUGGAGGGGAUGGAAUGCAGACCAAGUUUUCUCGCAGGGAGUCCCUGGAUCCUGAGCUUCCUGGCGCCUCUAGUUCUAGUUCCAGUUCCAGAAGAACUUCUGGUGCUUUCAGUAUGGAUGGUAAUGGAGGUGAGAGCCUCUCUAUUGAAGCACAAAAUUAUGAACUCAACAAUACUGGAUCAAUUUUUACCCCAGAGGAAUUGCGCCAGCAAGCAGUAGAAGAGAAAAAAAAGUACAAAACUCUGAAGUCUGAAGGUAAACCUGAGGAAGCACUUCGGGCUUUCAAGCAUGGUAAAGAGCUUGAGAGGCAAGCCGCCGCACUGGGGUUAGAAUUGAGAAAGAACAGGAGAAUGGCUACAAAAGCUCCCAGUGUAAGUGCUGUGGUUAGUACCAAGAAUCUGGAGGGUUCUGAUGAGGCUGAAUCGAAAAAGUCUUUGCCUGGGAAAAGGGUUAGGAAAGAAAAGAAUGAUCUUGCCUCUGAACUUAAAGAUUUAGGCUGGUCAGAUGCAGAUCUUCAUGAUGAAACAAGAACAACUGCUAUGAGUGUGGAAGGAGAGUUGUCACAGAUUCUUAGAGAGGUAACACCAAAAUCAUCAGAGGGCAACAAAACCAGUAGUAUAGACAAGUCUCAGGUUAAUGCUCUGAAAAGACAGGCCCUGUUGCUGAAAAGAGAAGGUAAACUUGCUGAAGCAAAGGAAGAGCUGAAGAAGGCUAAAAUUUUGGAAAGACAACUAGAAGAGCAGGAGAUUCUGGGUGAAGCAGACGAGUCUGAUGAUGAUUUGGCUGCACUUAUUCGUAACAUGGACGAUGGCAAUCAGGAUGACAUUCUUUUGGACAAUCCAAGAUUCCCUGAUUUUAAUUUUGAAAAACUACUGGGCACCUCUGAUGAUCUUCUCAUCGAUGGCAACUUUGAUAUUACAGAUGAUGACAUGAAUGACCCAGAUAUGACUGCUGCACUAAAAUCAUUUGGCUGGAGUGAAGAGGACGAGAUACAAAUGGAAGGUCAUGGUCCUGUUUCUUCUUUGAAUCAAGAGGCAUUAAAGGAGCAAGUGCUUGCUCUUAAAAGAGAGGCUAUUGCACAGAAGAAGGCUGGUAAUGUUGCAGAGGCCAUGUCAUUGCUUAGGAAGGCAAAGCUCCUCGAGAAGGAUUUGGAAACUGAACAAUCAGAAUCAAAAGUUCCUUCCCCACAAGGACACAGGAGCACACGCACUGAAGAUAUCACAGUCGCAGAGAUGAAUACCCGGCCUGUGUCAGCACCAAAAUCUAAGCUUGCAAUUCAGAGAGAACUGCUGGCCUUGAAAAAGAAGGCACUAGCGUUGAGAAGGGAAGGAAAGGUGGAUGAGGCUGAGGAAGAGUUAAAGAAAGGCAGUGUUCUUGAGAAGCAACUUGAAGACCUUGAAAAUUCUUCUGCGAGACCUGUGGUCAAGGAAAAUAGGAACUUUGGGUCAACUCCCCCAUAUAAGGUUGAACCUCCAACUCUGGAUCUUGCUGAUGAAGGGUAUGAACCUGAGGUAACUGACAAUGACAUGCAGGAUCCAGCAUUGUUAUCUGUGCUGAAAAAUAUGGGAUGGGAAGAUGAGGAUGCUGACACUGCGAGCAUAAUUAAUAUGCCAUCAAAUAGUUCACGUAUAGUUUCUCAAAAACCAACAAAGAGCAAGGGUCAGAUUCAGAAGGAAUUACUUGCUAUAAAAAGGAAAGCUCUUGCAUUCAGACGGGAAGGAAAGAACACAGAAGCUGAGGAGGAACUUGAGAAGGCAAAGGUCUUGGAGCAGCAACUGUCAGAGAUGGAAGAGUCAGUUAACUUGACUGCUAGUCAACAAAGUGCAAGGUCUGCUGGACAAAUUAGGGGAAAUAAGUCUGGUGCUCUACUUGAUCCUGCCUCCAGUCCUGAUACUAGUGCACACCUGCCUAAACUAAGAAAUGCAACGGAGGGAGUUAUUUCGUUGCCAGUGCAUGCUGCUGAACUUGCUGCAUCUCUGGAUGCUCAAGCUAGUUCCCAAAGCAUACCACCGACCGAACUAAUCAUUCCUAAACCAGAUCAUGCAUCAAAAGUUCAUUCUGAAGGAACACGUUCAACCUUGUCCCGGCCAUCCUUUACUGAUCCGCUGGUAACAGCAGAAAGAUUGCAUUCACCUUCUGAUGUACAUGAUCAUAAAGAACCUCAGAUUCCGCACGGACAUGACACUCUCAAAGAUGAAAUCUUACAUCAUAAGAGAAAAGCAGUUGCUUUUAAGAGGGAAGGUAAAAUGGCAGAAGCUAGAGAAGAAUUGAAACAGGCAAAACUCUUAGAAAAACGUCUUGAAGUCUCUCAAGAGAACAGUGCAAAUGGUAGGGAUGAAUCAAUGAAACCCGUUGUGCAAGAGACCAACUUGAUCCAACAAUCUGCCAGUGCCAAGAGCUGUACCGAUGACAUUUCCUCUGCCCCUCCAGCACAAGAAAUAAAGCCAGUUCAGCCUCCGAAAGCAUUGUCUAGUCGAGACCGUCUCAAAAUCCAACGUGAAUCCCUUGCUCACAAACGCAAUGCGCUCAAGUUGCGGAGAGAAGGAAAGACCGCAGAAGCAGAUGCGGAAUUCGAGUUGGCUAAGUCACUGGAGAGCCAACUGGAAGAAUCAGAAAGCCAGGUUUCUGGAGGCAAGUCGUCUGACGCAAACGAUGCAGCUGUGGAGGAUCUUCUUGAUCCGCAGAUCAUGUCUGCCUUAAAAUCGAUUGGUUGGAGUGAUGCUGAUCUGUCCGCGCAAUCUUCUAACGCACAGCCUUCAAAGAAAGCUGAGGCAAAGCCAACUGUGGCAGCUACAACCAAGCCUCAGAGUGAGAAGACCCAGCUUGAGGAACAUAUUAAGGCUGAGAAACUGAAGGCUCUAAACUUGAAGCGUGAAGGGAAACAGACAGAGGCUCUGGAGGCCCUCCGAUCAGCAAAGCGGCUGGAGAAGAAGUUGGCAUCACUUGCCUAAUAAGUUGUCCAAAAGCUCGUCUUCAUAAUCGUUUGAUAACUUCUGAAGACUGAUGUUUCAGUUAGAAAAAAGCACAAUCGGCAGAGGAGGAGGGGGGGGGGGGGGUUGGGUUGGAAGCAGAUAGGCUCAAGACUUGUGAGCCGUGAGGACGCUCUUCAAGGUCAUUUUCUGUAUAUACAAAUAAAUGCUGAUGACCAAUGAUUCUUUUCACGGAUAGGAGUGCAGAGUGCAGUGAUACGUGCAUUCAUUCAUUGUAAGAAAUAUUGUAUCUUCUGAACAUUAUUUAGUUCACCUGACAGUGGAUUUCAUUUGCAUUCGGUAUCUUGAAUUCUUCAUGUCCCAUACUUCAACCUGCCGAUUCUGUCUGAGAUCAACGCAUGCUCAGGAGGAUAGUACUAUAGUUUUGAGUAAUUUGUCUGUAAGUUACUGUAUUUGUUUGUACUAUUAAUGGAGCAUCGCAUUUCUGUGGCGACGUGACAGGAUCACAGGAUAAUUAACAAAGCUGUCAGAGGUUCUAUUUCGAGGCAUUUUGCAAUCUGAUUAUUUCUCGCUUGUUCAUAUUGUCCUUUUUCCAGUUAAAGGUCUACUUAUUGUUGAUUGUGAUGAUCGCGGGAUGGCUCUUGGGCUCUUGGCGAGUAGUAUUUUACUCGCUUUGGGUCGAUAAGCUUUUUACAAUGUUAAGCAUUUUAUUAUGUAAUAAAAAGUUCCUUCGCCAUAUGUGUCUCAUUUCCAUAUUGAUGUUAACUUAGGGGUUUACUGGUAAUAAAAAAACGUUACCAUCUUCGCCAUAUUCUAUAGCACAAUACAUCAAUAUGGAAAUGACACACAUAUGAACCUUCUUUUAUAUAAGAAUUUUGCCGCAGAUGGUUAGAUAUAUAAACUCGUCCAAGUUGUCUCUCUUAGGCAUUUAAAUGGUGAACAUUAGAAGUUUUUAGGUUACCAAAAACUGAAAAGUAUAAGUAACCUCAUUUGUCCUCCCUUUUAUCUAUGAAAGAAGAGAAGUUUACGUAGCUACAGAAUGAGGAGAAUAAUAAGAGUGGUAAAUGGAGGAAAAAGAUGGUCGAAAGAAGCAGGGGAGGAGCUAGAAUGAAAUGUAGAGGGUGCCACUUGCUUAAUUUACUCUGCUUCACAUCGAGUUUAAGCUAACAUGAGUGUCUAAGUUUGUAUUGAGAAUGUACACACAUGAUGAAAAUAGGUAAGAUACAGCUAAAAAGUUUUCUUCACCGGGUUCCUGGGUGCCCCUGAGAUACUCUACCUUCGCCCCUGGAAAGAAGGUAAAAAGAAAAUGUCGAAAAUCACAAGAUUUCAGUCACCUAAAUACUGUACCCACUUGCUUUAUUCUUCUUGAUCCCUUGGCUCUAUGUUUGCCUAGCUGCCUACUGCUCGUCUCACUCGCUGCCGGAUGAAUUCGUUUCUUGUGCAGAGAUAUCAGGAGAUAUACGGGGUUUAUCGGAUGGAAUAAGUUGCCGGCCUAGUAGGCUGGUACUGGCCAGAAGAGUAGUUUUAGCUGUAGCUGGCUGAGCUCGUUAGGUUAAUUCUAAAAGGAAGGAAUCGAGGGAGAAUAAUUGCACAUAAGAUUUUAUUUGGUUUGGAGGUCGGGGAUGGGAGGAGGAAUGAUACCACAUCACAACGGUGUAAAAUAAAUCCCAUCCUAUUUCUUCCUCUCGAGGACUAAUCAAAUAAGUUCUAAAGGAAUUUAAAAUUUGACGAGUAUAUAAAGUGAUGAUAAAUUAACCACAAAUAUUUAUGAAGAAAUACUGCAAAAAUAGAGCGAGAGUUGAUCGCUAAAUAUGAUUCUAUUAGCUCCGUGCAAUCAGGGAUUCGACAAAGUUAUAGACUAAAAGAAGGCUCAAACAUUAUAAAUAUAUGUCAAGCGUUUCACGAACAGUAACAAAUUUAAUUUAUCACGGCUUCCAAAUCGAAUUGAGCUUACAAUCCAAUUCUGGUUGGGGAAACUCUUCGAUCCAGCAAGGUGUAUAUGGAAAAGAUAAUUCCACAUCGAGGUGUUCAUUAGGUAUACCGUGCAAACUCACUGGGUGCAAUUUACCCAACUCUUCGAAUUUCGAACUGCUUAGAUGAUAAGCGUACCCUCUGUCCAUUGAUUCGAUAAAGAGAAUUUCCUUGUAGGGAUGAAACCCAAGGAUCAGAGCGUAUUCAUCGUACCUCCUUUUGACAGUAUCUUCGGCUGCGUCGUUGACGAUAUCAUCAUCGUCGGAAUUCCAUUCAAAAUUUUCUCUCGCUAGCGUCAGUGGCUUUCUUCCCUUGGGGAAAAGCCAAGUACUACACUCGUAGUUAAUAUCGUCCAGAAUCCAAUGCCCAUCAAGCUUAUGGCUUGUUGCCAAGCUGGGGCCGAGGUCAGUUUGAUGCAUCAAGACCCACUUCAUGUCACCGCAUGGUUCAUCGAGAAGCCAAACUAGAAGCCUGUCUUUGCUGAGUGACGCAAAGUACACGCCCUGUUUUGAUUUUCCUAGAUAACGGCUCGAAAAUUCCCUCGCUUCCGCAUCCACCGGCCGAUGAAUAAUUCGAUACUUGUUGUCUAACAAGGAUAAUCUGUAAACCGAAAUUCAUUGGUACACGGUACAACAAAGAACACAAAUAUAUAAUUAGAGUAAUUUUUUUCACAAAACUGCAAUUAUUCGGUCAAAACUAUCACUUUGCUACAACUUUAAUUAGUCGGGGAUUUCAUAAAAGUGCAACUUUAUCUUAUAGUAUAUGACAUAUGUGGCUAACCAUUUGUGUAUGACAGGUGUGCUCAAACUAGUCAGAUAAAUAAUUAAUGUUGUAUAGCUUUCUAAUAAAAAAAUAUACUACUAUGUUAGUAUUGUUUUAGUUCUCCGAAAAGCUUGGCUAAAGUUCAAAGUGAUAGGUUUGAUGAAACAGUUGUAGUUUUUUGAAAUUUACUUAUAUAAUUGCUACAGUAUAAUAGAGCAAAGGGAUGAAUCACCUCAUAACGAAAUUACUUUGGCAACGGACGUAAAGCGUUCCUCGCCAGUAGGCAGCGUAAUGCGUGCCCCGCACCGAUGCUACGUCGGCCAUGGCUCCUGCGGCCUCUCCUUCUCGGACGAACGGCCUCUCCUCCCACUCCCUUGUUCUUGACGAGAAGACGUUCAGGACGAGCGGCGAUGGCGGCCACGCAGAAUUCUGAGGUGGUUGUUUCUUGGAUCGAUCCUUAUCGAACGGCAAGAGAUGGGGGAUUAUCAGCACCUCGAAGUGGGGCGACAAGGUGGGAUCAAACACGAGGUGCUCUUCUGGGUAGGUUUUUACUUCUUGUUCUUCUUCUAUGAGAGGAGGUGGUGGUGGGUAUGGCGUUAGAUCCAUCCACGCCUUCGUGGCUGGGUUCACGACGCAGCCGCUCUCGAGGAGGAGGAGGCCGUUGCAGUGAUCCAGCGCCAUUUGCCACUCUCCUUCCGAGGGCAGGAAGUCGAGCUUGCCGGUGAUCAGAUGGCGAUGGCAUGUCGUCGUCGUGGUGGUGGUGGUGGUGGUGGGGCGGGAGAAGUACUCCGAGUAGUCGUGGCAGGAGAAGUUGAGGAAGAACCCGGCGAGCGAGAGCGGGAGGAGGUCCGCGCGUAGUAGGCCGCCGCCGUCGAUGGCGUCGCGCCACGCCUUGCAGACGCAGCGGCACGCCGCGAGCCAGCGCGGCGCCAGGCGGCGGAGGACCUCCCCGAGCACGUCGCCGUGCAGCUGCAGCGCCGCCGCCGCCGCCGCCGCCGCCGUCGUGCCCUCCGUUCCCUUCGCCGCCCUUUUGCUUCCCGCUCUCUCGCUCGCCAUCGCAGCGAUCGCUCCGACGACGGCGAUGGCAGCGGCGGCGGCGAAGCGUGAGAUUCAGAUCGCCGCGUAUCGAUCCAUGUGCGUUUUAAACCCCAAGCACGUUUCGUGGGCCGGAGACAUGUCGUAUUGGGCCCAUGGGCCUUAAUGCGGCCCAGGCUCGUCCGAGCUUAGAAACCCUCGCCGUGUUGGUUUCCGCUUCUGCUUCUCCCCGCAAAUCUCCGAUGGCCGCCGCCGCCGCCGCGCCGCUCCGCAGGCUGCUCCUCCGCCUCGGCAAGCCGCCGCCGCUGCCCAUUCCGCUGCUGCCCCAUAUCACGCCGCAAACCGCACAGGCCGCCGGGGACCCCGCCGCGCCUCCUUGCCCAGGCGCGAUCCCGAGCCAAGCCCCGGCGAGGAAUCUCCGUGACGUCAUCUCCUCCUUCCACCCCGGGCUCCAGAUUUACCCGUCCCUCGAUCCGAGAUUCGGGGAGGUGGAGGAGGGCGUGGACGGCGAGGGGGGUGGCGCGGAGGUGUGGGCGGACAGCGUGAAGAAGAAGCGGAAGCGCAAGAUGAACAAGCACAAGCUCCGCAAGCUACGGAAGCGCCUCCGCCGCCAGACAUAGAGCGGGCCGCCGCCGCCGCCGCCGCACGGUGAACACCCUCCUCCGCCUCCGCCUCCGCCUCCGCUUCGAUUGCGAGUAGCUUCUCACCAUUUCGUGUGUUACUGUGCUUGCUUGCUGCCAUGACUCUAGCGGAAAUGGGGGUGGAUUGCUCCGUGUAUUGAAUUGUUAGACACUUUUCUGUAGCUCAUUUUGAUUCAGUCUUACUAUUUCGUUAUUAUUAUUAGAUGAAAAUGCUGUAUCAUUAUGGUAUUAAGUUAUGUCUAGGUCUUUGGUCUAGAUUUUCAGGCUCUAGUGCUUUGUUGAUGUAUGCUGUCACAUUACUAUGGCAGAAAUGUAGAUGAAUAAGUUUGAAACAUCGGGCGGGGUCUCAUAAUCUCAUUUGGUUUUCGUUGUUCCUCAGUUCUAAUUGAAUAAGUGUUGCAAUGGUGCAUGCCCAUAGUGUCAUCUGUGUGGUGGGCUGGUGGUGCUAGAAUUGUAUUUUGCAUACGGGGUAACAUUAAGAAUUGUUUAGCACAGACAUCUUUCAAAUUUUAUCCUCUAAUCUUCCAUCCCUUGGCUUCAGUUAAUAGUUUUCCCAGAUGAAACAUUGUGAACUUUAGAAAGAACAUCAAUUCACUAUUGUGCUGCAUCACUGGGCUAAAUGUUUUCAUUUUCAUCAGCUAAAAUUAUGCAUCUGUUUUCAUAUUGUGUUUUGAGGACUCCAAAUUAGUAAAAGCUCCAUUUCAAAAUCCCUGGGCAUAGUCUUUUUUUUUUCUUCAAGGAUUUUACCAUUUUUAACAAGAUAGAGUUGCAAUAUGUAAUUAUUAGAUGGUAGACUGCUGCAAGUAUAAACCCUGUUAUAUCCAUUUGUAAUAGAAGCUCUUGCACAACAUAAAGAUACUUUUACCAUGUUCUGUGCACUAAUUCACAGUUCUGUUUAUUUUAGUGGGCCCAAGGAUUUUACUUGCAAGCAAGCACUCGACACCGCUCCCUCACUGGAUACAAGCUGAUUAUUUCUAGCAGUUUUUAUUUGAUUAUGGGAGGGGCUGGUUUAAUACCAGCCUUCGAUUGUUGGCACGGGGUAUCCAUCUAGGAACCCUGUCAAGACUAAAUGAAAAUGAGCACCAGGAAGCAGUGGUUUAUGCAUGAAUUUCUGUCUAAUAAAACUUUUAAUGAUUAACUCUGGUGGUAAUUUGCCCUUCUCUUUUGUUCUUUUCCUAUAAUGAUGCUACUAUAACCCAUAUAUACAGAUCAUGGUGUCUCUGAAAACAUUCAUCAAUUGGUUGAGAGCUAUUCAGUGUUCCUGCUCCAGCUAUAUGUGCAGUUACUGAAUGUUAGUUUCAAUUCUGUGAAACCGCACUUAAAUUUCAACCAUAUAUUCUUCUCACGGAUGCAUUGUGAAUGUGUGUGGCAUAUAAAUGGCAUCUCUUGGCUAGUUUCUUUGAAAUCGUGUAUGUCACGUCCGAUCUUCUAUAUGCUGCAACAUUUAGUUCUGUUCAGUGUACAUGUUGUGGUUUUCAGAUAUGGGAUUAAAAUUUCUUUCUAAAAGGUAAGUUAAACCCCAUUCGGAUAAUUUGUUGAGCUACGUACCAUCAGAAUUUUGGUUUCUGACUGAUGUCUGUUAGUGUAGGAAACUCUGUGAAAGCAACUCAACUGUAUAACAUACAUGUGUCCAUCCUCAGAACGCUAUGCCUGUUUGGUACAGCUCAAACUCCUAAAUUUAGCUCCAGGAGUUAAGGGCCUGUUUGGCACAGCUCCAGCUCCAACUCCACCCCUCCUGGAGCUGGAGCUCAGCCAAACAGUUUCAGCUCCACCAAAACUGGGAGUGGAGUUGGGUGGAGCUCUCUCACAAAAUGUACUAGAGUUGUGGAGCUGGGUUUAGGCAGCUCCACAACUCCACUCCAGACUCAACUCCUGGAGUUAUAUUUAGGAGUUGGAGCUGUACCAAACAAGCCCCAAGUCUGGAGUGGAGUUGUGGAGCUGCCUAAACCCAGCUCCAUAACUCUAGUACAUUUUGUGAGAGAGCUCCACCUAACUCUACUCUCAGUUUUGGUGGGGCCUGACUGUUUGGUUUAGCUCCAGGAGGGGUGGAGCUGGAGCUGGAGCUGUGCCAAACAGGCCCAUAGAAGUCUUUCAGAAAUUAGAUCAAUAUCUCAUCUAUUGUCUCCAUGUUAUGGUACUAGCAGUCAGGCCUGCAAAUACAACCAAUCGAUUUUGGCUCGCAAAAUUGUAGAGCCUUUAUCAAUAAUUGAAUAUAGAAUCUCUCAUCUAUGACACCAACACCCAAGCAGCUGCUACAAUCAAGGUUACAUUUACACAACUCAACCAACAAACUGUUCCAUUUUACAAGCUCUUCUUCCUGUUUAUUUCACUUAACAAGGUCCAACAAAUCUCAAGGGUUAUAUUCCUGUGUGCUAACGCAACUAUUGGUUGCUUAAUAAUGCCAAGGCAGAAACUUUGCUGUGUACCUCCAGACCUGCCUAAGGUAACCAGAUACAAGUCACAUGUCGUCCUCUUGUUCUGGGAUGCCUUCUGUAGAUAUGGCAGAAUGUGCAGGUUGGUAGGGCAGGGAGCAUUAAGAAAACUUGGAUUAUAAUUCUCAGAAGUACCGUAUCGGUCCAUCCAAGCUACCAGAUGCAAACUACAAAUAUCAAAUGGCGAUGGAGUGAGACACAAGAUCGAGUAUAUUAAGGUUACUUGGUUCUUGUGAGGCACACAGUUAAGACAUUACUGCAUUACCUGUUUUACAAUAGGAUUUGUUGAUGUAGUAAAUUCUUGUGUCAUUCCUUCCCACACUACCUUCCCCUCAUGGAGAAAUAACAACCUGAAAGUUGAGUACAAGAGUCUCAGCUUAGCAAUGGACAACAGAAAGCUGGAAGCCACCAGCAAAACAAUGCCUGCUAUUACCUGUCAACGGCUCGUUUUAUUGUGCUAUGCUGAUGAGUGACAACCACAUAAGAUGCUAUCUUUCCAGGCUUACCAAGAGCAUCUUUCCCUGUUACAUGUACGGAACGUAUAAGGUCUUCAACAACGGUGGAUGCAAUAGGGUCAAGUCCAGCAGUAGGCUCAUCGUACAAAAUAACCUGUAAUGGAAAAAAUGUAUAAUAUCAAGAAGACAGUCAAUAGUAAGUUAAGCUGUUUGAUCUCCUUUUCCUGUGAACUAUUACAGCAAUUUACUCGUAAUGACUGAAGAGAUUAGUCAGGGUAUACCUCUGGCUCUAUUGUUUCCUUUGUAUCAUCGUAUAUUAUUGAACGAGCUAGAGCUACACGCUUUUUCAUGCCACCAGACAAUUCAGAUGGCAUUCGAUCUUCAACGCCCUGCACAGACCGAUGGUGAUAAUAUAUCUAAGUCUAUGUUAAAAUCACAAGUAUGAGUAGAAAAAUACCGAUAAUCCUUUCAUCCUAUGUAAGCUAAUACAGAAAUCUAGAAUUCCUCAACAAUCCAAGCUAUAAUUUUGCCUCUUAAAUUAUCUCCGACAAAAACUUUGCACAAUCACAUAAAAGCAUUGCCUGCGAUUGGCUUACCGCUAAUCCAAAAUUUGGGACUAUUCUAUGCUUAGUUUUAACUUCAACAUGAAAAAAAAAAAACUUGACUUACUUUUAGGCCUACUGCGGCCAAUGUUUCUGUCACUAGUGUAGCUAUUCUCUCCUCAGGCAGGCUGGAAUUUUCAUAUCUAAAGCCAAAGGACAGAGGAAACCGAGAUUAGUAAAUACAAGUAGAUUGACUACUCUCAAUAGACUUAUGGAAGGUAAUUGUUCUUACAAAAGGAAUCCAACAUUUUCACGAACCGUGAGAGAAUCAAACAAAGCUGCACUUUGAAACACCUUCAUAGGCAAAGACCAUUUUAGAAUUUUCGAGAACAGUUGGUCGAUAAAAUUAUCAUGGUAUUUAUUCGGCAGAUUUGAAGUAAUUAAAGAGUAUACCAAGCCAAUUCGGACACCAGAUAUGUCUUCAUCACUAACUAGCCCAUGUCUUUUUCUUCCGCAAAUAAUAACAUCGCCCUUCUCAUUAUCACAGAUUUAAAAUAAAAAUACAACAGCCAUCAGCACAUCAAACGGGAACCUCCUAAAAGCCUAUUGUUUUAAUAAAGAUAAUCAAGAAGAUGCGAUAACCUUGUCUGGAGCCAGUAGCCCAGCCAUAACCUUCAAAACAGUUGACUUUCCUGUUCCCGAAGGACCAAUUAUUCCAACGGCUUCUCCGUGUCUAAUCUACAUAAUAAUAAUUUGAACCAUAACUGAACUGCAGGCUAAAAAUAAAUGAAACCAAAAGAUUAUAAAAUAAUCAACUAAGUAAUGAUUCCUAGUGACUGGAUAAUGGAGAGUAUGAUCAACGUAAGAGAACUAGUGGUUAAUUUGUGGUGGUACGACUAUAUGAGCAAGGAAACAGAAAUUCAGAAUGACAACAAUUCGAUUUGUGCUUCCAAUUUGCUUUGAAUACUUGUAAAGUACAUUAACUCUGGGAUCAGCAUUGAAGAAGAUGCAGUUGAGUGGCUCCAAUACUUGAAAUGGGAUAUGUACUAGGCACCCAAGUAGUUGAUUACAAAUAAUGCCCAAGAUGUAGAAAACCAGAGAACCAAUGAGAAUUGGAAACUGGAAAGAAUUGCUUGAAAAAGAACUUACCUUGAAGCUAAUGCCAUUCAAUACCUUCUUGUUACCGAAGGAUUUGUGCACAUCCCUACAUUCUAUAAGAAUAUCAUGAUCAUCGCCAAUCUGCCCAUUCAUACCCCAGCUCCUUGACAAGCUUGGACUCUAAAGCAUGACGGGAACAAAAAUACAAUUUAUCACCCCCAAACUCCAAGGCACCGCAAUUCAAGUAAGCUAUAUCAGGAUCAAGGCAUCGUUGCAAGAGCAUACCUCACGCAGAUUCUCUGCAUUGCCCAAGCCAGGACUCCUGGUAGCAGAUACAGCACCAGCGUACACAUGGCCCUUUUUUAAUGGCACUCCACAUAACCUGCCUAAGCAAGAACAUAUGCAAAAUAUGAAUACCAUAUCUCAUUUGAUAAAACCAAUCACAUUGGACGCAAUACUGCAGAUAAAUAUUCACAAAGAUGAACAUGGCACAGGAUGAACCAGCAUAGUACUACACAAGAACAGCACAACAGCCACAUUCUUCCCUUUUCAUAUGAGCAAUUUAACCAGCUGCCAAACUAACCGCGCUUCGCAAUUUUUUCAGCCUAAUCGGGGUCAGCUAUCAAAAAACGCAAAGAAAUUUUUAACUACAGUGCAAAAUCGCUUUCUCCCUUUCUCCUCCUCUGAACUGUUGAUGAAAGCAAAGAAUCUACUCACGCAGCUCGAGCAAUUCAACAACAAGCCGUGAUCUGCCAACACAAUUGUAUUCCCUACAGAAUCGCAACCCCAAGGUAACGGGAGAGAUGCUCCAAAACAACUUAGACAAAACAUCUAAGAAACAAAAAAAAAGAAGAAGAAGAGAUUCAGGCCAUGAUUUUUCUUUUACCUAAACGGAAGGGUGCAGGGCGGGCAGGGGUCUCCCGAGGAGCGGAGGAGGCGGAGGCCGGCGGCGUGGGCAUGCGGGUGGCGGAGAGCCGCCGGGAUGGACGGCGACGCCAUGGUCUGAAUCGAGCUCUGCGGCGGCGGCGCCACGCGCGUGGGCGAGGAAGAAGAAAGGGAAACCCGAUGGAAUCCUCCUCCUCCUCUCUCUCCUCUCUUCCCCCACGUGGCAACCUGACAUGUGGGCCCCACCGAUCCGCGGCUCGCGCGGGGAGAGGAUCUGGGCGUCGGAUCCUGAUCCCGGCGGUAAUUACCCAAUUGUCCCUCCCCCCGCGAAUCUUCUCUUCUCUUCUCUUCUCUUCUCCGGUGGCGAUCUGAGUGGCCGACCGGCGGCGAGAUGGCCUCCGCCGCCGUGACGCUCCCGCGGGUGAUGCUGGCGGCGGCCGCGGUGCGGGCGGCGAUGCUGGCGCUCGGGGAGUGGCAGGACGCGCACCUCGAGGUGCGGUACACCGACGUCGACUACCUCGUCUUCUCCGACGCCGCGGCGUCCGUCGCCGCGGGCGGGUCCCCCUUCGCCCGCGCCACCUACCGAUACUCCCCGCUCCUCGCCUACCUGCUCGUCCCCAACUCUCUCCUCCACCCCACGUGGGGGAAGCUCCUCUUCUCCGCAGCAGGUGAUUCCGCUGUUCACACACGCCUGCUGUCUUUGUUACUAAUAGCUCACUCUUGUAGUAGCAUUGGUGAAGAACAUUUAAUAUUUGUAGCUAAAUUUGUAUUUUAAGGGGGUAGAUUUCUGUGACCUGCGGUUCAAGUAAUGUUUAGAACUUGGGGAUGACUUUCUGAAAGCCAGAAGUUAUCUGAGUGAUCUAUCUGAAUUUAUUCUUGUUCAUUUUCAGCCAGUGGCUUCAUUGCAUGUAAAACUCUGCAGAAUUUGGCCUAGUGAGACGAAUCACAUGAAGAGCUUGUUCAAUUUUAUGUUUUUGUUUGAAAUGAUAAGACAGACAUUUUAGGUGCUCAGUAAGACAAUAACCUUCCCCUUUUUUUUAUUUGUCACAAAGACAACACUAAGGUCAAUUAGGGAGAGUUUAAUAAUCGACAUGUAAGUUCCUGAUUUCGUGAUGUCGGGAGAACAUGAACCUAUUUACAUUGUCCGUAAUUACCUCGUUGGAUUUUUGAGAUGGCGGUGCAUCAUGUGUUUUGCAGAUUUGCUUGUUGGGUUGUUCAUUGACACCAUUCUGAAACUACGUGGUGUCCCUGACAGCACUCGGAUCUGGUCUGUUGUAGCUUGGUUGUUCAACCCCUUCACGUUCACAAUUGGCACAAGAGGAAACUGUGAGCCCAUAGUCUGCGCUGUCAUACUUUGGAUCCUGAUAUGUUUGAUGAAUGGUGUAAGCUCUAAACCUGUUGUUUCUAUCUGUUCAGUUUUGUUCUAUCUUGUAUUGAUGUAGAUAAUAAUCAUUUAAAUGCUUUAAUAAUGGAAUCUUUUAGUUAGUUUUUUGGUCUUCUCAUACAAAGCAUAGGAACAUAAGACAUCCUGUUUUAUGUCUUAGCAGUCUAAACUAUUGUCUAGUGGAGCUUGUUACAAAGUCAGAAAAGCUAAAUUACUACUUUAUUAAGCACUUGAACAAGAAGUUGUACAUAAUUUUCCUCUGCGUUGUAGUACUUGGAUAAUACUGAGCAUUACUGAUAUUACUGUCAAAUGUCUUACAGUUUGAUUGUCUACUGUAGGUAGAGUAUUGCAGGCAUCAUUCUGGUAUGGUCUGAUUGUGCACUUCAGAAUAUACCCAAUCAUAUAUGCAAUUCCUUUCGUUAUAGUUCUGGGCAAGAAUUAUGCUGGUCCUGCUGGAAGGCCUAUUCUUACACAGUGGACUUCUAAGCAACAUUUACAAAGCGAUAAAUCCAGUCCAAGUGUGGAAAGGGCAACAUCAUUGUUAACUAAUUUAUGGAAUUUUCUGACAAGCCUUAUAACAAGAAAUACGAUCCUGUUUGGAUUACUUUCAGGAUCUAUGUUCUUUCUCUGGACUGGUGUUUUCUUCUACCUUUAUGGAUGGGAAUUCUUAAAUGAGGCACUACUUUACCAUCUUUCUCGGACUGACCCGAGGCAUAACUUCUCGAUAUAUUUCUACCACAUAUAUCUGCAUCAUCAGCAAGGGUUCUCAAGUAUACAGAAGCUCGCUUCUUUUCUGCCACAGCUGAUCGUGCAACUGGCACUCAUUCUACGCUUCUCUAGGGAUCUUCCGUUUUGUUUGUUUCUCCAAACAGUUGCAUUUGUUGCGUUUAACAAGGUAAGAUGUCUCACAGUCACGGGCAUUUCUCGUUUUUAAAACCCUGGACUACUUGAUAUUGAUUGUUAAGUUUACCAUCAAACAGGUCAUGACAGCACAAUACUUUGUGUGGUUCUUUUGCCUGCUACCCCUCAUCCUCCCUUGGACUACCAUGAAGCUGAAGUGGAAGGGUCUGGCCUGUAUAUUGGUGUGGAUGGGGUCCCAACUGCACUGGCUGAUGUGGGCGUACAUGCUUGAAUUCAAGGGCCAAAACGUCUUCAUACCGCUCUGGGCAGCAGGUCUCAUGUUCCUGGCUGCAAACAUCUUUGUUAUGCUCAUGGUGAUCAACCACCACAAGUUCACUCCGCUCUUCUCAUCAUCAACGGUGAAGUCUGCAAGCAAGAUUGCUGCCAAGAAGGAAUAGCAUAUACCACCCUUCUUUUUUAUUACUUUACCAGCUGAUGUAUUUCUGGAGACAUGGAUACUGAUUUUUCUUUUUAAUGUUCUACUAGUAUCUUAUGCGACUUGCAUCCUUGCUCUUUUUUUUUUUAACCCUGAGACCCGGCUUGGUUGGUUUUGUACUAUUAACUUCUUGUCUUAGGUUGUAUGGUAAGUCUGGAAAAUGCAGUUGCUUUGGAGAGGGAAAACUUUUUUUUUCUACUCCCUCCGUUUUAGGUUAUAAGAUAUUUUGAUUUUGGUCAAAGUUAAACUGCUUCAAGUUUAUAGAAAAAAUAGUAAUAUUUUUGAUCCAAGAUAAAUUUAUCAUAAAAAUAUAUUUAAUUAUUAAUUUAAUAAAACUAAUUUGGUAAUGUAAAUAUUACUAUAUUUGUCUAUAAACUUAGGUCCUGUUUGAUUUAGCUUAGGAUUAUUAUAAUCUGGAUUAUUAGGAGUAAACUAAAACAAACAAGUAGAUUAUUAUAAUCUAUAAGCCAGAUUAGUAUAAUCCAGUAAUCUCCUCUAGAGGAGCUUUUUCUAGAUUAUUGAGUGGCUAAAGACCCACUACUCUUAGAUGCCUCUAAUAAUCCAGAGAAACAAACAACUUGCAGCUUAUUCUAUGUCAGCUUAUCAUAAUCUAGCUUAGAGUAAUCUGAUUUAAUAAUCUAGAUUACAAUAAUCUUAAGCUGAAACAAACAGGGCCUUAGUCAGACUUAAAACAGUUUGACUUUGAUCAAAGUCAAAACAUCUUAUAACUUGAAACGGAGGGAGUAUUUUGGUUGGAGCUUUUUUUCUUCGGGAAACGGGGAGCUUUAUUUAUAUUUGGUUGUGCAUGGUUCCAGUAAAAAAAAAGAUUAGCAGCAUGGUGAUAUGUGCUAAAAUCCAUGUGGUUUGUGCAUCAUCGACCACAAUACUUAGGUUUUUAUGCCACCCUAUGUGGUUAUCAAUGCCAUGGGUGGCCACAGCGGGGCCGUUGCCUUGCCAAGACCAACAACAAGGUUGAGGGUUGCUUGGGAGAUUUUCUUGCUGGCGCAAGUAGAUCUAUCCAUCACUUUGUGCCGAAGGCCGCUGAUUGCAAGAUGUGGCAGUGGCGACGAGGCUACCUGGGUGUUGUGCUGCCAAGUGGCAUCACCCUCAUUGUCGGACGCGGCCUGUGGCUCAUCACUCUCCAUAGGACGGUGCUCCUCCCGCACCAAUUGAAGACAUAUUGCCGUGGUUGUAGUGAUGAUGGUUGAUUGUGCAUAAUAAUUUUCUUCAACGCUAACGGCUAGGACAAUAGCAUUGCAACCAAAGUUGUCACCAUCAUGCCCGCCGCCGCCUCCAACUUGGUGCACCUCUCCAUUGCCACCUUCUGCUUGGGACGCCUCACCUGCAACAUGGCUACUAACUUUAGCAUGUUUAUCUUUAAUUCCUUGAUGAUCUAGGAAAGAGGUGUCACCAGAGCCGAAUUGUUGCUAGAUGUGGCCGGCGAUGACAAUCCAAUCUAAGUAUCCAUCCAGCAGUAGUCAUUAUAGCUGGCGCAACCAUAGAAAGCUUUCUGAGCAUACUCUAUAUGUUGGAAUUAAUGGAUAGGCCUUAGCCCACUCGAAAAUUAAUUCUUUGGAAAAUCACAAAAGCCCACCUCAUGGGAUGACAUGCAUAUGGAGUUUAGUACUACCUUACUUAUUCUAGGAGAGGGGGACCUCCUUAAAAGGGAGGAUGCCCUCCUAGCCACUUGAAGCGUGUGUGGUGGAGAGAAGAGGGGGAACACAAGCGCGCGCUUGCUGGCCUGGCAGGGCAGGUCAGGCGGCGCGUGCACGACGUACGCGUCGAAUGGUCCGCAAAAUUGGCUCCUCAUCCUUGUGCAGAUGCAGCCUCCUUUUGCAGUUUUGUUUUGCUGUAGGAAAUUCGGAUUUGUGUCGAAUGGUCUGCAAAAUUGGCUCCUCAUCCUUGUGCAGAUGUAGCCUCCUUUUGCAGUUUUGUUUUGCUGCAGGAAAUUCGGAUUUGUUUUGUUUUGGAAACAUUCUGAAAAAUCUGAUGCGUGAAAACGGCGUGGAGUCCGGAUAAGUUACGCGUGACUUAUCCGGUUCGGUUACGCGGAGUGGAGAUCGUGUGGGUGCGCUGAUCAAGCAACCUAUCUCUAUAUAAACCGAGCCGCCGCCUUUACGCAACUCACGCGAAAUCAAUCUAGGGUUUGCCUCCUACUUUGUGUUGCGCCGUCGCUCGUAGACUACUCCAUCCCGCUCACCGGCGUGCACCGGCGAUCUGGAAAGCAGGUCUCCGGAACCUCUGCCUUUGACGUCCUGCAUCGGGAGAAGGUGGCAAUAAGGUUUUUGGGAAGCGCUUCGCGCGACUGCUCCCAGUUCGUCCGCGACGGCUCGCCUUCCUCUCCGCUCGCGUGCUGUGUGCCUUCGUUGAUGCCCGCAACCGCGAAUAGUUCCUACCGAGCAACCGGUCUUUCCGCCACCUCGGUACGUGUUCGACAUGUUGCGUAUUUUUAAUCUGUUCAUAUUUUACUACUUAGUUUACAUGUGUAGAUCUAAUGAUGCGUUCAUGCUAGUUUACGUUUGCAAUAUCAUGAUUUAUUUAUGGAAUAAAUUAAAUCAUCAUGUUUUUAUAAUUUCAACACUAUAUCUAAACAAGAUUGGAAAUGAACGAAGGUAUUCACAUGUGUUUCCAUCUAGUGCGUGUAGAUCUUCUCAACUCCAUAUGCAUCAAGCACAUGAUGGAAUAAAUCCCCCAUCACUGAGUGGUGUAGAUGGCUCGUCGUGACAUGAAGAACUCCCUCAGAAUCGUAAGUUAUGUUGAAUGUCUAUGAUACCAAGUUAUAAUAACCUGAGCCAUAACGGGGUAAACACUACUAAGAGGAUAGCUAGGCGGUGUUGGUUGCUAGGGAAUGGAUUUAGACUUUAGGUUGGAGAGGAGCAUUAGAGGAGAGAUUAGAUUAAUCUUGAUUUAUUGUUUAACUUAAAACAUGAUAUAUAGAUGGUCCAACUUAACACUUAAGGGAUUAACCUAAUCUUGUUUCUAACUCUAACCAAUGCUACGGUAUUUAGCAUGCUAUAGUACCUCGAGGCACUAUGCAAUUGCCUAGUUAUUUGGUAUUGGGGUAUCCACGGCCUUGUCCUUGUCCCCUUGCCACUUGGCCUAAUGCCCAUUACAAACUCACACAAUGACACAUUCACACGAAAAACAUUGUAUUUUCAAUUUUUUUAUACGAAAAGUUCAGAUGACAAUAUAGCUUCCCAAAACCUAGACAUUGUGCAUCAUAUAUGGUGAGAUAUAACAAAGCAGCAAACUCCUAAAGCUGCAAGAUCUCGACGCAAAAUUAAUUUGCAGAAACAUGAACCAGGAAGUAUGUAUAUUAGAAAGCACGUGCCACAAUUUUUAACCAUCCACAUUGAUGGGUUCAACAAGAGCACCGCACACAGGGGGGAGGGGUGUCAGCGACAGUGCAUGAUCGUGCUCAUGGGGACAAAUUGGCAAGGGAGGUGUCGAUCAAUCUCUUGGGAGGGUGGUGGCAACCAUUCUCUCGACGGCGUAAGAGAAUGCACACGAGGUAAAGGGAGUUUCGUGACAUUGGUUUUAGUGGAGCCCACACGAAACAAAUAUUAACUAUGUAAUAAAAUAUAGCAAUUUAGUAUUGUAUUAGACAUCAUUUAGACGUGUCUAAUCCAACAUUAUGGAACGGAGGGAGUAUUUUCGAAGCCAUGAUACACACCACUAAGUUAAGUGCCUAUAUGUAUUUGCCAUGUCAACCUGCUGUGGACCCCACAAGUCAGAUUUGCGUAGAAACAGUGAGAGGUUUGAAUUAGUAAACUGGUCUUACAUCCUUAUUUAAAAAAAUGAAAACAUAACGAAGCACACGACCGCGUGGCCUAAUGGAUAAGGCGCUCGCCUCCGGAGCGGGAGAUUGUGUGUUCGAGUCCCAGCGUGGUCGGGUUGGUUUUAAUUUUUAUCUAUUUUUCCUGGAUAGUGUAUUAGUUUCCAUUGUUUUUAUUCUUUAUCCACUACUCGUUCCGUACUAAAAUACAAGUAUUUUUAGAAUAGUAACAAGUCAAACAUUUUUAACUUUAACUAUAAAUAAAAAAAAGUUCAAUCCAUUCUUUUUUACAUUAAACAAACUAUCAUAUGGAGAUGAAAAAGAGAGAUGCAGAUCAGAUUCGCCAACUCGUGCGAAUGAACGCCCUGCUGCGAUUAAAAUGGGAACAAAAAUGAUAGAGAUCAAAAUGAACAGAAAAAUGCAGCUGUACAUAGACAUAAAAAUGAACUCGAAAAUACAACUGUGCACCAGACCAUAUACGGGUGUUUAUAUUUAUGGCUAACUAUUUUUUAGUGAAAGACAAAUUACCUGCCGAUAGUGAAGUGUCUUUAAAAUAUAUCUGUCAGUUUUUGAAGCUGCUCAUAAGAAUACUUAUGACGUGCUGUUUAUAAGGACAAGUGUAUGUACAUAUACACAGUGGCGAAGCCACAGGGGGUGCCGGGGUGGGCCUGGCACCCCCCAUCCCCAUGCGCUGCAAACCCCACCCCCGGAUGAUUAGCCAUCUAAUCCAUAAAAUUAGCUCAUUAAUUUGUUGCAAGUUGAGCCUAUACCUACCUAGCUGUCCAAUAGGUUUUAGCUUUACGUGAUUACCUGAGUUAAUUAACGUAAUUAAACGAUGUGGUUGCAAGUCUAUUAAUGUAACUAAGCGAUGUGGUUGCAAGUCUCCAAAAUUAAAAAGGAUGAAUAGAAAUGAUGUCGUGUGUCAUUCUGUAUUGAGUAAAGUUGGUGCUAUUUAGUGACUUUAAAAAUGGUUCUUUUUAUACUAUAUUAACAUAUAUUCGGACAUACAUCCUCCAUUCUAAAAUAAGUUCAAUUUUAUACACCAAGAUCCACGCUAUAUUAUCUACCGAGGCGCUGGUGAGUUCUUACGUCUCCUGGCCAGCACCCCCUAUACCCAAAUCCUGGCUUCGCCACUGCAUAUACAUACACUUAUGAGCACACAUUCAUAUGUGUUUUGAAGAAAAAAGAGAGUAAAAAAUGAAAGACAUAAAAAUGAACGAAAAAUAGGUGCCAAAAUGAACGGAAAAAAUACCGCUGUGCUGUGAAAAUGACAGAGAUAAAAGUGAAAAAAGUACCAAAAUGCACAAAUAAAAUAGCACUGUGCUGUGAAGAAAGAUGAGACAAAUGAGUGAAAAACACACACACAAAAAAAAAUCAAAAUUGAACGUAAAACAUGAUCAAUGUGCUGUGAUCAUGUAUGGAUAAAAAGUAAAACCGGAUCAAAAAUUAAUGUUGAAUUCAAAAUGCACGAAUUUUGCCAAAAAAAAAAUUACCGCUGUGCUGUGAAAAUGAUAGAGAUAAAAGUGAAACAAAGGUACCAAAAUGCACAAAUAAAAAGCACUGUGCUGUGAAAAAAAGAUGAGAUAAAUGAGUGAAAAACACACCAAAAAGAAUCAAAAUUGAACGUAAAACAUGAUCAAUGUGCUGUGAUCAUGUAUGGAUAAAAAGUAAAACCGGAUCAAAUAUUAAUGUUGAAUUUAAAAGGUAAGAACUUUCCAAAAAAUUCGCGCCAGGUAGGGGUCGAACCUACGGCCUUCUGCUUAGGAAACAGACGCUCUAUCCACUGAGCUACAGGCGCUUAGUGCUGUCAAUUAUUAAAGCAAUUAUAUUAUCAAAAUAAUGCCGAUGCUGCUGCUACUGCCUACAAAAAUCAACUCGGGGUCGCUAAGAAAAACAUGAAUUGGCCCAUAUUAUUUCAUUCACAUAAAGCUAGGGUUCGCUAUUUUUAAUUAGGUGUUGAGAAAUUGAUAUUUUUAUAUAUAACCGCCCACAAUAUAUUAUUUUGUAUUUUAUUUUUUUAUCUAUUUAUGAUGUACAAACAUAUUAAUCAUAUAUUGGAUCUGGGAAAUUUUUUUGCUUUCACCAUGCCAAUUUUUUCACGCAUUUAAUCACUAAGAAUAAGCAUUUAAAACUAUUUUAUUUGAAUGAAAAAUUGAUUAACGAUGGUAUCUAGCCAGUUGUCAAUAAUCUCCUUUGCAAUCAAAAUUUUGAAUCCAAACAUUAGUUGAGUAAAUUACAGUAAAGACCUUUAACCUGUUGUUUACCGAUUCAGUGGAUAACAUGUAUUUCCAACAUUAAUCCAGAGUGCAAACAAACAGUGGAAAUGAUGUGAACCAUAAUAUUUUUUUUAUUACGUGUCUAAUUAAUUGACUUACUAAGCCAUGAAAAAAAAUGAAGCAUAAAAACAUACUUACAACUUUCAUAUCUAUGUUGUUCUCGGUUUAAAAAGCGAUGUUAGAAAAUAGACAACUUCAAAAUCAGGUAAAAAGAUAAGUUUUAAAAUUUAAAUUUUAUUUUAGGCUUAUAGCUUAUAAGCUAACAAGCAAAUGUUGUUACGUAAAAAAACUGGAAAAAAAAUAAUCUGUAAGAAACUCCGUUGCAACGAACGGACCCUUAGCUAGUAGGUGCCAACGUUUAAAAAGGUCUAGUGUUUGCUUAUCUGCAACACAUACAAAAACAGUCUAGUAAGUGCUUUUCUGCUGUGUAUUCAUAUAAUUAACUUGUUGAUGAUGUGUCAUGUUUACAUGGGAUUUAAAAUAGUUUAGAAUAGUACUCCUUCCAUCUACUUUUGAUAGUCAUAUUUCUAAAUCUGAAAAAUUUAUUUUUGAUAGGCAUAUUUCAAUCCAACAACCUAUCCUCUUAAUGACUUUCUCGGAUUUAAUGCGUGACUCUUUAUUCUUUCACACAGGAUUGGCUACAUGAGCAUUGAGAAAUGUAAAUAUUAAUGAAUCGCUUGUUUACGAGGAAUAAUUAGUAGCAUGUUUAAAUGGAUGAUAAGUAGAAUUACUUAUCCUUAGUCUGUGUACUAAGAUAACAUAUGACUAUCAAAAGUAGAUGGAGUAAUUGCUAGUGACUGAAGAUGUGGCAUGCUUGUAUAGGAUUUUAAAUGGGUUAUAAUAAUAGUAAUUGCUAGUGAGUGAUGAUGUGGCAUGCUUGUAUGUUUAAUUGCUAGUGAGUGAAGAUGUGGCAUGCUUGUAUGGGAUUUUAAAUGGGCUAGAAUAGUAAUCGCUAGUGGGUGAUGAUGUGGUAUGCUUACAUGUUAAGCUUUAGCUUCUAAUAAUUGUUAGUAGGUAUCAAUAGAUUGUUUAAUUUAACUGGCCAUGGAAAGAAUGGUAUUGGCAUCAAUGGCAUGACCGUUUCUAUAAAACCCUUCUUAUUGAUCAAUGCAUGAUAUCUUUAAUUAAAUCCCCUUUCCCUUUUUCUCUUCUAAGGUGAUGUUUGGAACCAGAUACUUAACUUUAGUCUAUAUAUUUAGACACUAAUUUAGAGUAUUAAAUAUAGACUACUUACAAAACUAAUUACAUAAAUGAAAGCUAAUUUGCGAGAUAAAUUUUUUAAGCCUAAUUAAUCUAUAAUUAGAGAAUUUUUACUGUAGCAUCAUAUAGGCUUAUCAUGGAUUAAUUAGGCUCAAUAGAUUUGUCUCGCGAAUUAGUCCGAGAUUAUGGAUGAGUUUUAUUGAUAGUCUACGUUUAAUAUUUAUAAUUAGUGUCCAAACAUCCCAUGUAAUAGGGACUUAAAAGUUUUAGUCCCAUCUAAACAGGGUCUAAGUCCUUCUAAAUCUGUUACUCAUAUAACUGUCUAACUGAGAUAAAGUUUAAGGUUGUCAUAUCAUAUCAUCGUCACGUUAUAUAUAUGAUCCCUGCACUUCUCUUUUUAUAGAAUGGACGAGACUCUUUUUUCUGUAUAUGUAGCGGUCUUGUACUCUUGUUAGUACCAUUUUGCGUCCCAUUUUGACGAGACGACUGGCGUGCCAUUUUGCGUCCUGGUUCAUUACAGUCUAAUUUGGUGACAAACAAACAAGGAACAAAUAGGUCCCAUGGUCUAGCGGUUAGGACAUUGGACUCUGAAUCCAGUAACCCGAGUUCAAAUCUCGGUGGGACCUUAAUUUUCUCGGUUUUAUUUUCUGCCUGAGCUUAUUGUCCUCCUCCUGAUUUUUUGUUGUUGUCUAUUUUCUCUGCCGGAAAAAUGUAUCAAACUCGUCGAUUCUACUCGUUUGAGAGCUUAGUGUGAUAUUGUCCUUCUCCUGAAGUUUCUAUUUUUUACUCUCUCUGUUAUGAAAAUUUUCAUGCUAGAAUGAUUUACAUUGUGAAAUGGAGAGAGAACUCGUUUGUGCUUAUUUAUCCUUCCCCUGAUUUUUUUCCACACCAAAACAUAUAUUGUGAUAAUUGAGUAUGCUACGCGUCUGACGUACUACGAGUUUACUCCCUCCGUCCCAAAAAAAGACAAACCCUGAGUUUUCAUGUCCAAUGUUUGAUCAUAUUAUUUGAAAAAAUUAUGAAAAAAAUUAAAAAGACAAGUUACGUAUAAAGUAUUAAUCAUAUUUUAUCAUAUAACAACAAUGAAAAUACUAAUUAUAAAAAUUUUUCAUAUAAGACGGACAGUUAAACGUUGGACACGAAAAUCUAGGAUUUAUUUUUUUUUAUAGAGGGAGUACGAGGUAAAAAUCGUCCUCAGCGCCUUCAGAAAAAAAAAGGACAAAAAUCCUCAGCGCCAACCGACUCCGCUCCACAGACCACAGCCGCCCAAGUGUGCGAGGACAACGGCGGCGGCGGCGGCGGCUAGGUUUUUGCUGCACCCGACGCCACCGCCCACCAGCGAGUGUGGUGGGCCGCGGCGGCCCAUAAAAGAAAUAUCUAGGCGGCCCAUGUAGCGCCAGAAAAUAUCUUCUCCCCCGCCUCGGGAUCCUUAUCCUCCGCCUCGCGCGGGGUGCCGUCCGAUCAGAUCAGGACGGCCGCGUGGGGCUAUAAAAGGAGGGGGGGUAGGGCAAGCAGUGCCUCCUCGUGCUCUCUUUGAGGUGGGUUGGCUUCUCCUCCCCCUCUUUACCUUUUCCUCCUCGGUUCGGUUCCGUGGUUCGUCUAGGGUUUAGUGGGUUGAGAUGGCGGCGCCGGAUGUCGAGUACCGCUGCUUCGUCGGCGGCCUCGCCUGGGCCACCGACGACCGCUCCCUCGAGGCCGCCUUCUCCACCUACGGCGAGAUCCUCGACUCCAAGGUUCGCCCUCGCUCUCCUACGCCGUGUCUUGUGAUGGGUUUUUUUUGGGUGGUUUCUCGUGUUGGCUGGAUCUGUGUUGAAUUUGUUUGGGUUUUUUUGUUGGUUUGCUCGGAUCUGUGAUCCUGGGGGGUUUUGCUCGUGCUGUUCUGAUCUCGUUGGUGCCAGAUCUGUGUGGAGGGGUUGAUUUGGUGGUUUUUUUGGGUGGAUCUGAUGGGGAUUUGUGUGUUUUUGUUUUGGUUGUUUGCAGAUCAUCAACGACAGGGAGACGGGGAGGUCACGUGGGUUUGGCUUCGUCACCUUCUCCUCCGAGCAGUCGAUGCGCGACGCCAUCGAGGGCAUGAACGGCAAGGAGCUCGACGGCCGCAACAUCACCGUCAAUGAGGCCCAGUCCCGCCGCUCCGGCGGCGGAGGCGGGGGCUACGGCGGCGGCGGUGGCGGCUACGGCGGCGGUCGUGGAGGCGGCGGCUACGGAGGAGGUGGCGGCGGCGGCUACGGGCGCCGUGAGGGCGGCUACGGUGGCGGCGGCGGCUACGGCGGCGGCCGUGGCGGCGGCGGCGGCGGCUACGGUGGCAGCCGUGGCGGCGGCUACGGCGGCGACUCCGGCGGGAACUGGAGGAACUGAUUGGUGGGGCCCAUCGUGGCCAGUUAUCCUUAGCUAUCCGUGUCAGAAUCAUCUUAUCAUCGAGUCGAGUCGUUAUCGUGUCCAGUGGCUCUCUCGAGUCGAGAAGCCCUCUAUCCAUCCAUCCAGUGUUAGGUGUUCUUCGUCCGUGAUGUUACCAUGAAUUGAGUUCGCUUUGGUUAUGGUGUUUGAACUGCUUGUUGCUAUCUAUCGGAAUGAAAUGAAAUAGAAAACAAGGAGAAAAAAAAGAGUUCGAAAGUUUUGUUCGCAUACCAUAUAUUUCCUUCCGGUGCGCGCUGUUUAUUCCUCGCUCAGCAGCAAGAUUGUUUGAUCGAUAUUGCAGCAAGCAAUUACACAAUAAAUAUAUUGCUACACUGGUACUUCAAACUACACUGGUGGUCGGUGAUUUUCAAUAGCAUGAACCUUAAUUGAACAUCUGUGUAGCUUACAUCUCCUUCGAAAGCUGCAAUGCUUGAGAACUUGGAAAGAAAUUCUUGUGAUGGCAGAAGCUAUUCACUGUCCUUCGCUGCAUUUACAGUCCAUACAGACACAGCAUUUCCAUUUUGCACAAGAUAGAGAACAACAAUCAGCCUUUUAGGUCAAUCCCAAGUGUGCAUCUUACUGAUUGUCGAAUAUGUGCUAAGAACCUGCAAGAGAGUGAGGAUUUUUAUCAUUGAUUGAUUGUCGAAUAUAUGCUAAGAACCUUCAAGAGAGUGAGGAUUUUUAUCAUUGAUGGAGCUUUGUUUCUGUAAUCCAAGAUUUGGGAAACAGUUUAUCCAUGUUAGGGAAAUGAUUUAUGCAAACAAUAUUUUGGAGCAAAAGUUAGAUAGUAGUAUAUGUCUGCCGACGACCUCAACCCAAAAUAUUGUUUUGAGGAACUCUUGGAUUACAGAACAAAAUACUGAUUCCAAAAUGAUUUAUGCAAACAAUAUUUUGGAGCAAAAAUUUUGUUUCUCCAAGAAUUCAGAGAAACAAUCAUACUUUUUUAACACAACCAUCACAUUGGAGAUUUCAAAACAGCAGAGAUGAUAGGAUCUACUCUUUCCAUGUCUUCAUCCAAACUUAAUUAAGCUUAUAAUUGUCCUUUUAUCAAUUUGCGAAGAAAGAAUGAAUGUUGAUAAGCAGUCAAUGCAAAUGUCAAUUAUAUGAAUAAUAUCUAAAGUUUAGCAUGCCAACUAAAGCUUGUAAUAUGCCAGUAUGUUUAAAUGAGAGAUUGAAAAUGUAGGGGAGUAUAGUCGAUAUAGACUUUCAGUAAGGCAAGAAGAAAUGCAAUGUCAUUAUGUUCCAGGAUAAAAGGGUCAACAGAAAGACAUCAUCAUGAUCUCAAGCCUUUGCCCGCUUCAUUAGGAAAAUACUCAGCAGAGUGUAGAAUCUUUUGAGCUUAAUGACCAAAAAUCUGCAUGACCACAUGGUAACGUAAGUAAAUUCUUUUCUACUUUCAGUUUGGAGAUUUAGUUGUUCACACACCUCCAAAUUAAGAACCAAGAUGCAUUGAUUCAUUCUGAAGGACUGAAAAAUGGAAGAAAAGGAAAUGAUGGAGAAGAAAGAGGAGAGCUCGUGCCAUUUGGAUCUGUUCAGUUUCGCCCUUAGCAGUGUCGAUCCAAAUUCAGAGAUCCAAAAAUGAUUUGUGAAAAAAGGUACAACUUUGGUGUGAUUGAAGCAGCCGAUGACAGAACCAUAAGAGCAAGAUGUACACUAAUGGUGGUAUGAUCAGGAUUACCUUUGGCCAAGCUGUUCCAAGAGUUGUAAUUUAGGAUACAACAGAAGUGCUUAAUGCAUUUGGCCAGACAAACAACUAUCAGCAAACGACGAAAAUCAUACAGUAUCAUCACUAAACACUGAAGGCGAAUCAGGGGAAAUUAGGAGAAUAGCAUACCUCUCUCUUUUUUACACUCGUUAUAAUCGUUCAAACUGCUGCUGGCCCUUGCUUUUGUCUUGGUUGGCUUCCAAACCUGCAGAGCCAACAUGAAGUUCAUCAGAGAUUAACCACACAUGCAUGGAACUCUCCAAAAAAGUAUGAUGACUGUGAAGGGGGUCGAGGAGAUGAGGGUCGUUAAGUGAAGAUUAGGACGGAUGGAUUCGCUUGAGGGAGGUGGUAUACUGGGGAAGCAGUCGGAAUCGGCGAUCCUGGCGACGCUGGGGUACGGGCCGGGACGUCGCCGCCGGCCGCCGCAGCCGCCGCCGCCGAGGACACUGGGUGGGCGGAGUCAUGGCCACAUUCACCGUCGCCACCAUGAUGUCAUCUUUUUUCCUCCUCUUGGACGCCUGGUCCAGUAUCACGAACAGGUAGAUCGAGCCGUCACAAACCCGACGCAGACAUCGCUAACUCCAGACCUCCUCAGUCUUCACCCUCUUCCCCACCUCCAGCCAGGGUUCACUUUCUCGUUUUCGGCCUUUGUAUCGGGCAAUGCCGAUAUGACGAAAUAAUUUUGGUCCGAAAUUUCUAAAAUUUAAAACAAAAUCUAAUCAAAUUUGAACAAAUGUUACCAAAAUUCAUGAAAAAUUAAAAUAAAUUAAAAAUUUCAGCUGAAAUAAUAUCGUAUUGGAGGGGUCCGAAAUGACCCGAAUUUCCGAAAUUUUGAUCAUUCCGAAAUUUCCAAAAUAAUUUAGGAAAUUUCAGUCCGAAAUGUGAAACCCUGCCUCCAGCUUCUCGCCGCUUGCAGCCGCCCUCCAUCGCCAACGGGGGAGAGGGACGACGCACCACGGGGCCGAGCCAUCCUCUUCAACACUUCAAACCAUGACCGGGUAGAACAGCCGCAGAAACUCACACCAUGGCUUAAGCUCUGAUAAAGAGAGCAGAUCUGAAGAAGGAAUUGGAGGAGAGUGAAAGGGAUUUGGACAUGAUGGUCAGUGUAAGUGGUGCACAUUUUCUCAUGAUCUUUUUCUCUUGAUUUACUCUAUAGUUCUGGCUUAUGGAUGAUAUUUAUACCUUAUUUCAUCUACCGAUCAGUCUUGCAUCAUAGUAAAUUAUAUAGCGAGUGAAUUGACAGCCUGCUAAUUUGUUCCAUGCUGCACCCUGCAUUUUUUUUCUCAGCUCAUCCAUUGUCUGAUUGUUUACAUGGAAGGCUUACUCUGUUUUGGUUGAAAAAGCUUAGUUGGGAGAAUCUGUCUUUUCUUUGUAUGAUAUAAAAGUAACAUACUCUUUGGACGUGCUUUUUCUGCAUUUUUUUUUUGCCUUACACACGUCCAGAUGCAAUCUAACCAAUAGACGAAGAGAGAGAAGGACGGCGGCCGGCGCCGGUGGGGAGAAGGGCCGCGAUGGCGACCAACAGGGAUGAGGGCAUGACCAGCGGGAAGGAGUUAGGUGACAAAGACCUCAUGUCCCUUCGAGCGGCGACGGUGGAUCCGCCCAUCGCCUUUCUCCCCUCUCCCUCCCGGCAUCCUUCCUCCCUCCCCGAGCUCCCUGGCUUGCCGGUGAGCGCACGUAGAGAGAGAAGGACGGCGGCCAAUGACCGGUGGGGAGAAGGGCGGCGGACGGCGGCCAUGGGGGAGAAGAGCGACGACGACCUCAUGUUCCCUCUCCCUCCCUACAUCCUUCUGCCUCCUCCCCUUUCCCUCCUGGCAUCCUUCCUCCCUCCUCGAGUUCCCUGGCCUACCGGCGAGCGCGCGCAAGAAAGAGAUGGCCGGUGGUUGGCGGCCGGCGGCCGACGGGGAGAAGGGUGGCAGGAAGCGGCCAUCGGGGAGAAGGGCGACGACCUUGUCUCCCUUCAAGUAACGGCGGUGGAGCCGCCUGCCGCUCUUUUCCAUCUCCGCCGCCGUCGUCACCGCUGGCCGCAUCUGGUGCCCAUCCGCCCCCCUCUCCGGCUCUCUGCGCUCCCACCGUUGAUGCCCUCCCCUUUUCCCGCGUCGCCGCCGCCAAACCUCCCCGUGACCUCAUGGCACCUAGAGAAAAGAAGAGGGGAGAGGGGAGAGAGGAGGGGGGGGGGGGGGGGGGGGUGUUGAGAAUGACAUGUGGGGCCCAUGUGGGCCACAUCAUUUUAAUUAUUUUUUUUAACUGACAUGUGGGAUCAUAGUUGUAUUAUUUUCCAAAUCAAAUUACCACGUCAAUGCCACAUCAGAUGAAGACCGAGUAUAUUUAGCCACGUCAGCUAAAACCGCCGUCCAAACUGCCAUGGGACUUAUAUUGCACUGAUUUUGACAGUUGAGGGACGAAAAUCGGACUCGUUCAUAAGUUAAGGGACCUCAGAUGAACUUUUUCCAUUCAGUCUUGGGGAGUCUAGGGGAUUAUCGGAGUAUAUGGGCCUGUGAGGUCACGUGCUCUGGUGGGCUUUUUUCUUUUUCAAAAUGGGCCUGCGUAAGGUUUAUUGAUUUCAUUUCGGCCUUUUACUAAUUUAUGCCCAACCCAAAACUUUGUAUGGGUUUCUUUUAGAUAUAAGUUCAGUUCAGGUCCCUUAGUUUGUCUAUGAAUUCGAUUUUCAUCUUUGAACCCAAAAAAUAGAUAUGAUGGGCCCCUCAACUAUUAAAACCGGUGCAACAUUAGUCUGAAGGCACUAUAGAUGGUUGUUUUGUCCUAUGUCGCACUUGGACUAUGGUCAGCCUACAUGGAGCGCCACAUAAGCGGUCAACUCUGGUCAAACGCACUUUAGACCAACUAUGGUUCACUAAAACAAGAUCAUCGAUCUUAAUACGUAAUUGAUAAGUCUACGGACCUAUAUGAUACAUAUGCUCAAGUUUAAGUAUCGACCAUGUAUUUUACUCUUAAAAUUAUUUCCAUAAUCAUGCACCAGUUAGGAAAAGCUUCAACAAGCAAGCAAGCCGAACGUAUAUGCGCCGUAUUUUGGACAGGGGAGUCAAAUCAACCACAUCACCAUGCAUAUUUCUACAUAUACACUGGUCAUUUUUUUUGGGUACAUCGGAAAUCAUUUUCACCGGAUUUAGCCCAGACAACCAGUAUCCCAAUGAGUGAUUAAUUACUUGUAUUAUACUCAUUGUUGCCUUGUUGGCUCUUUGAGGUCAGAAAGGGACAAUUGAAAGGCCUCGAUUGAACAAACGUUAGGACAUGAUGCGCUUCUAUAUAAAUUCAAGGAACAAAAAAGCAAGCUAAUUAAGGUUUUGUGUUCUGCAUAAUUAAUCCAUUAAGUAUAGUGAGAUCUGAGGUGAGGAGAGGAUUAAUUAAGACAAAAUCUAGCCAAACUUGUGUGAAUCUCCCUCUAAUCCAUAUGCAUGAUCCCCCCCCUCUUGCUUUGCAAAUACUGUGAGCUUAAUUAAUUCCAUGUCUCUCUCUAAUUCUGCUUUUGAUGUUGCAAGUUGCAAGAAGCUUCACCUCUCCUAGGGUUUAUACAAGCAGCGGCAUGGACGACUCGAGCCUCUUCUUGCAUUGGGCGGUGAGCACGCUGCAGCACCAGCACCCGGCGGCCGUCGCAGUCGUGGCCGACGACGACGCCACGUUCUUCUCGUUCCAGGAGCUCUGCGACACCGAGGAGGUGGUUGUUGUCCCGGUCCAGGAAGAAGUGAUCACGGAAGCGCAUGGUGGUGGAGCCAGCAGAAUCGGCCUCGCCGUGGCCGUGGAUGAGCACGGAGGCUGGUCAAGGUCCCCGAAUCCGGGGGCCAGGCCGCCGUCUGGUGGAUGCGGCAGCAAUAAUCUGCCCCUGAUGAGCUGGGACUUCAGCGCCGCCUCGGUGGCGGUGCAGGUGCAGCCGAACGGCGGCGGCGGUGGCGGCGCGCCGGAGAUGGCGUACGGGUCACCGCCGGCGGCCGGGGGAUCCACCACCAGGAAGACCUCGGCGCCCACGGUGGGGCGGCGGCGGCGUACGCGCAGCUGGAGCACGUCGUCGCGGAGCGGAAGCGGCGGGAGAAGAUCAACCAGCGGUUCAUGGAGCUCUCCGCCGUCAUCCCCAAGCUCAAGAAGGUAUAAAAAAUCUCACCAAUUCCUCAACAUGAAAUGCUCCGAUCGAAUUUGCUUUCGUCUCGUGAUCGAUUUGAUGAUCAGAUGGACAAGGCGACGAUCCUCUCCGACGCGGCGAGCUACAUCAGGGAGCUG